AAUGGAAAUCUUGUGUUUGAAUUUUUUGGUACGUAAAGGAGAGGGUCUAUUGCUUCUAUGAGUCACAGCCAUGCAUAGUAAAAGGGGCGGGACUUGAUCAUGAAUAGAAUCUGUUUCCUUUUUCCUUAACUUGUGGUUUGCCGUUGUUCUUUUUCUCUGAUAAUAUCGUGUUUAAGAGUAUAAGAAUUCUAUGUCUAUAAUUUUAAUUCUCAUGAGACAUUGAAAACUGUAAACUUUGAACUCUUGAAUGGCUUACAAGCAUCUUACUGGGUUAUUAUCGAAUGUCGCCUAGAUCUAACCGUUCAUACUUGCCCGUUGUGUUAUUACUACUAUUGUUGUUAUGAUUAUUUUCUUCCUACUAUCCUAGGUUAGAGAUUAGAUUAGCUGCCUUUCAUUGAAUAAGUUGGAUCUUUUUCAUAUCAUAACUUGCUAUUGUCCGGAUACGCGAGAAUGCUCUCUUAAUGAUGUCAUUUAUCUUUAAGUAUCGAUCUUUGAACAUGUAUUAAUUACUUUAUUUUUGUUUUCGCAUGUGGACAUGCCCGAGUCCUACUUGGAUUCCUUUUCCCUUUGCAUGCCCAUUGUGGGCCAUUGAGGCCUAUUUAAAUCCGAGUUAAUUCCUAGAGAAAGCCCAAACAUCGUUCUCAUGGAAAUGGAUACGAAAAGUCAGAAGAAGGAAAACAGGUUAAAGCCCCAUCUUUGAAGCGGCUAAGGAGAUUUGAAAGUCUAAUUUUAUUUAUUUAUUUAUUAUCAUCUUUUAUUUACUUAUUUAUUUUCUAAUUUAUUCAUUUGAAGUCUCGAAGCCAAAGUUGUAAAUUUAAUACAGGUGGAAUAGAUUUUGGGCCAACGAGCCUGAAAAAUUACUUUAGGACAGGUGCAAAUGGGUUGAAAACCCAAUUAGAUUAGGAUAAUUUUCAUUGAUUUGGGCCUAAUGGCCUAGGUCUUUUACUUCCUCCUCCCUUUCCCCUUCAUGUGUUUAUUUGUUUAUUAGUUUGUUUAGACUUAGUUAAAAUCCAAACCAAGUCGUCAAAAUUUGUUUUACACAAAUCAUUUUCUAAAAUCAAUCACUUUUCAACAACCAAUCUUAUUGAAGUUAGUCAAAAGAUAUUUUCAAACAGUCCGGAUAACCGCAUGUUAGCGGACGUUUUAGGUGCCUUAAAUCUUCCUAAAACAUUAAUAAGUAUCGCUUACUCAGAAUUUUUAAAUUUUAAAUGAUUUUUCUAUUUUGGAUCGUUUAAAGUAUCUUAUAAAUGUUGCUUAAUUUCUUUUCAAAAUUAAGUAGCGACUCUAAUAAGUCAAAUUUCUGCAAAACAGCUAUAUCUCCAAAGUAGAAAGAGCUCUUACCAACAUUUGCUUACAACCCCGAUGCCUGAGAGAAAUUUUGGAAACACAGGUAUAGAGCUGCAACUGAUGCUUGAUCACCCUUAGCAAACAACAAUAGAUCAUUUGCAAAACAUAGAUGAGUAAUGCCAUGUUUGGAACAUUGAGGGUGGUGCUUGUAAGCUGUAUUUUCUUUUAGAGUAAUGAGGCAUCUACUCAGGUACUCCAUAGCUAUAACAAAUAGAUACGGGGAAAUGAGGUCCCCCUACCUGAGACCCUUAGUAGCACUAACAGGUUCUGUAUUUUCACUAUUAAUCACUAUAGAGUAGUGCACUAUAGUGAUGCAUUCUAACAGCCACUAGAUGAACUUAGCAAGAAAACAUAAUGACUCUAACACCUGAUGUAGAAACACCCAUUCUACAAAAUCAUAUGCUUUCUGUAGGUUAAUUUUAAUACAUCUAGGUGAGAUGUGUUUCCUAGUGUAAGCUUUAACAAGCUCAUGUGCCAGGAUAAUAUUAUCUGCAAUCUUUCUCCUUGGGAUAAAACCUGAUUGGGCAGGGGAGAUGAUAGAAACAAUUACCUUUUGAAAUCUUGCUGAGAUAACUUUUGCAAUGAUCUUGUACAUGACUGUGCAACAUGCUAUAGGUCUGUAUUCUUUGAUGUCUGUAGGUACUUUCUUCUUAGGUACCAAAGUAAUGCUUGUGCAAUUUAUGUCUCUAUACAUCUUGCCUGUAAUAAAGAAAUCCUUGGUAGCUGCUAAUAUAUCUUUAUGAAUGACCGGCCUGGUUUGUUUAUAAAAAUAAGCAAUAAAACCAUCCACCCCAGGUGCCUUAUCAUCGCCAAUGUCAUUUAAUGCAACCAAUAUUUCUUGGUCUGUUACCUUUUUGCACAAAUCAAUGCCUUGCUCAUGUGUUAACGUAGGGCCUAACUUCAUAAUAGUAGAAUCCACUACUGGGAGCUCCUACUUUACAUUUUGCAAGACCCCGCAGAAUCCUAAUCAUUUGAGUCCUUUAAAACAUGCCAAAAGAGGUCCCAGACUUAGAAAUUUAAGCUAAGUGUUAGAACUUAGUCAUUUCUAAAGCCCUCAAAAUUUGAGAAAUUUAUUUACGACCUUCCCAACCCUAGAAAGUUAGUUUUAAAGUUGAUUUAUGAUCGGGAAAGUCAAUAGUACAUCUUGGGUGAGUUUCAGAAUUUUUGGACAAGCGUAAGGGCGUGUUUGAAACUCCAAAAUAGUGGCUCGAGGUAAUUAGCCCGCGGUGCUCUGCACAGUCCGGUGCUGGGGGAGCCAGCGAUACAGACCACGGUGCCCUGCCCAGAGCCAGUAGCGCCCUGGCCAGUCCAGUCCAAGUAAUUUUUGUAGAUUUAUUCCGCAUUUUUAAGGGGCAAAUGGGUCAUUUUCCCUUCACCCAAUAACUCCAUAACACGGGAUUAAAGCCCCAAAUAUCAUAAUUGCGCAUCUUUUUCACAAAAUCCUCUCAAGAACAAGCCCUAGCUUCAUCAAGUUCAAGAAUCAAGUCUCAAGAACUCACCCCAAUCUCUAAGAAAUUAACAAUCAUGGUAUGUUAGGUGUUCAUCUAUGGGUUCUAUUCACCCAUAGAGUCCAAGAAUACAUUUUUAAAACUACAAGCUUAUUGAUUUAUGAAUUCCAUGCUUGAAAUUGAUUGUAUUCAUGUUCAGGAUAGUAAUUGGGUUUCAAUUCAUGAUUGAUUAUAAGUUUUCAUGAAAUUAAAAUAGUUUAUGUGAUGAACUAUAUGAAUUGUAUGCUAAACCCUUGAAUUUGCAAUUGAGUAUUGUAUUCAUGAUGUUCAUGAGUUGACCAUUAUCAUGUGAAAUUAUCUAUGCUCCCCCACUGUUUGCUAAAAUGCCUAUGUAAAGUAAAUAGUGGAAUCAUGACAUAUUAUUAUGUGGUCCCAAUCAUGUACAAGCUUAUGCCCUACAAGUGUUUGAUAAAAUGUCUCUAUGAGCUAAUUAUGGACAAGUGGACCUUGUUAUGCUUUUCAAGAUCAUGCUAUCGUUUACUUUUCAUGUUAUUGAGUCCUGGGGGUAUCUAAUACCCGACAAUCUAGUUGUUUACCUAGAGCUACAGUAGUUACAGAAUAGUCCAAUCAUAUCACGAAACAGUAGCACUCAGUCAGUUAUUGAACUCAAUAAAAUCAGUCCAGUUCAGUCAGUCAACACGAUCAGUAAUAGUUCAGUAAAAUUCAGUACAGACUAGUAAUCAUUCCAUGGUCUAUUCAGGUGGGAGUAGGAUUUAACACCGAGUGAACCUAAGGAAGGGGGCUCAUCUGCCAGUAGAGGGUGUGAUCCUUAGAAACAGUCCUUGCAUUCCAGAACUACGUAGCCAGCAUAGGUUGAGACAUCAACCUGCUAGUUGCGAGUUAAUAAGGUGUUUCUACCUGCCAGUUGAGGGUACCACCGUUCUCAUUCAAGGCACCUGUCAGAUGAGGGUGACUCUUCAACUGUCUUUACCAGUGGCAUGGUACUGACACCCUUCCAACUGGGGUUACAGGUUGGACCCCAGUUAUCUUAUUUGAGGCAUGUCGAUUAGAUGAUUACCUCCCACAAUUUCAGUUUCAGUCUCAGCAUAGAACUCAAUUUAGUUCUACAAAAUCAGGACUGUCAGACAAAGUCACCCAGCUCAGUAUAGAACUCAGUUCACUUCUACAGUAUCAGGACUAUCAAAAAUAGUCACCCAGCUAACAGUGAUACAGUUAUCAGUGAACUCAGAUAUCAGUGAUCAGUUAUCAGAACUCAGUACCCAGUGUUAAUAUGUUCUCAACUACAAUAUACGUAGUUACAUAUAUAGUAUUGCAUAAUCAGUAUUUACAGCAGUUUCAUAUAUACGCGUACUCUCAUUUAGUUAUAUUCAUGUUACUCAGCCAGUUAUUAUUCAUGCAUAUGAAAACAUGCAUUCAGCUUACCUUGCUUAGCAUACUAGUACAUUCAAAGUACUGACGCAUACCUUUAUUUUGCACUAUGAUAUCUUAUAUCAUAGGUUCAGAUGCACAAACUCCUGAUUGUACUUAGCAACCCAACUUAUCAACAACAGACUUAGUGGUGAUUCAUCAUAGUUUGAGGACAGAGUUUUCACUUUAGUAAUUUAGUAUAUUUUAGUAGUCAAAGUUAGUUAUAGGCUUGUCCCAUCAACUUUACCUUCAAAUAUUUAGAAGCUUUCAGACUAGACUAUUUCAGACAGAUGUUCAGUUUUUAGUAUUUAUUUAUCAAUAUUUGAUUUCAAUUAUGAACAUUAUGGUAGAUUCAGCCGCUUUUCCAUAUUAUUAUGGUAUUAUUACUUAGUUAUUGCAUCAGGUGCAAGUUAUGGGUUAGCUUGUGGUCCUUUUGAAUUUUGAGCACCGUGUGACGUUCGAAGUGCAGACUCAAAGCAUUAAAAACUUGGUAUCAGAGCCUAAGGUUCAACAGGGUCCUAGGAGCCUGUAAGUUAUGUCUAGUAGAGUCUUGUGCAUGGGUGUGUAGUGCGCCACACUUAUGGAUAAGAGGCUAUAAGGAGUUUUAGGAAAAGUUUCCCUUAUUUCAAUAUUCAUAUCGUGCGAGUGAGCAUGAGAUCAAGCUAAACUCUCUUUCUAAUUCAAGUUUCCCUUUCGUUUAUAGAAUAUACCUCCCAAAAAGACCAACGAAAGAAGAACAGAAAACUAGCCAACACCUCCGCCCGUCCAGCCAGAUCCCCUGGAUGAGCAUGUUUCCCAUGCAGAAUUUAGAGCAGCUUUCACGACUCUAGCUCAUUCUGUGGCAGCCCAGCAUGAACGCCCAGAUGUUGUUCAGGCCAACCCAGUGGUUAAUACUGCUGCAGCUAGAAUUUGGGUCUUCACCCAAAUAAAUCCUCUAUCAUUUGUAGAGUCCAAAUCUAAGAAGGACCCACAGGGAUUCCUUGAUCAGGUGCAAAAAAUCACAGAUAUUAUGGGGGUGACUACUGGUGAGAGUGUUGAGUUGGCCACAUAUCAUUUAUAGAAUGUGGCUCACUCAUGGUUUAAGCAAUGGAAGGCAGAUAAAGGCAUAGAUGCAGGGGCCAUAAAAUGGGAGGAGUUUGCUACUACUUUCCUUGAUAGGUUCUUCCCACUGAAGUUGAGGGAAGCAAAGGUUUUGGAGUUUAUUAAUCUGAAGCAAGACAAUAUAACAGUGAAAGAGUAUUCUCUAAAGUUUAAUUAUUUAGCUAGAUAUGCCCCUCAUGUGGUAGUAGAUAGAAAAUCUAAGAUGAGUAAGUUUGUGUCGAGCAUAUCUAACAGUAUGGUCAAAGAGUGUAGGAUCGUAAUACUGAUUAAGGAGAUAGACAUAUCCAGGCUCAUGGUCCAUGCUCAGCAGAUAGAAGAGGCUAAGAAUAAGGAGAAGGAGAGGAAGAAUAAGAAGGCUAGAAUAGGUAGCUUUAACUUUGCUCAGCCCAAGUCAGAGGGUGGAAAUUAUUCUCAAUUCCGCCUGAAAUCUUCAGUUCUAGCUCCAUCCUCAGCCAGUGCUCCAGUGCUGAAAUUUAGAGCUGGCAAUAAAGAUAGGGCACCAGGCCCUAAACCUCAGGGUAGUGUUAGCAAUGCCCGAACAAAUUCUUUUUACCAGAAAUAUGGUAGAAACCAUCAGGGUAUCUCCAGAGCUAGCAGCGAUGUAUGUUUCGGAUGUGGCAAGCCAGGCUAAAAAAUCAGAGAUUGUCCUUAGUCAGGUUCUCAGGGUCUAUAUAAUCGUCCUUCCGCUCAGUCCAGUCGCCCAAAUCAGUAGGGUAUCGCUUUCAGUUCCACCAGUGGGCAGCAUCUAAACAGACUCUAUGCACUCCAGUCCCAACAGGAUUAGGAAAUUUCUCCUGAUGUAGUCACUGGCAUGUUAUAAGUUUAUCAUUUACAUAUUUAUGCUUUGCUAGAUCUAGGAGCUUUUUUGUCCUUUAUAACUCCUUAUAUAGCUGUUGACUUCAGAGUCAGUCCCAAAAUCCUAAUAGAGCCUUUCUUAGUCUCUACCUCAGUGGGUAAAUCUAUUAUAGUCCAACGGGUAUACAGGAACUGUUCGAUUAUAGUAUCUCAAAAAGUCACUUCAGCAGACUUAGUAGAAUUAGAGAUGACAGAUUUGAUGUUAUUCUCAACAUAGACUAGCUUCAUUCAUGCUAUACUUCAGUUGACUGCAGAAAUAGAAUUGUCUAUUUUCUAUUUCCAAUUAUACCUAUCCUUGAUGGACGGGUAGUACUUCAGCACUUAGGGGCCAGCUUGUUUCUUACCUAUGGACAAGAAAAAUGAUAUCUAAGGGAUGUAUUUAUCAUCUUAUUUGAGCUAAGGAUUUUAGUUCCGAUACUCCCAGUCUUGAGGCAGUUCCUGUAACAUGUGAAUUUCCAGAUGUGUUUCCCAAAGAUUUUCUCGGGUUCCCUCCCGAAUGGGAAAUUGACUUCGGAAUAGACCUUCUUUCAGAUACUCAGUCUAUCUCUAUCCCAACAUAUAUAAUGGCUUUACCAGAACUCAAAAAAUUAAAAGAAUAGUUGAAAAAUCUCCUAGAUAAGGAAUUCAUCAGACCCAGCGUAUCCCAUUAGGGUGCACCAAUUUUAUUCGUGCGUAAGAAAGACGGUUCUCUCAGAAUGUGUAUUGAUUACCGUCAGUUGAACAAAGUCACAGUCAAGAAUAAGUAUCCACUUCCUAGAAUCGAUGACUUGUUUGACCAACUUUAGGGUGCCAGUUACUUUUCUAAGAUAGACCUCGGAUCAGGUUAUUAUCAGCUCAGAGUCAUAGAAUAUGGCAUUUCGAUAAUAGCUUUUAGAACUCAGUAUGGUCACUUUGAAUUCGUAGUCAUGUCAUUUGGUUUUACCAAUGUCCCAGCAGCUUUUAUGGACUUGAUGAACCGUGUGUUCAAGCUGUACUUGGAUAUGUUCAUUAUAGUCAUCAUUGAUGACAUUCUUGUCUACUCCUGUAGUGAAGAUGAUCAUGUAGACGAUAUCAGAAUAGUGUUACAGACCCUCAUAGCCCAUCAGUUAUUCGCCAAAUUUAGUAAAUACGAAUUUUAGCUAAGGUCAGAAGCUUUCCUUGGUCAUAUAGUUUCCGGUGAUGGCAUUAGAGUUAAUCCUCAAAAGACCAAAGUGGUAAGAAACUGGACCAGGCCCAUCUCUCCAUCUGAUAUUAGGAGUUUCUUGGGUUUGGCUGGCUAUUACCGAUGGUUUGUUGAAGGAUUUUUGUCCAUUGCACCCCCCAUGUCCAAAUUGACUCAGAAGAAAUCCAAAUUUCAGUGGUCAGAUUCUUGUGAGAAGAGUUUUCAAGAGUUAAAGACUCGACUCACUACAGCCCCAGUUUUGACUUUACCAAUUAGUUCAAAUGGGUUUGUGGUAUAUUGUGAUGCUUCCAGAGUUGGUUUGGGGUAUGUUUUGAUGCAGAGAGGUAAGGUCAUAGCCUAUGCCUCUAGACAGUUUAAGCCUCAUUAAAAGAAUUACCCCACUCAUGAUCUUGAGUUAGCAGUUGUAGUGUUUACCUCAAAGAUUUGGAGUCACUAUUUGUAUGGAGUGCAUGUUGAUGUGUUCACAGACCAUAAAAGUCUACAAUAUGUAUUUUCUUAAAAAGACUAAAUUUGUGUCAGAGAAGGUGGUUAGAGUUGUUGAAAGACUAUGACAUAAGUAUUUUAUCUCAUCCGGGCAAAGCCAAUGUAGUGGCUGAUGUUUUCAGUAGAAUUUCUAUGGGUAGUGGUCCCCACGUGGAGGAUGGUAAGAAGAAGUUAGUUUAGUAAGUUCAUUAGUUUUCCCAACUAGGUGUCCGCUUAGUCAAUUCAGCAAAGGGUAGCGUAUGGGUGCAGAGUAGUUCAGAAUCAUCUCUGGUUUCCAAAGUAAAAUAAAAGCAAGAUAGGGAUCCCAGUUUAGUUAAACUGAAAGAGUCGAUCAGAGAUCAUAUGGUAGAGGUUUUCUCCCAAGGAGAAGAUGGUGUGUUUGAUAAAAUGUCUCAAUGAGUGAAUUAUGGACAAGUGGACCUUGUUAUGCUUUUCGAGAUCAUGCUAUGCUUUACUUUUCAUGUUAUUGAGUUCUGGGGGUAUUUAAUACCCGACAAUCUAGAUUUUUACCUAGAGCUACAACACUUACAGAACAGUCCCAGUCAUGUCACAAAACAGUAGUACUCAGUCAGUUAUAGAACUCAACAAAAUCAGUCUAAUUCAGUCAGUCAACACGAUCAGUAAUAGUUCAGUCAAAUCCAGUACAUGCUAGUAAUCAGUCCAGGGUCUAUUCAGUUGGGAGUAGGAUUCAGCACUGAGUGAACCCAAGGAUGGGGGCUCACCUGCCAGUAGAGGGUGUGAUCCUUAGAAACAGUCCUUGCAUUCCAGAAAUAUGUAGCCAGUGUAGGUUGAGACAACAACCUGCCAGUUGAGGGUUAAUGAGGUGUUUCUACCUGCCAGUUGAGGGUACCACCAUUCUCGUUCAAGGAACCUGUCAGAUGAGGGUGACUCUUCAACUGUCUUUACCCAUGGUACGGUACUAACACCCUUCCAACUGGGGUUACAGGUUGGACCCCAGUUAUCUUAUUUGGGGCAUGUUGGUUAGAUGAUUACCUCCUAUAGUUUCAGUUUUAAUCUCAACAUAGAACUCAGUUCAGUUCUACAGAACCAGGACUGUCAGACACAGUCACCCAGCUCAGUAUAGAACUCAGUUCAGUUCUACAGAACCAGGACUGUCAGACACAGUCACCCAGCUCAGUAUAGAACUCAGUUCAGUUCUACAGUAUUAGGACUGUCAGAAACAGUCAUCCAACUAACAGUAAUAUAGUUGUCAGUGAACUCAAAUAUCAGUCAUUCAGUUAUCAGAACUCAGUACCUAAUUUUAAUAUGAUCUCAGUUACAGUAUACGUAGUUAUAGGCAUAGUAUUGCAUAAUUAGUAUUUACAGUAGUUUCAUAUAUACACGUACUCUCAUUGAGUUAUAUUUAUGUUACUCAACCAGUUAUUGUUCAUGCAUAUGUACCUACGCAUUCAGCCUUGCCUCGCUUAGCAUACCAGUACAUUUAAAGUACUGACCCAUACCUUUUUUUUGCAGUAUGAUGUUUUAUAUCAUAGGUUCAGACGCACGGGCUCCUGAUCGUACUUAGCAGUCCAGCUUAUCAGCAGCAGACUUAGUGGUGAGUCCUUAUAGUUUGAGGACAGAGUUGUUAUUUCAGUGUUUCAGUAUAUUUUCAGUAGUCGUAGUUAGUUGGGGGCUUAUCCCAUCAACUUCACCUUCAGACAGUUAGAGGCUUUCAGAGACUAUUUUAGUUAGAUGUUCAGUUUUCAGUAUUUAUUUAUUAGUAUUUGAUUUCAGUUAUUAGGGGUGUUCAUGGGUCGGUUUGGAUUGGUUAUUAGUCAAAAUCAUAACCAAACCAACUUAGUCGAUUUUUAAAUUUCUAAAACCAAACCAACACAAAAAAUAACCAUCGGUUUGGUUUUUGUCGGUUUAGUUCAGUUUGGUUUUUUGGUUUAUAACUUUAGUUAAUGAUAAAAGUUGAAAUUUUUCUUAAAAAAAUCCAAUCUAACAUAUAAGAUGUCAAUCGAGUGUGUUCCUCAACCUUGAAACCAAGAUGUCAAUUUAGUGUAUACUUAGGAAAAGUCAUGAACAACACCAUACGAACGCUUCUACAAAAGUAUUUAGAAACUACAUAUAAAAGAAUGAUAUGAUAAACUCCCCAAAAGGUAAACACAUAAUUUUUUUGCUCAAUAGGGACCAAAAAAAAAGUAAAAAACUAGUGAUUAUCUAUAGUCUAAUAAAACUCACCUAUAAAAUCUCGUAGACAACAAGAUAAUUUUCACAAUUAGUAUCAUUUGAUAUUCAAAGUGCGAAAAUCACAUAGAAUUUCAUAACGUACCAUCAACUAGAUGGAGACAUAUGAUUAAAAGUGAUAUAAAUAAAGUUAAAUUCAUAAUUAAAAUUUUAAAUAUAAAAAAUAUUCAUAUUUUAUUUAUGAAUAAUAUAUAAAUAAUUUAUAUAUGCAUAUGUACGUGUGUGUGUGUGUAUAUAAAAAUAUAUAUAUAAUUUUUAUCAGUUUAGUUUGAUUAUUUUGUCAAUUAUUUUAGAGUAAAACCAAAACCAAACCACAUAAGUAGCGGUUUUAAAAAUUUUAAAUCAAACCAAACAAACCUAACCAAAUGUCAGUUUUUUUAAUUGGUUUGGUUUGGUUCACGGUUCGGUUUGGUUUUUAACCAAACUAUGAACACCCCUACCAGUUAUGAACAUUAUGGCAGAUUCAACCUAAUUUCUGCAUUAUUACGGUAUUAUUACUCAAUUAUUGUAGCAGGUACUAGUCAUGAGUUAGCCUGUGGUCCUUUGAGAUUAUGAGCACCGUGUGACGUCUGGGGUACAGACUCGGGGCAUUACACAUUUCCCAACAGCCCUUUCUAGAAAUCCGUAAUUUCCUUCUUAUUAUCAUCAGGACUUGUAAGCUUGGUUCCAUUUAUAGCCGUUAAACUCAUAAUCUGCUUUCUAUUUGUUCUUUCUUUUAUGACUACGGAGAAAUAUCUGUUAUUAUCAUCUCCUAACUGAAUCCACUGAGCUGUGGCCUUUUGUUUUAGAAUACUUUCUUCUAUGUUGCUCCAUUUCUCAAGCACAAGUAGGCAUUCUUUCUCCUUGCCUCCUAAGUCAUCAGUCCAUUUAUGGGCUAUUAACUCUUGGAUUUGCUUUAACUUCUGCCUGAAUAGAUUGAUUUUUUCAGCUGUAUUCAUGAACUCCUCCUUAUUUAGCUUCUUAAGAGCCGGUUGUAAUGCCCUGAGACUAAUCCAGACCGUUGCCAUCUUUCCGUUGUUAUGUUGUUGUCUAUAUUUCUUCUCUAUAAUAGACAAGAAUUUAGGAUGUUCAGCCCAGACAUUAAAGAACUUAAAUGUUGAUUUAGGUUUCUGUAUAUUUUUCUCCAUAGUGAUGAGUAUAGGGGCGUGGUCAGAGAUUAGGCAAUUCAUAUUGUACCUCUACAUGUCCCCAUUGCAUCAUCCAGUCCAAAUUACCAAACAAUCUGUCAAUUCUGCUACAAAUUCUAUCAGUACCAAGUUAUUUGUUGUAUCGGGUGUAGUAAUCCUCUUUCCAAGGCAAUUCAAUGAGGUGCAAGUGAUGCAAAUAAUCAGAGAGGUCUUGAAUCUCAGCCAUAGUAAUAGGUGCUCACCUUACUCUAUCUUGGGGAUAUAAUACUGCAUUAAGAUCACCUCCCAGUAUCCAUGGUUGAUUGAUAUUUUGUCCUAUACUCUGAAUUCCCUGCCAGAGCUCUUUUCUUUUCUCAACAGAGUUAAAUCCAUAAAUCACAGUGAGUAAGCACCUAACAUCUCCAGUUAUAUUAGUUACCUGACAGUGAAGGAAUUAUGUUGUAGAGCACAAUUGGACUAUGUUAUAAUAGUCACUAUCCUAUGAAAACCAAAUUCGACCAUUUACAGAUUUGUUAUAGUUACUUCUCAAUUCCCAACCAGGGCUGAUAUGAGCAAUUCGUGCAGCUUGCUCUUCUUUUACUCUAAUUUCCACAAGUCCUAUAAGUUGUAUAUGAUUGGCCUUCAUAUAGUACUUAAGUUUCUUUUGCUUAUGCUUUUUAUUGAUACCCCUUACAUUCCAAAUAACCCAACUCAUAUUAUGUUAGGAAAAACAUCCUGGAUCAGGGGAUUGUUGGAUAUUCACAACGCGUCUGAAGUUCUUUCUAUCUUCUUUCUGAAGGGCACAGUACCCAACACAGGGAAUUCCUCAUAGUUUAGUUCUUAUAUCUUCUCUUUACCUUUUUUUUACUGAGCCUCGGCUAUCUCAUCAAGUGUCUUAGGAAAGUCCUUCAUUACUGUCCUUGACUUGGUAGUUUCAGCUAGGCUAGUUGGGAUUUCUAUAAGAGGUUUGCUACAAUUUACUACUGCAAUACUCUCUUUCACAUAGAACUUUUCAGCUGGUGCCAGUGGUUGGAUAUCCACAUCCACCUCUAGGAGUUCAGCUAUAGUGAUCCCCUUUUGUUGCCAGAUUAGUUCAACCUUCUUACUACCUUGCUUCCCCCAUCUUGGUUUGGCUGGUCACUUUGGGGUGGUCUAACCUGAGAUAUAUGUCCCACUACCGAACAUUUAGGAUAGAAUUCAGGCCUCCAGUCAUAGACCACAAUCUGAGUAAACUAAUUUCCACCUGUUUCCUGCACUAUGAUUUGAUCAGGUAAUGUUCUUGUGAUAUUAACCUCUAUUAACAUCCAAUCAUAUGAGAUGCAUGUUUGUUUUGUUGUACACUCGUCUGCAUACACUAUAACCCCCACUACACUUGCUAUUCGACUCAAUAAAUCUUUUCCCCAACAGGACAUUGGAAGAUUUAGGAAUUUUACCCAUAGUGGAAUUUAUGUGGGGAACUCUUUACAGAAAUCAAAGUUCAGUGACCAAGGUUUUAGAAUGAUAGGUUUAUUAUUGAGCGUAUAGGGCCUAAAUAGAUCACCUCUUGCAUAUCCUCCAUAGAUUGAAAACGGAUGAUAUAGCAACCUUCAUUAUGAUAGUACAACUCUGGUUCUGCAGCUUGAGUCCAGAAUUGGCCAAUAUAUAUUUUCAUAGCAUUAUAACCUGGGGUAUCACCGAUAAAUUAGGAUAUCAGGGCAGGCUUCCAUUUGUUAAUUUCCCUGUCAAUUGAUUCUUGCUCCAGCUGCACAAUUGGAUUACCAUCAACUAUCCUUGGGGCAAUAUAAUUCAGAGCUAUUCCAUUAGAUGCAGCUCUAUUUUUCGCAAACAAGUUAGUCCAAGGUGCUUUGACAGUUUCCUGAGUAUCACUUCCUUCCAUCUCAACGUUGUAUUGCUCCUCUUCCACAGUAGAUAGCUCAGCUUCAUCAGGUUUAGUGGUUCCCCUAGCUACUGCUCCAUUAGUUGUUGCUUGAGUAGAUCUAGGUUUAAUGUCACUAAUCCCAAUAUCUCCCAGUGGAAUAUUACUCAGAUUCAGCUUUCGCUGAAAACCUCUUUGAUCUGAGGGUCUAGCUUCUUCUUCUAAAUUAGCUACAUAUGGCGUCGGAGUAACAUUUUUUGCAGUAUCUUGUAUCUUUUCGCUUUCUUCUGAAGUCACCACUUUCUCCAGAGCUUUAUUAGGUCUUCCUCGUCCUAUUUUCCGUCCUCGACCGCGACCUCUAGCCAUGGCAGAUCUCAGAAGCGUACGUUAGCUUAACGUGCGCCUACAACCACGUAAUUACCCUCAUACAUUCUUUAUACAUAUACAUGUCUAAUUCUAAUAAUGGGUCCAUACUCAAUAUAUCACAUGUAUAUUUUUUUCUUAUGAUUUUUCAAUUACUCUCAUCCCACAAAUAUUCUCUCCACAAAACUUUUGAUCAUUUAGUUUUGUCCUUAUGGGGUUUUAUUGAUUAUUUCACAAUUGUAGCUAAAGAAUCUAAAGUGCUUAUAUAUAUCUAUCAUACAUAUCGUGUUGUGCGUGAAUUGUUAGCCAACGAAUAUGUAAUGAUCUUUAUAGUCAUUUUUCUUGUUUUCAUAUAUUUUUGGUAUCUAGAACUUUCCUAUAACUACAUCAAGUUGUUUAUGAUUUGUUGGAACUGAUAGUUCGAUUUUCAAGUAAUUUGUUUGAGAAUUUUAGUAAUAUCAAAUAUAUUGUGAAAUUUUUAAUUUAAAUUGACAUUUGGUAGAACUAUAAUUUAUUACCCUUCUAAUAUAUUUUUGAUAUUGACUAAAUUCUUUAAGUUAUGGUAUAUUUAUAUUACUUUAUAAUAGUUUUUUAUAGUCUAUUAAUAUUUUAAGUGGAGAUAUUAAAUCUAGAUAUGUUAAAAUAUUAGUAUUAUAUAAUAGAGGUUUUAUUAAAAAUAAUUUUCUAUUAAUUAUGGUAGAUUUAAAAUAUUAUAUUUAUUUUACCACAAACCUAAUACCCAAAUAUAUAUAUAUAUAUACUGGUUUAGCUGUACGUGCCUCGCGCAUGUACCUCACUUUAUUGAGUUCAAACAUUACACUAAAUAGUACAUUUGCUUAUAUAAUAAGGAUGAAUACAAUAAUUAAAUUCAACAUCUUUUGGAGAAUUUAUUUAAUUAAACCUAACUUUUACCAAAAAAAAUUGUCAAAGUCGAUCGACAUUCAUCUACCACCUGUAACUGCAAUAAAAUAAUACGAUGAUAGAGACAUCAAAAUAAUAUAAUUAAAUUUAACCUUUACACAAAAAAUUUCUCAAAGGCAUCUGAUACUCAUCUACCACUUGUAAACUAUAACAAAAUAAUACGAUAAUAGAGAUAUCAAAAUAAUACAACUAAAAUUUUUAUCUACAAAAAUUUCUCAAAGUCGACCGACAUCAUCUACCACCGGUGCACCUGUCAUUUCAUCUACGACCUGUAAACUACAACAAAAUAAUACAAUAGUGAUCACGAAGCUUCGAUUUUGAUGAAAACUAUUCUUGUCUGAGUGAAAAUUUUUAUCCUAAAAAAUGAUGUGAAUGAAAAACAAAGAAGAUAUAUACACACACGGUUGAAUUCUAUUAUGUUGACAAAGAGAGUGAAGAAGUUGAGGGUUAAAAUAUUAAGCAUCCACCAAUCUAGACAUGUAACUGAAUCAAGUAAUAUGAACAUCAAUCAUAUUUUCCCAAUAAGUAAACCAAAUUCUUCUCUAGUUUAACAUGCAUCUCAAUAUUUAUAAAAGUAUUUCCUUAAUAGAGUUCUAUUUUAGAAGUAUUUUUCUAUUCUAUUUUAGGAGUAUUUUUCUAAUAGAUCAGUACAAAAAAAAUAUUAAUUAAUUCUCCUUCCUAUAUUUUAGGAGUCUAAUAAAAAUUAAUGUUGGAAUCAUAUAAAAUUGAGGAAAGAAAAAUAAGAAUUUUUAGCUAACAUACCUAAUGCAAUAAAUCUGCCCAUGUCUCUUGCCAUAUUUAUAGAUUUCUUUAAUACUCUUUAUUAAUUAUCAUAUUUUUUAUUACUCCCUUUUCACUUACAAAAUAAAAUCAGCCAAAAUUUAUUUUUCAUAUAUUUUUUCUCUUACCAUAUAAUUUAGGACUCCUUAAUCUUUUAAGAUUAUAAUUAAUUUUAUAAAGUUAAUUAAAUAAUAAUUAAAGAAAAUUAGUGAAAAGACGAUUUUGUCAAAAGGAAAGACUUUAAACGAAGGGUAAAAAAUUCAAAUCAUAUUUCUAAGGGUUUUCAUACUUUUAAUAUCAUACUAGUUCCGAGUACGUGCGUUGCACGUGUAUCUCAUGUUAAUUACUAAAAUUAUAUAUAAAAAAACUAAUUAUUAAAAAAUAGCAAGUGAUAUUAAAGUAAAUGUUAUAUUCAUUUAAAUAAUAUAAAUAAAUAUUAAUGGUAUAUAAUUAGUUUUAAAGUUUUAAAUAUCAACAAUGACUUUUUAUAAUUUAUGUGGAAGGAAAGAUUUAAUAAACCAACACUCUUUGCUCUUCAAUCCCUCCGAAAUCUCCUUGUAACUCGAUAAAAGGACCACCCUAUUCAUUCCGUAUUCUCACUAUCAUUACUGACAACCUCCACACUAUUCCUUCCUCUGCACCUUUACCCUUCUCCUUAACUCUUUUUAUUUUUCGAUAAGCCUUAUUAACUUUCAUACAGGUCAUGGGUUGAAGGAUAAAAAAGUUAUUCCGCUAUGCAAUUUAAAAAUUGCAAGAAAAAAAAAUUAAAAUCUUUUAUUAAAAGGCUAAUAAUACAAUAGUUUUACCACUAACAAUAUAAAUUUUAAAAAAAGAUAUAUGUCAAUCAUAUUAACGGGUUUUAGAUCCCCUUUCGUGUGAAUCUUUGUCGUCCAUUUACUCUAUUUGUCAUGUUUUGCAUCUCGAAAGUCAAACUAUAUGAAUUUUGAUUAGUAUUUUAAAAUGUAUUUUUCAUCAUAUUAAUAUGAGAAUGAUAGCAUCUUAUAACAUAUGUCGUAUAGUUCUCAAUCAUCUAAAUUUUAAAUUUAAAAUUUUUAAUUAAUAUUAAUCUACUUUGAUUUAGCUUUGAUAUUUAGUCAAAUUGACUUUCAUAAGUGAAAUGUGACAAAUUCAAAAAAAUGAAAAAAAUAAUAUUUGUUAUUACACAAAAAUGCCAUACAAAUAAUGUUUUACUAAAAAAAUCUACCAACAUUUCACUCAGUUAAUUUGAAUAGGUAUCUUGCACAUAUUAUUUUACCUAAAAUAUAUGAAAAUCUUACUAUUACUCUCACAAUGCACGUGUAGUUCAUUUCACUCGGUAAUUAUAAAGAUCGUUAGUUUUCACAUGUAAGAAAAUUAUUCCCUGAAUUUUUAUUAUAUAAGCAUGAUGUUAUGUACAUUUUUGUAUAAAUAAUUUAUAUACCUUUUAAGUAAACGUUAUGUCGAGAAGAAAGACUGAUAAAGUCAUUUAAUGACACUAUUACUUCGAAAGAGUUUUAAAAAAACUUUGAAUAAUAAUUCAAAUAAGGAAAGACUUUGUGCUUAUGCAAAUAGAAUCUUAUUUAAUAUUAAAUUUUUAAAUAAUUGAAAUUCUUAUAUUAUAUGGUUUGAUUUAGGAGAAAAAAUUAAUAGUCACAAUUUUAUUUAAAUUGAAAGUACUAAUUGUUAGAAAAAGUUAAAUGGAUAAUUUAUAUAGUGUACAACAACGACAACAUAAUGAGUAUCAAUUGUUUCAUUUCAUAGGUUUGGACUAUCGAAUUUCUUUGACCUCAAUUUCAAGAACGUGUCAAUUGCUUCUUUAUUAUCUUCUUUGCAAGACUUAUAUGACAUCCUCGAACAACCAUCAGGAAUUCUCUUUGACUUAUAAUUUCUGCAGAAUCGAGUCCAAAUCGGUACAAGCACUUGCACACUGGUCCAUGAUUGAUGUUACAAAUGCUAAACUUCCCACAAUAUUUAGACAGAUUAGACGCAUCUUUUGGCACUAACCACAUCAACGGCCAUCCUCUUAUCUCUUUAUACCAAUUGUAGAAUUGUACUUCUCCAGAGGAAUUCAUUAAGAGUCUAUACUUAGCUUAUUGAAUGGUCUUGUUGAAUCCAACAACUUAUUGACAAUAUCAUUCUCAGUGAAGUUGGAUAACAUGUAGGCUACAAAAUUAGGCAUCUCACCGAAGCAAAAGUGUUCAGAAAUAGCUAAUUUCACAAUUUUUUUCCAGUGAAUUACACCCUGCUUCGAAAAUAUAACAUAUUUGCUCCUAGAAAGGUUUUUCAGUUCUUGUGUUUACUGCUAUCUUCCUAUCCUCUCUCAAUUGUCAAUGAUUUCUAAAUGAUGGGGAGUCUCUUAAUAGUAGCUUCCAACUCUUAAAAUUGACCUUCUCAAGCACCAGAUAUGAAUGUUUUCUGAAUUUCAUACUAAGUAUACAUAAAAGGAACAUAUCACCAUUACAUAAUAAUUAAGGAGAAAAAAUAGAUAUAGAGAACAAAAUUUUAUUAUUGAUAUCUUAAGUCAAUAAUUUGAGAAAAAAAAUGAAUUAUACAAAAUAUAAAAUUUUCAAGUAGAUAAAGAAAAUUUAAAGUGGAAAAAUUUGAGAGAUAAUCAUUAUAAUAUAAUCUUAGUUCGACACAUAUCCACCUUUAUACAUUUCAUGGCACCAAUCAUUAGUCGUUCUCUCAACAUUUCAUUGAUUUAUGGUUACAAUCCUUCCUAUUGCUCUUUGCAGAAUUGUCUUAGCAUUUCCUCUUCAUAUAUACGACAAAGUCUACUAUCGAUCUUCAAUUUAUAACAUAUUCUCUGAAGUAAAACAAUAUAAUAAAUGAAGUUAACUUGCUAUAAAAAGCAAGCAACAAACACGUCUAAAACUUGACGAAACUCUUGAUGCUCUUAAAACUGACUAUUCUAAGUUACUUCAUAUUGAAGAACACACACAAACAUGUAUCUUUUAAUUUUGUAUUCGAUUCUAACUUGUAUUGUAUUAUAGCUGUCAAUCAAAUUUGAAGUCUAUUUCGCUACUAAUUCAAAAAGUUUCACUUUUAGUUAUUUUCAACAUCCUAAACAUUAGGCCAAAACUGAAAUAACUACAAAUUUCAUCAAAAAGAUAAUUUAAAUUUGAUAAGACAAAAAAGCCUUCUAAUAUUUGAAGAAUAUUUUCUACGAAUGUGUGUUGCAACAUUUGAAAUUUAUUUCAAUAAAAAGAUAUUUAGUUUUUACAAUGAAUAAAAGUCGUCUAAUGUUUGAGUGAUAUUUUAUACGAACGUCCAUUAUAUGCAUAUUCCUUGCCAAUAAUUGUAGUUUAUGUUAAAAAUAAUAAAUUGUACUUGCAGAUGAUCACCUAAUAUUAAAAUUUCAGAUAAUUAAAUAUUGUUAAAACCCUAGAGCAAAUCAUAUUUUAUAUUUGCAAGACAUAAGGUGACAAAAUAAAUUCUCACGAGCCAUUAAAAUAUUUUUUGGAUAAGUUUGACAUUUGUUUAUAAACUUAAAAUAAUUAAUCUUAGUAGAAUUAGCAUUUAUCUAUGAUUCAUAAUCUCUAUCCAAAACUUCAAUUUGUAUCUAUCAAAAAUGUAUAAAUUCCGGCUAAACUUAACGUAAUUGAAAUAUAAUUAAUAGUUGAGACCACCUAUGCAGUCUGGCCUUUUAAUUCGUAAUAGUAUAGAUUUUGUAAUUUCAAUUUAAAGUCCUUAAAAAAUCAAACAUGAAGUCUAAAUCUUAAAAAAAAAAAAAACAGAGACUACCAAUUUACAAAUCUUGAUACCAAUUCUAAUUGAAGGAGUCUCAUCGCUUAUUUGGUCAAAUUUAUUUUUUUGCUCAAAAAUAUUUUUUUUUCCAAAAAAAUAUGUUUGUUUUUAAAAAUUGAGGUGAACUUUUGAAACUAAACAAGUUCUUUCAGAGAGUUCAGCUUGAUUAGUCUUUUGUUUCAAUAUUUAUCUAAUUAUGGUAAUUAAUAAGUAUUAAAUAUUCCAUAACUUAUGCAUGCCAUGUGUUUUAGUCAUUCAAUCAACAAUACACAUAUAUCAAAUAUUAGACUCUAAAUAAAGAAAUAAAUUAACAUAAUAUUAACAAAGCAUUUAGAUUACUCCAUUCUUACAUAACUUUAGAAAGCAAAACUAUACUUCAUUUCAAAGAACACAGAGAAAAUAUCUCUUGUAACUAAAGUAAUAAAAUACUCGAAAAAAGAAAAACUAUAUCCCCAGAAAUAAUCUAAACAUAAUAUUCUUAUCGAACUACUAAAAUAAGGCCUUCAUUCAUAUUUUGCUUAAUCAAAAUUAAAAUAAUUACAUAGUGUCAGCAUAUAAUCAUAUUAUUUCAUUAUUGACCUUAUAUUAGAUUAUUUAAAAAUAACAUUUAAAGCAAAAAAAGAGCUCAAAUUUGAUCUAUUGAAUAUAAAACAUACCGUCUUUUAUUUCCCACUUAGAGACAUAUCAAUUAUAAUUACUCGCAUAACGGUUAUCAAAUCAUCUUUGCUUAAAUAAUAAAGAUGAAUAUAAUAAUUAAAUUCAAUAUCUUUUGGAGAAUUUAUUUAAUUAAACUUAACCUUUACCAAAAAAAAUUCUCAAAGUCGAUCGACAUUCAUCUACCACUUGUAAACUGAAAUAAAACAAUGCGAUGAUAACAGCAACAACAACAAACCCAAUGUAUUCCCACCUAGUGGGGUCUGGGGAGGGUAAGAUGUAUGCAGUCCAUACCUCUACCUCUAAAGAAGUAGAAAGGUUGUUUCCGAUAGACCCCCGGCUCAAGGCACGAGAUACCACACAGACACAUAGUAAAGCACAGCACAAGAUUACAUAACAUAAAUACGGCACCCAUAAGUAAUAUACAACAGAGGAAAGCACCCAGAUUCGUAAUAAAACAUGGAACACGGAAUCAUAACAGGAAUCAAACCCCCACCAAGUAAUNNNNNNNNNNNNNNNNNNNNNNNNNNNNNNNNNNNNNNNNNNNNNNNNNNNNNNNNNNNNNNNNNNNNNNNNNNNNNNNNNNNNNNNNNNNNNNNNNNNNNNNNNNNNNNNNNNNNNNNNNNNNNNNNNNNNNNNNNNNNNNNNNNNNNNNNNNNNNNNNNNNNNNNNNNNNNNNNNNNNNNNNNNNNNNNNNNNNNNNNNNNNNNNNNNNNNNNNNNNNNNNNNNNNNNNNNNNNNNNNNNNNNNNNNNNNNNNNNNNNNNNNNNNNNNNNNNNNNNNNNNNNNNNNNNNNNNNNNNNNNNNNNNNNNNNNNNNNNNNNNNNNNNNNNNNNNNNNNNNNNNNNNNNNNNNNNNNNNNNNNNNNNNNNNNNNNNNNNNNNNNNNNNNNNNNNNNNNNNNNNNNNNNNNNNNNNNNNNNNNNNNNNNNNNNNNNNNNNNNNNNNNNNNNNNNNNNNNNNNNNNNNNNNNNNNNNNNNNNNNNNNNNNNNNNNNNNNNNNNNNNNNNNNNNNNNNNNNNNNNNNNNNNNNNNNNNNNNNNNNNNNNNNNNNNNNNNNNNNNNNNNNNNNNNNNNNNNNNNNNNNNNNNNNNNNNNNNNNNNNNNNNNNNNNNNNNNNNNNNNNNNNNNNNNNNNNNNNNNNNNNNNNNNNNNNNNNNNNNNNNNNNNNNNNNNNNNNNNNNNNNNNNNNNNNNNNNNNNNNNNNNNNNNNNNNNNNNNNNNNNNNNNNNNNNNNNNNNNNNNNNNNNNNNNNNNNNNNNNNNNNNNNNNNNNNNNNNNNNNNNNNNNNNNNNNNNNNNNNNNNNNNNNNNNNNNNNNNNNNNNNNNNNNNNNNNNNNNNNNNNNNNNNNNNNNNNNNNNNNNNNNNNNNNNNNNNNNNNNNNNNNNNNNNNNNNNNNNNNNNNNNNNNNNNNNNNNNNNNNNNNNNNNNNNNNNNNNNNNNNNNNNNNNNNNNNNNNNNNNNNNNNNNNNNNNNNNNNNNNNNNNNNNNNNNNNNNNNNNNNNNNNNNNNNNNNNNNNNNNNNNNNNNNNNNNNNNNNNNNNNNNNNNNNNNNNNNNNNNNNNNNNNNNNNNNNNNNNNNNNNNNNNNNNNNNNNNNNNNNNNNNNNNNNNNNNNNNNNNNNNNNNNNNNNNNNNNNNNNNNNNNNNNNNNNNNNNNNNNNNNNNNNNNNNNNNNNNNNNNNNNNNNNNNNNNNNNNNNNNNNNNNNNNNNNNNNNNNNNNNNNNNNNNNNNNNNNNNNNNNNNNNNNNNNNNNNNNNNNNNNNNNNNNNNNNNNNNNNNNNNNNNNNNNNNNNNNNNNNUCUCUCCCAGAUCUUCAUAGAGUGGCUCCAUAACUUAAUCCCCCUAUAGUUAUUACAACUCUGAAUGUCCCCCUUAUUCUUAUAGAGGGACCAUGGGACUCCACCUCCACGCCUCGGGCAUCUUUGCCGUCCUGAAGAUUUCAUUGAACAAUCCAGUCAACCACCUUACACCGGCCUCUCCAACGAAUUUCCAAAACUCCACCGGUAUCUCAUUCGGCCCCGUCGCCCUACCCCUUCACAUCCUGCGAAUAGCCUGUCUAACCUCUUCUACCUUAAAACGUCUACAAUAGCUAAAAUCCCGACACUCCUCUGAGUGCUCCAGUUCCCCUAACACAAUAGCUCUAUCCCCUUCGUCAUUCAAGAGCCUACGAAAGUACGACUGCCAUCUAUUCUUAAUGUGGCCGUCCUCCACCAACACUCUACCGUCCCCUCCCCCUUGAUGCACCUCACCUGAUCGAGGUCACGACCCUUCCUCUCCCUAGCCUUAGCGAGUCUAAACAACUUUUUCUCCCCUCCUUUCCGCUGUAACCCUGCAUACAAGCUCUCAAAAGCGGCCGUCUUAGCUGCCGUGACUGCUGACUUAGCCUCCUUCCUCGCUAGCUUGUACUCAAAAUAAUAUAAUUAAAUCUAAUUUUACACAAAAAUUUUCUUAAAGCCAGAAGGAGUUGAGGGUCAGAAAAUUAAAUAUUCAUCAAUCUAAACAUAAAGAAAAGUUGAGGGUUAGAAAAUUAAACAUCCACCAAUCUAGCCAUAAAAAAGAAGUUGAGGUUUAGAAAAUUAAGCAUCCACCAAUCUAGACAUGUAACCGAAUCAAGUUAGAUGAGUAUCAAUAAUAUUUUUCAAUAAGUAAACCAGUUUCUUCUCUAGUUUAAUACUAUUGACGAUCGUCAUACAAUAAAGAGCAAUCCUAAUGAUGACAUUGGUAAGAAUUCAAUACCUGUCAAACAACAUUGUACCUAUAAUACAUAGUAAGAAUUAACCAAAAAGAAAAAAAACAUAAAAUGUCAAUAUUAAUAUAAAGGAACUGUAAAGAUUAAUAUCUCAUAUUGACACCUAUAUAUUAAACGAAAAAAUUAUUUAAAUGACACAAAUUAAAUUUACCCUCCCAUCAUAUAACAAAUGUAGAAAGAAUCGAUGGUAAUUACAAUCUAAAGAUUUGAAAGAAAAAGAAAAUUGAAAAGAAAAUUGAUUUAACCUCUUGAUAUGUGAAUACUGAUACAAUCUUUUUAUUCUUCGAGAAUAACAUAAUUUUUAGACUUUAAAUAAAGGUUGAAUACAAUAUGAAAGAGUAUCCUAAACAAACAAAAACUCAAAUAACCCUAAACCUAAUUAAAUAUAUACAUACGGAAGUUUUUAGUUUCUCAUUAAAAAUAAUUAUAGUAAUUAUAAUUAUAUUAGAAAAUAGGAUACAAUAUGAAAGAGUAUCCCAAACAAACUCAAAUAACCCUAAACCUAAUUAAAUAUAUACACACGGCAGUUUUUAGUUUCUCCACAAAAAAUAAUUAUUGUAAUUAUAAUUAUAUUAAAAAAAUAAUAAAAAGAUGAUUUUAUCUAUUACAAAUAUUUUAAUGAAGGGCAAAAAAUUUAAAUUACUUUUCCAAGGAUUUUCACACUUUUAAUAAAUAUAAUAUAAUUAUAUUAGAAAAUAGGAUACAAUAUGAAAGAGUAUCCUGAACAAACAAAAACUCAAAUGACCCUAAACCUAAGUAAAUAUAUACACACGACAGUUUUUAGCUUCUCCACAAAAAUAAUUAUAGUAAUUAAUAAUUAUACUAAAAAUAAUAAAAAGACGAUUUUAUCUAUUACAAAUAUUUUUAAUGAAGGGCCAAAAGUUCAAAUCACUUUUCUAAGGCUUCACACUUUUAAUAUAUUAUAGAUAUGCAAUUACCAAAAAACCCCUCCACUCCCACUUAAUUACAUACCAUUCCUCAAUAUAUAAUAAUUCUAUUAUUUCAUCAUAAUGAUUUAAAUAUUUAAUAUAUUCUAUUGAUUUAUAUUAAUUAACUAUAACUACUUAUUGGAAGUAAAAAAAAUAUUUAUUUAAUUGGCUAUCAUGUUCAAAACUAAUUUGUUACCAUGAAUCACAAUAAUUAAUAACUUAAAAUAUUUAAAAGACAUAUAGAAAUUUUAUUGACUCUCAUUAUUUUAGCAAUGCCACAUAAAUUGAGAUAAAAGAAAAAGUAUUGCAAAUCAUAAUAAUUAACAACUUAAAAUAUUUAAAAGAUAUAUAAAAAUUUUCGUUGAUUCUAAAAAUUGUAUCGAAGCCACAUAAAUUGAGACACAAGAGAGUCAAUAUAUUAUUUGAUAAUUACGUAAAAAAAUAUUAUAAAUCACAAUAAUUAACAAGUUAAAAUACUUUUUUAAAAAUAGAUAAAAGUUCUAUUCAACUCUCAAAAUUUUAUCGGUGCACCAUAAAUCAUGACAAAAUAAAAAUUAAUUUUGAUUAAUUGCAACUAAAUACUUAAAGUAAAUCAAUUUUAUUAUUUUAAUUGACUUUUAUAUAGAAAAUUANNNNNNNNNNNNNNNNNNNNNNNNNNNNNNNNNNNNNNNNNNNNNNNNNNNNNNNNNNNNNNNNNNNNNNNNNNNNNNNNNNNNNNNNNNNNNNNNNNNNNNNNNNNNNNNNNNNNNNNNNNNNNNNNNNNNNNNNNNNNNNNNNNNNNNNNNNNNNNNNNNNNNNNNNNNNNNNNNNNNNNNNNNNNNNNNNNNNNNNNNNNNNNNNNNNNNNNNNNNNNNNNNNNNNNNNNNNNNNNNNNNNNNNNNNNNNNNNNNNNNNNNNNNNNNNNNNNNNNNNNNNNNNNNNNNNNNNNNNNNNNNNNNNNNNNNNNNNNNNNNNNNNNNNNNNNNNNNNNNNNNNNNNNNNNNNNNNNNNNNNNNNNNNNNNNNNNNNNNNNNNNNNNNNNNNNNNNNNNNNNNNNNNNNNNNNNNNNNNNNNNNNNNNNNNNNNNNNNNNNNNNNNNNNNNNNNNNNNNNNNNNNNNNNNNNNNNNNNNNNNNNNNNNNNNNNNNNNNNNNNNNNNNNNNNNNNNNNNNNNNNNNNNNNNNNNNNNNNNNNNNNNNNNNNNNNNNNNNNNNNNNNNNNNNNNNNNNNNNNNNNNNNNNNNNNNNNNNNNNNNNNNNNNNNNNNNNNNNNNNNNNNNNNNNNNNNNAUACUUUUAAAUAUUGUAUGUGUGUAUAUGUAUGUAUAUGUGUGUGUGUGUGUAUAUAUAUAUAUAUAUAUAUAUAUAUAUAUAUAUAUAUAUAUGAGGCAAUAGCAACUUUCCACGUGGAAGGAAAGGGAGGUUACAACAAAUUAUCUUAAGUGGUGUUAUGCCAUAACUUGCAUAGAUUAGUGAACAGUUAAGUACAGAGGGGUGGUGGGGUAGGUAUUUAAGCAUUUACAUUAGUUAAUUUCAUAGAAAUCUCACCUAGGAUCUGUGAUGUUUACCUUGUUAUCCAAUAACAACAUGUUCUGCUUUGUAUAUCCAUAGGCAUAUUAACUUAAGUUUUUAGGAAAAAGUUUACUACUUGUAUUGAAUUUCCAACUAGAAAUCAAGUUAUUCAAGUUCAGGUUUUAGUGACACUAGUUGGAGGUUUUGCAAAAAGAUAUUUUAGUUUUGACGUUCAGAUAGGUUAGACUUAUCCUAUUUUUAGAUUGAGCUCAUUUAUGGUAAUUGUGUACUAUUAUGCUAGUUUUGGACAAGUAUUAAUUUGAAUACAUGUUCAAUUGAGUGUAAUAAAGUUGUUGAAAUUAAAAGACUUUCACUCUCUGUAGUUGAUGAAAAUGAAGCAUUGACUUUGUUUGAUGACGAUGUCAUUAACUUUAUAACAGAUUGAAACAAGACGGUUGUGAAGGUGAAGUAACUUUACAAGAACAAAGCAGCUCUCAUUUCAGUGAUGCAAAAGUAUUUCAUCUAGCAUAGAUUUAAUUUCACAAUUGAGAGAUCUGAGUAUCCGACAAAUAGAUGUAUUUUUUUGAAGGUUACUAUUUUGUGAGUGUUGAUACAUUUUAAUUUAAGUAAUUAGUUACGUGAUUGAAGAAAAUAGACAAUGCUCAAUUGAUGUGAAAUUGAAAUAACUUGAAAUUACGCAAUUUAUUAUGCGUAAUAAUGAUUUUGAUUUUUUUAUUUCUUGAUACGUUAUAUGAUUCAUAUUAGACAAUGGGACUAUGAAAAUGUAUUUGGUCACUAAUAUAAAUUUGAUUUUUUAUUUUGAAUUUUUAUAAAUAAUUUAGAGUGGAAAUUGUUAGGUUUUUGUCUUGAUUUUCUUACUAUAUUUAAGUUUUACUUUUUCUUAGAAUGAAAAUAAAAGUUAUCAUAAUUACUUUUACUUUUCCUGAAAGAAAAAAUAUAAUUCUUUUCCAUAUUUGUCUAAUCUCUUUCUUAGAGGAAAGGUUUUGGACAUCUAUAAAUAGAAGACUCCCUUCCCAUAUCAUAACACAAUGACAUUCAUAAUGUAAUCUUUAAAGAGUCUUUGUUUAGGGGGAGAUUUCUCCCAAUAAGUUUUAGGAUUUUCAAUUUUAUUUUUAAUAUGUAGGCCGUUUGGCCAAACCAUAUUCAAUAAUAUAUUUUUAGUUUAAUUUUUCAUGUGUCGUCUGAUUUAUCGUCUUAUGGUUUGCAAACUAAAAGCUUCCGCAUGACGCCCUCUCGAUUUCGAACCCAACAGAAAUAGCUUUUCUUUGUUUUAAAAUUUUUGAAAAUUCUAAAAUUCAAUUUCAAGUUAAAUUUCAAAAAUUUAUGAUCAUAACAUAUUUUUCGAUAUUCAAUUCCCGUAAUUUUAAAAAAAUAAAAUCACGAACAAACACGCUUAAAUACUUUAUUAGUUUUCUCUAACUAGAAAAAUUCUUCCUUCUUUUGUAAAGCCACUAUUUUAUUGGUGGGAUUUUAGGUUAUACUAUAUUCCCUUUCUUUUCAUUUCAUAUAUUGCAAAAAAUAUUGGAGAGGUGGGGCUAGAUUUCCAAUCCUCUCGUGAGUUACAUAUGUAUGGUGAAAGGGAGAGUAACGUCGAUCCAAACAACUUUUCACAUAUUCUUAUGAAUUCACAUGCUAAAAUUUUAUUAAAUAUUCACGAGAGAAUGGAUGUAUUUAAUUGUUCUUUUUUUCUUGUUUGUACAACUUUAUGCUUUUUUUAAAAAAAAAGUUAUUAUCUUUUUCUCAAUUCCAAAUUUAAUAAAUUCAAAUUAGUGAGAGGAGAAUUUAAAUUUUUGAUUUUAUGUAUUCAGUAUUAAGGUUUUAUUAUUGAACUCACUACAAUUUUAAAUUAUGAGUUUAUUAUGUCUAUUCAAAAUAUCUGUUAACAUAAUUUUUAUAAAUUUUUAUAUGUAAACAUACUGCAUCAAAGAUACUGAAUUCAGAUAUAUCGAAGUUUGUAAGGCUACAUACGUGGUUGUCUUGUCCAAAUUUGCAUUUUUUUUUAAUAGCCGUAAAGUAAGUUAGAAGUUUUUUCAGAAACUACAAGGUUUGUGAAUUACAAAAUAGGAUUGAAUUAAUUUUUUUAAAAGAUUAUAUUGUUAUUUAUUUAUUUGGAACUAAACUUCAUCUCUUUCCUCCAAUUAUAAUUUUUUGCUUAACUUGAGAAUUGUUAUAAAAAAAGUUGAAGGGUAAAUUAAUUUAAUCAAACAAGUUAUUUUGAAAUUGAAUUUUAUUUUGUUCUAAAUUAUUUAGUUGCUAGUCUCAUGCCCUUUUAUCUUUUAAUUUUAUUCAAUAGAAUUUAAAUCGAGGCAUAACAAAAUUUUGAUUUGAAUUGUUUACAAAUCAAAGGGAAGUAAAUUGAUUAACUUAAAUUAUCUACAGAAUUCACAAUCACGUUUUAUUGUUUUUUUUUUUAAACAAUCACGUUUUAUUGUUUUUUUUUUAAAAAAAAUGAACAUUUAAUUAAUAAAUCAACCCCUUAUAUUGCAACAUAUGAUAGGUCUACAUUAAAAAUUGUGGCACUCCUAUAGCCACAAAUUAAACAUUGAUCACAUGAAAAAUAAAAAAAAGUAGAGAAUAAUCGAUAUUUCUUGAAGCUAUUUUCUAUUAUCGUCUAUUUCAUUUGAAAUUUUCGAUUAAGGAUAUUUAAUUUAUCAAAUAUCUUAGAUUUUUCUUGUGUGUCCAUAACACAAAGGGGUGGACCUAGAUCACAUGACCCGAUACUUUACAACAAAUUUUUUGGGCUCUUUUACUUGAACAUGAUAUUGAACAAAUAUUCUUUCCAUUUUUUCAGUAUCUCAUUUGCUAAUUUUGAUCGUAUUGUCGCCCACUUUCUUUUAAUUAGCUUUAUUUGUGUGUGUAUUAGAUGAUAGAAUUACUUGUUAGGUGAUUGAGGUGAUGUGUUAUUUGAAGAUAAUUUGAUAACAUAGUGACAAAACUUCUCAAUCGAUGACAGAAAUGACGAAUCUUUCAAUUGAUGAGAUUUUUCAAGAUUGAAUUAUUUUUAUAUAUUCGUGUAUCUUUCAUGUCAAACGCGUAGGAAUAUCUAAAAAAUGGGGGGGAAAAUGAAUCAGAUCAAUUAAUUAAACAAUCAACACAUAUUUUGAUUUGAUUUGAUGCUCAGUUUUUUUUACAAAGAGAUAAUAAUAUUUGAUUCAGUUCUAUCUUGAGCCAAAAAAUGAAAAGAAAGAAAGAAAAAUAACCAAUAAUACACAACAAACGUAUGCUGACUAUUUGAUGAAUAUAUUCGAUCAUUCAAUUUUAUUGAUUAUUAUACCAUGUAUUUAGAUGAUUAUUCAAUUUUAUUGAUUAUUAUACUAUGUCUUUAGACGUUCUUUAUCGAAUGUUAUUUUUAAAAGGUUUAUGGGGAGAUCUCCCAUUCCCUAAGAGUCGGUGCAAAGUGAUUCUCAUUCUCACCGCAACUUUAUCAAGCCGAAAGAAUCUUACUCUAUAGAAAGAAGCCUAUUCCUAAACUCUUCCUCUUUGUUAGCUUUUUGUACCUCCUCGACUUCUCAGUUCUCGAAUAAAAAGGACAAAGAAAAAAGAAUCGAACUUCACGAAGACCAAAUCAAAAACUAUUAGACGUCUCACAACUCUUCUUGUUGAAUUUUUCAAAUAUUGAUCUCUUUUAAACAAUAACUUUAGAAGUAGUUUACUGGUGCAAAUGAUCACUUAUUAUCAUAAAAUUAGCAAUUUUCUUUCGUAAUAAGGAACCAUUAUCUAUACGGUUAAAUUUUAUAUUUACUAAGGUGAUAUAAUUUAUUUAUUUUUUUGUACCUGGCUAGAUUUUAAAUGUUAAAUAUUUCUCCUGAACAACAAACUAAAGUCACCACCAUUGCAAAUUGUCCAUUGCUAUUUUUGUCAAAACUUUUGAUCCAUUUCAAAAAGGAAUGGACCAACUAUACCAACUUGGGCCAGGAAUAAGAGGAACAGGCCCACAACAGCGAGACGCCCACUCGAGCAAGGGUGAAGGCGCUUGAGACCAACAGGGAUGGUGAAUGCACACUAACUUGAGACCGAUCGGGAUGGUGAAUGCACACUAAGGGGUCGAUUGGUUUGAGGUAUAAAAAAUCAAAGGGAUAAGUUAUCUCGGGAUAAAAUAAAAGAUCACUUAAUUCCUUGUUUGAUUGGAGGGAUUAAUCCAACCUGGGAUAACUUAUCCCAUAUACAUGUUAGGAUAAGUUAUCUUGGGUAAUCCCGAAGUAACUAAUCCCGAGAUAACAAUUUCCCAACCAAACGACCCUUAACAGACAACUAAAAGGAUGAUGUGUUAGGUAUCUUAUAAGGCACUUACAACCUUCAGCGAAAUCGCAUAUAACACACGCUAAUGGACAUGCUAUUUCCAACGGCACAUGGCGUUUUCCCAUUGGUCGCAGGCAUUAUUGCCGCCUUAUAAGUAGAGACCCCCUCCUCCAUUGUAAAGAAUCAGAUGUUUGCUCACCUUUAUCCUAUAAGCAACACAAUAAACUCUGAUUUGGUUCUUAGGCUUUCUCUACUUUUCUUUUGUUGUUUGAGCUUUUGUUAUUGCUUUCUUACUAUCAUAUGCCCGUUCACAAUUGUAUGAAUAUUUAGUGGAAUUGCACAUUAAAAACUCCUUAAUUUUACAUUCCAACUCCGCCACAUUCAUCUCUAAUGUGAUUCGCUCGUAUUAUUUACUUUUCUGCAGACGCAAACCGUUAAUCCAAAGCUAAAAGGCCUCAAUGCAUGCUCUCGACCAACACAAAAAUCUAACAAUCCCAAAUCGGCAAUAAAUGGUCCCAUAUGCGUGUUCUGAGGAAAAUGAACUAUAUACAAAUCUUAUCUCUAUCUUCAUAAGGCAGAGAAGUUAAUUUCGAUGGACCUUUGCCUCAAUAAAAUCAUAUUUCAGAGUAGUUUAAAUCGAACAUGUUUUAAAAGUAAAAUUUAUAGUAAAACUUAUAUAAAUUUCAAAAAGUUUACCCCUAAUUGCUCUCUAUCCUUACUCUUUGCUAAAUUAAAAAUAAUUUCUUAUUUAUAAUUUUUGAAUACAUAAUCAACAUCCGGAUAUAUAAUAUUGAAGUUGAGCUACAGAGUUUUGAACUUAAGAAAGUACCAAUUAACUAAUUAAUUUUUGCUCGGAUACAUAAUUAACAUUCGAAUACAUAAGUUUAAUUACUGAGAUGUAUCCAUUUCAUAAAUUAUUUGGUUCAGAUAUACAAUAAAUUAAGUAGAUCAAAAGGAGAUGCAUAAUUAAAAUUAUGUAUCUGAAAAUUUAUGCAUUUAUGGAUAUAUUCAGUUGUUUUUAUUUUAAAAAUAGAUUUAGGUAAUUAAUAAAAAUAAUAAAUUUUUUAUGUUGUUUAGAAAAGAUAAUUUGUGUUGUUAUGUAGUAAUUUUUUUUUUAAGUAUUACACAACUUUAUUUUAUUAAAAUUCUAAUUUCACUUUCAAUUCUAGUUUAUUCAAAAUAUUAAUCGAAGGGUUUCGUUUUUAUUUUUGGGAAUAGGCGCGAAAACCAAAAAAAAAAAAUCCGCGCAAUUUAUUCCCACCAACAGGCGGGAAACAAAACAUAAAUGCCCAAAAGUUUCACAAUUUUUUUUAAAUUUCUACCAAACAAACAACACGCGCCCCCCACGCCCUCCCACCCCCACUAUUUCUUCUACAUUUCUCCCUCAUUUCUAGGGUUUUACUUCAAUCUUCCACUAGAAGUUUCGCGAAUUUGUUCUAGAAUCUUCGAGAAACUUUGCACGGAGCAAUGUCGGAACCGAUGGUAAUCGACGGUGUAGAUGAAGUGAAAGUAGAAGCGAUGAAAGUUGAUGCGAAGAAGAAGAUGAAAAGGAAGAGGGUUAAUUUGGUAAUUUACAGUCCCGAAGAGAAAUCGGCUAAGAUUGAAGAGCUGAAGGUUGAAAUGAAGGGAUUGGUUGAGUAUUAUAAGGAAGUGAUGGAGAAGAAAGUGGUACAAAUGGAGGAAAUGAAAGGUUUGGGGUCAGGGUUAGGCUUGAAUAGUGUGAUUGGUUGCAUGCUAGAGGAAAGUGAUUUAUCGUUAUCGAAAUUGGUUGAUGUAAUAUUUGAAAAGAUUAGUGAUAGUGAGGGAAGUAGUAGUAAGGUUAGUGUGAAGAGUGCUGUGAUUUUGGUUGGUCAGAGGGUGUUUUACGGAGUUCCGAAUGGAGAUGUGGAUGUCUUGGAGGAUGAAUCCGAGUCUGCUCUUUGGUGUUGGGAGGUAAAAUUUUUCAAAUUUGUGUUGUAAUUGUCAGAAUUUAGGGUAUUUUUUAUAUGGAUAUUGAAUCUUGUAUUGAUGUUACUAUUUGACUUGCAUUUAUGUCUUUAUUUAAGAAACUUUGAUUGCGAUUUGAGUGGUUUAAAGUUCCAUAUCGGUUGGGGAUUAAAUUGGUGCAAUGUAUAUAUGCUUUUGGGUUGGGUUGGGUUAGAUCCAAAUGUCAUAUGGUAUUAGAGCUAGGUCCAUCCAUGUUGGGAUUCCUGGUCCUUGCUCUAGUUGGAUUUGAGCAUGAAAGGGGUGUUAGAGUGGGUUGGAAGUCCUAUAUCGGUUGGGAAUAAACCGGUGAUUGCACAUAUGUUUUUGGGGUUGAGUUAGACCCAAGUGUCAUAUGGUUCUAGAGAGUGGUACUAGAGAGCUAGGUCCAUCCAUGGUUAGAUUACUGGUUCAUGCUCUAGUUGGAUUUGAGCGUUAAGGGGGUGUUAGAGUGGUUUAAAGUCCUAUUAUAGGUUGGGGAAUAAACCAGUGAUUGCACAUAUGUUUUUGGAGCUGAAUUGGACCCAAGUGUCAUAUGGUACUAAAAGAGCUAGGUUCAUCCAUGGUUGGAUUAAUGGUCCAUUCUCUCAUUGAAUUUUAGCGUGAAGGGGGUGUUAGAGUGGGUUCAAGUUGGGAAUAAAUUGAUAGUUUGCAUUUAUGAACUUAGAAAAUGCUUUAAUUAUGAGCUAGUUUAUGGGGUUGAGUUAGACUCAUGUCUUUACACUUUAGUUUAUCGAUUUUCUAAGAUCUUUUGUAUCUCUUUUUUUGGGCAUGUGUGUGUUUCAUUAUGGUAACUUUAGUGUUAAAAGAUGUGCAAAUGAUUGUUGUAGAUUUUUAAUUUGGUGUAUUAAUGUUGAUUGUUGCUUAUGCUAUUUAGCUUGCUUACGUUAUGUUGCUUGAUGUGUCAAAUGAGUGUCUUGUUUCAGUCUAUGUUGUUUAGAUUCUCCAAGACCGAUGCCACACCCUUGUUGGAUUCUUCAAAAAAUUCACUAUUUUUUGGAGAAUCCCCCCCACACCUGCCGCUAUCUUGACAGAGUAUGAGCAACAUAGGCUUCAAUAGUCAGCUUUAAUGAUUAUUCACUGAUUAGAUUUAAUAUUGAUAUGGAAAUUUCCAGUAAUCAUGCAUAGUUGUGCUAGUUAAGGGUGGGCCCAUGUGUAAUGGUGGGACUGCACUUGCAUCCGUGAACUUCGGAAGAAACUCUCUAUAUAUGCAUAUACACCUUGAAAAAUUUACAUAUUUUAGUAGUACCCCUCAAAGAUAUUGACUGGAUUGGGUCAAUUGGUUGGCAUGCCCCUUUGGCCGGUAGCCUCACCCUUGCGACCCAAAUUCGAUUCCUGACUGCAGCUAUUUGUAUUUUUUUGGAGUUUGAGACCUGUGUCUUUUUUACAAAUUAUAAGCCACCUAAUUUUAUUUUUACAUUUUUAUUCUUUAAUACCCUCUCUCACCUUACUUUUUCAUUAAUUUCCUCCUCCCAAAAGCCUCAAAUCUAAUGCCUACUUUUCCUACUUCCCAGUUCAUCCUCAUGUAAUUGAAGAAAAAGUUCUCCCCAUUUUUAUUUCUUAACUCAAUUUUCAUUCUUCCAUUCUUAGUUUCUCAUAAAUCACUGAAUGAGGAACGUCUCCCACAAUUAAAUUCAUCUCGGCACAAAACAAUUUCUUCCGUGAUCGAAGUAGAGCCAAUAACUGAACUUCUCUAACAUUAAAGCUUUCCUUAAUUGUUUAGUUUGUUACUUUCAAAAAUAGUAUUUGUAACUGCAAGCAACAAUGUCAUUAUCGAUCGUUUCAAAAUAUGAAAACACUUCAAGUUCAAGUAUGACUGGAUGAUGUACAUUUGUUAUAUUAGUGCCAAAUUAAUGAUAUUUGAUAAUAUUGAAGUUUGUACGUUAUCAUAUCAUUAAGUUUUUUAAAAGUUGCACCAAACUUUGUUGCUAGUAAUUUGCAUACUAAUAGUGGUUGCCCCGUUGCAAUUAAAUCUUGGGUCCGCCUCUGGUGCUAGUUACUUAGUAUUGUAUGUGCUUCAACCUUUCAAUUAGGUGAUUUAAUUUUGCAUGCUACUUUAGUGAAUGGAUUUGAUUCUAGAAAGUGGAAACCCAUAUACAGCAACAAUGCCCACAGUUUUUCCCUUCAGUGUGUUCAUGAUAUGAUUUUGUCUCAUCUAUUUCAACCUGGAAGGUCGUAUAAAUAACAUGCUAAUGCUAAUGCAAUUCCUUUCUUUUAUAGACACGAGACCUUAAAUUAUUGCCGAAAUCAGUCCGGGCUACUCUGAAGAUUCGCCGGACUUGUCGGAAAAAAAUCCAUGAGAGAAUUACUGCUGUCUCUGGUGAGUGAAUGCUGAUAAUGUACAUGUCAAUCUGUUUGUGGUGAAGAAGGCAUUCUUUUGAGCUUGUAAUAUUUUUUGUACUUCAUACAUCCAUGUCUCAUGCUAAGGUGUCAAUGUUCAUUUAUGGCAUAAUUUGUGGUACUGCCGCUUCUAAACAUUAACUUAUUUGUCACCCAAGGGUGUGGCUUGGAUGUGGCCUAGUGGUUCAAUGAAGUUGGGUUGAGCACCAUGAGGUCUCAACAAUUCAACAAUUCCCAAUGGAGACAAACAUUAGGUGAUUUCUUCCCAUCUGCUUUAGCCUUGACAGAGUUACCUGGUACCGUGGCAGGUAUCUUGUGGAAUUAGUUGAGGUGCACGUAGGCUGGCUCGGACACCAUAGUUAUAAAAAAAAAACAUUAACUUAUUUGGUUUGCUUGUAUUCAGGAUAUACUUGGUUAUACUUGGUCAGGCUGAGUAUUUCUAGUUGUGUAGUCAUGAAAACAUAAACUUAUUAUGGAUGAUUCAGAAACAUGAUCAUAUAUUUGAUUUUCUAUUGGUUGCCUCCAAUUCUCUUAUUUAUUUGAUAUCGUGUGAAUCGGAGCACAUAUCUUUUUUCAUUUAAUUCAUUUAAUGCAGUUCCCUUAACAUACCCAUUUGAUAUCAUGUGAAUCGGAGCACAUAUCAUUUUUCAUUUAAUUCAUUCAAAGCAAUUCUUAAGAUCUUUUUGGUCUAAUAAUUCCUGUUCAUUUCAUUUCCUCUAUGAAAACACUGUUGUUUUUUUAUGUAAAGCAUUAACAAGUGAAUGAUCUAUUUGGUCUUCUUUCAACGAGCUUAGAACAUUGAUAAGCUGAAGUGUUUGUGUUUUGCUAUUGUGGCAGCUUUAUUGACUGCACUAGAAAAGUUGGGAACUGAUCAAAACUGCUCCCAAGAGCGGAUGACGGCUUCUGAAAAGCUUGGCAAAGUAUUAAAUGAGGCAGAUAUCCGCUUGUUAGUUGCAAGCAUGGAACAAAAAAAUGGUGCUGAAGUGUAUGUGAUUUUCUAUUUCUUCUCUAGUAUUUUUUCUAUAACUACCCUCUUUCUACUGUUUACUCAAAUCUCUUGAUUGAUAAAGGGCUGAGAAGUCCGUAAAACAGGAGGAGAGACUUUUGAUCAAGCAGUUAGAGAGAAAGAAAAGAGAAGCUGAAAAAGAGAAGAAAAGGAUGGAGCGUGAAGUUCUGAAAGAAAAAUUGAAAAGUGUGAGUUGUUUGAUUCAACCUGUUGGUGAAAUGCUUGUUGCUGUUGGCAUAUCCUUAGAAGUGUGCUAUAAGGAAGCACAUAAAACCUUACUGGUUUUGUGUUACCCUUGUUUUGUGAUACUAGUCACGCUUCCCGAUUGAUUCUUUUUGAUGGCUAAAUCUCUCUGUGCAGGAAAAAGAGUUAAAACGGCUACAAAGUGAAGCAGAGAAAGAGGAAAAGCGGUUUGAGAAAGAAGAAUCUAAACUAAAAAAGCAGAUGAUGAGAGAACAAGAAGAAACUGAGAAAGAUCGACGCCGCAAGGAAAAGGAAGAAGCUGAUGCUAAAAGGCAACUUACUUUGCAAAAGCAAGCUUCAAUGAUGGAGCGCUUUUUCAAAAGAAGCAAAACUAACUCUUCUUCCCAGAAUUGCCAGUCAUUAGAUAAGCCAGCUUUUGAUUUUUCCGCUAGCAAGUGUGAAAAGAAGCCUGUAUCUGUUACUCUGUCAAUGGACUCAGUCCUUACACAGAAUGAUGGCCUUAAUGCUGAUGAUUUAUGGAAGUUAGUUCUUCUUUUUUUUCUUUCAUCGUAAUGUGGUGAUUUUUUAUUUUUUUGUUUUUAUUUUUGAUAUUUAUAUAAAUGUUGCUUGGAUUUACUUUGCAGGUCACACUUGAAUUCGUGGCAUUGCUUAGGUUGUUCAAAAGGGAAAGUUCAUUGGGGAAUCCGUCAAAAGCCCAAGACUAAUGUAGUCAAGGAAAUUAAGCUAACAUGCAGUAAAGGACUGACUUGUGACAAUGAGGAUAAUACAGAGAAACUAGUUGAUGGAUGGGCUGAGCCUCACAAUAAUACCAGAUCAUGUAAUGCUGGUGAGGUCAAUACGAUUCCUUGUCGCCACUUAUCAAGGAGGCAACUGUUGCAGUUUGAUAAGUGUCAUAGGCCUGCAUUUUAUGGUGUUUGGCUGAAGAAAAGGUGAGCUGUGCUGUGAUUCAUGUGUGAUGAAAUUUCAAAUUUUAUUAGACCAUUAAUGGAUCUUUGGUACCUCUCAAUAGAAGGAUUACACACUGUAUUUGUGUUUAUAUAUCUAUAAACAGGCAAAAAAACACAUAAAACUUUUGGUGCUUGGAAAGUUAACCUACAGCCUUGCCUAUAUGUGUUUCUUGCAAAUAUUAUGCUAUCUUGAUGUGUUUUAUAUGAAUUCAGUCUCCAUAUUUAGUUGUGAUGGUGUACUAUUCCGUUAUCAAUAUCUUGAGUGUUACUAUGAUCAUGUGGAUGUCAAUGGGUAUGUGUUCUUACAUUUUCUCCUUUCCUCGUUACUGAUAUUGAUUUUUUACAUCAGCCAAGUUGUAGGAGCACGUCGCCCCUUCGUAAUGGAUCCAGAUUUGGAUUAUGAGGUUGAUAGUGAUGAGGAAUGGGAAGAGGUACUUCUCUGAUUUUUUUUCUAUAGCAUCUGUGAAUUAUGAUGAUUACUGACUUUUGAUUAAAAUAGGAGGAACCUGGCGAAAGUCUAUCAGAUUGUGAUAAAGAUGAUAAUGAGUGUUUGGAGGAAGAAUGUUCAAGAGGUGAAGAUGAAGACGAAAGCGAAGAUGGAUUUUUCGUGCCAGAUGGAUAUCUCUCAGAAGAAGAGGUUUGCCAGUCCUCAAUACCCACUUUUCACAUGGAACCAAUACAUAAUUAUGAUAAUAUAUUGUGGAACACAGACUGUUUUAUCCUUGAUUGAUGAGUUUGUGGUUUACAUGAUUUGUGAAUAUUGUGUUAUAAGCAUGCAAUGGUUGCUGUUUAAAAAUCUUAAACCCUGCUGCUGAUGCGAUACAUUUUCCUAGAUGGUUCAUAAUUAUCUUAAUUUUCCUGCAUAGCUUGCAUCUUCUGUACUUGCCUGAAUUAUGAUAUUUCUGAACCAUGUAUCAUAUUCUACGAGUACUUGUCUUGAGAUAGGGUAUGAUCAAGUUCUUGAUCUAUUUCCUUUGCUGCAUGAUUAGUAGUUGAAUGAAUUUGUAAGGUUACUUCAUGAUUCAAGUACAAAUGUGAAAUGACUGCAAGAAACUGAACACUUUACAUCUUACUAAAUGGCCUAGUUUUUGACUUAUCUGAGAUAUUUUUGGCUGUAACAUACUGGUGGUAUGUCAAAACAUACAAUAUUUGUUUGUGUCAUUUUAUAUUUGUAGUUAAUGUGCUAUAGUUUUACUUGGUAUUCUUGACUUAUAAUGUUAGAUGAAUUUGAAUUUUUUAAAGAAACGAGAGUUGUGUAAAAUAUAGUUGUUUAAUGAAUCACGUCAAGCAUUUUGAAUGUUACAGCAUGGAAAAUACUUUUUAGAAAAUUGGUACUGAGGGUUUUCUUUUGGUAGUUGGGAGUACUUUAUUUCACUACUUGAAUAUAGUGGAAGCAGGCCAACCACUGCAACCUUCAACUGCAGCUGGUGAUAUAUAUCUAUUGCAGUUACACUAUUAAUGAAUAUAACUUACUUUCUGUGUGUUGAUGCUUCUACCAAAAGCUGCUUUCUCAAGAGAAGCUAGAGCAAUCAUUAUUUUUAGUGUUGCACCUAUAGUAACUGGUAGCCCGUUUUGUUGUGAUGAAGAGCUUUUCAUGGAAAAAAUUCUUAUUAAUCUGUGUUUGUUAAUUAUAAAGCAUAUCUUAUUUUUUUUGAAAAAAAAAAAAAUCAACUGCCGAGGUGCAUGAAUAUGCCUUUCCUCCCAAAAGGAAAAAAAAGAAACCGAACCUAACAUUUUUUUAUGUAAGUCAUUUGAACUUGUUCACCUUGUCAUGCAGGGUGUACAAGUUGACAAAGUGGAAUCUCAUGAUGAAGAAGGAUCUAAAAUUUUGUCCAGUCCACAAGAAGGACCGGGUGAAGAGUUUGUGGUGCUGCUUCGGCAGCAAAAAUAUCUUCACAACUUGACUGAACAGGCUCUUAAGAAAAACAAGCCACUUAUUAUAUUGAAUCUUAUGCAUGAGAAAGCUCCUUUAUUGUUGGCUGAUGAACUGGCUGGUAAUGAGAAAGUUGAACAAAUAUGCCUGGGGGCAUUGACCAUUUGUUCAUUUCCUGGCCAUUCAUCCAUACCAAUAUCUAAUUGUGAUGAUGUUGUUGAGGGAGAUUCUGAGGCUUGCCCAUCGGGUAGUAAGGCAAGUAUCCCACAAGUAGCAUCUUCAGCUGCUCUGGCAGACUCAGAUUUCCAUCAAAUUGUAAGCUUUACUUUUCCUUAUCAUCAUUUCCCCCUCCUUUUGGGAAUUGGUUUCUCUCACCAACCCAGAGCCUAUUUCUCUUGCGUACAAGAGUUCUUAGAUAUUUUUCCUUCAGGUAUCUAUACUUCAGUCAUGCUCACAAAGUAUAAACAAGGUGGUGGAAUCUUUACAACUCAAGUUCCCAAGUAUUGCGAAGUCCCAACUGAAAAACAAAGUGCGGGAGAUAGCAGAGUUUAUUGAUGGUAGAUGGCAGGUGAUUUUCUCAAGUCUGGGUUACUGUCUCAAAAUUUAUUCACAUAAAAGAGACCCCUGCAAUCAGAAGGGUAUAACGUAUAAGAAUUGGCAAAAAAUUUCCACUUUGUGAUAUAAUCCAUAAAGGAUGACAUCCAAUAUCGUGUACCAAGGAUGACUGCAGAAGCAGUACAACCCAUGAAAGUUUAUCAUAAAGCUAAUAAAGCAUUCCAGUUUAUCACCCAAGUUAAAAAGUGUGGACAGGAAAUGCAUGGGACAAACCCUUUGACUCUUCCUAUCUUUUCUGGGAAAUUAUAUAUACAUCCUGUUCUAGUUUUCUUUGUGCCAUACCUCUUUCUACGUUAGUCUUACGCGAUUUAUUAGUCUGAAUUUUCCAAGCAACAGAUUCAUGUUACUUUCUUUUGACAUAGUUGAUUUCCUUGCAAUAUGAAAACUAGUUUUCCUUGAUGAUUUUCAUUCGUAGUUAGCUGAAGAAUACUGCAGUUUACCGAUACUGCAUUUUUCUUACUUUUGCAGGUUAGAAAGGAUGUUCUUGUGAAACUUGGGCUGCCUAUAACAACACCUGGUAUGAACCUCUCAUGUACUAUUGCACUAUUUGUUCGCAUGAGAAUUAUGCUCCUGUUUCUUUAGCAUCUCUGUUUAUUACGAUUUUCUUCCUUGUUGUAAAGUUGUAUCUUUCGAUUAUUUACAGAAAAAAGCAGCAGGACAAAGAGCAUUGCGGCAUUUUUUUCCAAGAGAUGUUUACCACCUUCCGGAAAGACCAUCAAUCUGCAUGAGGCUUCCCCACAAGCAAGCCAGAAAACUUCUUCAGCUUCCAUCCAGCCACAGCAAGACUUCACAUACAAAAAUGAAUAAGAAUCUAAACUUUGUUAAAUCUUCUUGCCCCUUAGUUCAAGUUUUUCUUGUUUCUGGUAAUAACCUCUUACGAUAUAAUAGAUGCCUGCUCAUUUAUACCAGGCUUUGUGACUUUUAUAUUCUGGUCAAAUUUUCAAAUUUUCGAAUCAAAUAUCCUUCACAAAGAAAGAUGACUAGAAUGUGUUUGUCUCAAGGAUUACAGAGAAAGAUGCCUGAGCAUCUGGAUCUGUAUAUCCUUUAUGUGUUUUCAUAACUGAAUUUACUGUAUGUAUAUAACAACUUGUAAUUCCAAGUUGCAUGGUUAUGAUUUUCUAUUUUUGUCCAUCCUGUUUGUUUGAUUUGGAUUUCUAUUUAUCUGUUUUAUGUUUUACUGCUUUUGAGGAUCUGAAUAGCAUUUGGACAUACUAUAGUUUGCUUAUUUGAUAACAUUUUAUAAGAAUUGGAGAAAAUUUAAUAGUUUUUGAGUUGAUUUCUUUGCCUAAAGGUGGGCAUUAUCUUUUCAGUUAUAAAUCAUAUCUCAUUAAUAUCUUGAUUAUUUAUUUCUAAUUGAAGGAAAUUUUGAGUUGAUCUCAUUUCCUAUAAAUUGAUGAUAUUCUCUUUAAUUGUGAGUCAUAUCUCAUUAUAUCUAAUAAUAGAGGUAUUCUUUGUAUUACUGUAUAUAGAAGUGACAUAUAGCACUUUUUUUGAGCAUAUAUAUACCUAAUUGAAGAAAAUAUAUCAUUAAUAUUAUGUAAUAGUGGAGCUACUCUUUGUGCAGUGGUGAAAUAAGACCCUUUUUUUCAGGGUAUUUACGUAUUUAUAACUAAUUGAAGAAACUUUAAGUUAAAUGUAUUACCUAUAAAUUAUGAAAUUUUAAUAAUUUGCACUUUAAAUUAUUUUUCCUUUCUAUUUGUCUGAGUAAACCUUAGACUCAAAAGAAAAGUAAAUACUAGCAAUAUACUAGAUAAAUAAAGCAACAGACAGUAUUACACAGUAGAACUAUUAAAUAUUACUGCUAACAAGGGUUGCAAGAAAACUCCUACAUAAAAUGCAACAACAUUAUAGUAUUAUAUAUUAACCUUCUAUCAUAAUCAUUGAUCUUCAUGUCUUUCCAUCUAAGAUUACGUCUUCAAUAAAUAGAAACUUCAUGUCUUUCCAUCUAAGAUUAUGUAUGUCAUAUCCUGUCCAAAAGUAUACUCAAAAUUUUUUUUUCACUUAAAUUUGAAUUUGGCAACCAAAACCAGAUCCAAAAAAGUGUAGCAAUGUAGCUAUUGUGAUUAUCUAAAUCAAUGCUGAAUUUAUGAUUAUUUAUAUUUAUAAGAAUUAAAGGAUGAGCAAGGCGGCGUUUGUUGUCCCUAUUAUUUUUGUAGUAUUGUUGAGUCCUACACGUAACGCUUACUCUUUUUUCUUAUUUGAAUAUUAUUUCAGGUAAGAUCAAAAUUAAAUGACCAUAAUUUUAGAUAUUCAUUUAAUCUUAGUAGGUAUAGAUAUUUUUCUUCUCAUAUUUAAUGCUCGUUUAGUAAAUAAUUUAAAAAUCGUAUCAUAUUAUUAUUUUUAAAGUGAAAUUAAUUCACUAAAAUACCCAAUCAAAAUUUGAUGGACUUUUAUGUUUUUAAGAAUUAAAUUAUUCAUUUAACAUUGAAAUGAUCAAACUGUAAACUGUAAAUUGGUAUUAAAGUUUGUGUUGAAAUUUUGAUUUUUCAGAAUUAACUCUUUAAAUGCUAAUUCAUCUGUCACUUUUUUCAUACGUUUUAAGACAAAUUUUAUAUUUUAUUUCUUCUCUUAAAUUAAGUGACAAGAUUUUAAAUGGUUCGUCUUAAUCUAGCUUACAAAUACAAGUGAUUUUAAACCACUUUGACAAUGAAAGACAUAUAAAAAUUCUCACAAUUUAAAAAUAUUUUGAUGUAAGAUUUGACGUAAAUUCUAUAUUUUUAUUGAUUUCAAGGUCUGAAUUAUAUAAUCAAUUAGUCAAUUGCUGAGUUAAAUAUAUGCGCGUGUGUGUUCAAUAAUAACUCAAUAAAAUAAUUAAUUUAAUAUGGUAUUGUCGAUGAAAUUACAAAAAAAUACUGCAUUUCUUAGAUUUUUUUUUUUAAAAGGGUGCAACUUACCAAUUUUUAUUGGAAACAUCUCUUUCAAUGCUGAAAAUUGUAAUUUUCAAUAUUGAUGAAAAUUGUAAUUUUCAGUAUAAAUUGACUAUUGGUAUGUUACUAUUUUGUAAUUUCGAAAUACUGCUCUAGAAUGAUAAAUGUUUUUUUUUUUUGAAAAAAUAUUAAUUACCGGUCUUUAAUCAAAUUUUGAAUAUGAAGUCAUUUUUAUUACGAAAUGUUUUGUCCCGUAGCAACCCCCAACCCUAAUUUAGAACUUUUCUCCAUAAGUUUAAAUGUAAUCGGUCUUUUCAAUAAAAAUACUAAACAACAACAUAAGAAAUUAAAGUUUCUUUUUUCUUAUUUUAAAUUGUUGUCUUUGCCGUGGGAGUAAAAUACGAUAGAAGUGAAUUCAUGAUUUAAAAUUUUUAAGUGAGAGAAAAUCUGAACUAGUAUAUUUGUAAACUAAAUCGAUUUCAGAAACAACUUUUCUAUUUCACCUUUAAAAUAGACUUAAAAAAUAUAUACACUCUAUCCCAAACCUUAUUUUAUAAAAAUACACUGAUUAUUUUAGCAUAACGAUACAAAAAUAAUAUAGAAUCUCCCCACCAAAUGGCACCUAAAUUAUAACUUUAUAUUACCCACGGAUCAUACACCCACUGAUUAUUAAACUGGUUAGUUAAGAAUCCUGGUUUUGUUUUAAAGUAAAACAAAAAUAUUAAAUUCAAAACUUAGAAAAAGAAUAACAAAAAACAAAAAAGUAUGCACUCUCUUACAUGUAUACAUUGACCACCAAGUAUUGUAAUAAAAGUUUUUAAGUAAAUUUUAUUUGAUUGGAAAUGUUGUGUCUUAAUUAUAUUUUGUGCAACACAAAUUUAAAUUACUUAAACUAUAUUUUAUGCAUCAUAAAUUUAGAUCAAUCGAACAUUAAUGCGGAUAUAAAAAUAAAAAAGCAAAGUCAAACGGAUUAAAGGCAAUGUUUCCUUCUUAAUUACUCUUUUCGUUUAUUUGCAUAUAUCAUAUUUUGCUUCUUAAGAGUUAAAUUGCAUCAAUUUUGAUUAAUAUUUUAAAAUGCAUUUUUUUUCACUAUAUUAAUAUAAAAAAGAUUGUGAUUUAUAUUUUUUUUCGUAUAAUUUUCAAACAUCUAAAUUUACAAUUUAAAAUAUUGAAUUAAACAUUUAAUCUAAUUUUAUUUAAUUUUGAAGACCCGUUGACUAUCGUAAAAUGAAACUUGACACGUAGAAAUGAAUGGAAGAACUUCUUAUGAGACAUACAUUUAGAUUAGUCGGACUAUCAAUUUUGAUUAAUGUUUUAAAAUGCAUUUUUUUUCACCUUAUUAAUAUAAAAAAGAUUGUGAUUUACAUUUUUUUUUUUGCAUAAUUUUCAAACAACUUAAUUUACAAUUUAAAAUGUUGAAUUAAAUAUUUAGUCUAAUUUUAUUUAAUUUUGAAGGCCCGUCAAAUUGACUAUCGUAAAAUGAAACUUGACACGUAGAAGUGAAUGGAAGAACUCCUUAUGGAACAUAUAUUUAGAUUAGUCAGACUUCUGUUGUAGAUAUUGAUUUGAGUUUCAUAUCUAAACUAUUAAGUGUACGUGAGUUUUUUAACUGAACUAUCACUAACUAUUUAACAAGACACGUCCAAAUUAUUGAUUCUUCACUUUUCAUACCUGAAAAGUUCAGGUAUGAAACUCAAAUCAUUAAUAGUUCAGACGUAUUUGAUAAAUAGAUAGUGAUAAAUCAUUAGAAAACUCACGAGGACUUAAUAGUUUAGAUAUAUAGCUCAAAAAAUAAAAAUAUUUUAGACGUAUUUUCCACCGUAAAUUAAGAAAAGAAAAAGAAGCCUAAAGGACCAAAAUGGCAUUUGAGGUAAUAUUUCCCAACUAGAAGGUCAAUUAAUUUAACUUCAGUUGGGGUUUUGUCGACAUUAUAUAUAUAUAUGAGUAAUAUAUAUAUAUGUACUUAGCUCCGUUGAUCUCUCUCUACCAGUCACUUUGUAUAUUCCAAGUGUAUACACACUGUAUCACACCGAAUACCGCAACCGAUAUACUCGAGGUGACAAUUUGCAAACAGUGCAUCAUCCAUCAUCAACAACAAUGGCAAUGAAACUCAAUGCUCUGGCAUUUCAAUCUCACAAAAUGCUGCCAUCAUUUCCUCUUUCUACUUCUUCAAUUAGAUCUCCUAGAGUUUUCAUGGCUUCUACUCUUCAUCCACCUUCUAUGUAAGUAUACUUUUUUUUUUUUUUUUGACAUUUUAUGCAAAUGGGUAUCUUGAAAUGUGGUUUGUUUUUCAUUCACCUUAUGUGUUAGUACUGUUUUUAAAUAUUUUUUUUGAAAGUUUUAAGCAAAUGGGUGUCUAGAAAUGUGGUUUGUUUUUCAUUCACCUUCUCUGUUAGUACAUUUUUUAAUAUUUUUUUUGAAAGUUUUAAGCAAAUGGGUGUCUUGAAAUGUGGUUUGUUUUUCAUUCACCUUCUCUGUUAGUACUUUUUUAAAUAUUUUUUUUUGGAAGUUUUAAGCAAAUGGUUGUCUUGAAAUAUGGUUUGUUUUUCUUUCACCUUAUAUGUUAGUACUUUUUUUAAUUUUUUUUUUUUUGAAAGUUUUAAGCAAAUGGGUGUCUAGAAAUGUGGUUUUCUUGAAUUGUUUCAUCUUCUUGGGAUUUUGUUUCAGUUUCAUUUGUAUGCGGUAUGUUUUCUUUCAAGCAUAUGAGUAUCUUGAAAUGCGUUCAUUUUUGUAAAUAAAAAAAAAGUAGUUUGGUGCGCUAAAACUUUUUCUAUAUAUAUAGGGUCUGCCCCUCUGCAUUUCAUGGCUUAACCCGUAACUUUCUAGUUAAGCAAAUGGGUGUGGUUUGUUUUUUCAUUUUUUUGAUCCUUUAGGAAGUGGUUGGUUUCCAUUUUGGUUUAUUUAGCUACAGCGGGUGUAUUUCAUUUGAAUUUGGAAAAAAUGGGUAUCUGUUAAUGAGCUUUGUUGUCCAUUGUUUUCGAAUUUUUGGAAGUUGGUCUGUUUAUUUUUGGCUUCAUUUAUGUUUUCUUGGUUUCAAGGUUUUGAUAGCUUGAUUUUUGGCCAAAAAAGGGUAGCUUGAAAUGUGGUUUUGUUAUAAUUGUUUCAUCUUCUUUUUGAUCAUAUGGGAAUUGGGUCAGUUUCGUUUUAUUUCAUUUAUGUUUUCUUGUUGGUUUCAGGACUAGUGUUUAUGGCUUGAUUUUUAGCUACAUUGGGUGCAUUUGCAUAUGAACGAGAAGUGUUUGUAUCAUGGACUAUUUUGGUUACCAAAUAUUGGAAAAAUGACCUUUUUAAGAAAAUAUCGAGUUGAGGUUCUAUCGGAAAUAGACUCUCUACGUUCGCAAGGUAGAGUACGACUGCAUGUACACCAUCCUCCCUAGAUCCUAUGUUGUUGAUGAUGAUUUUGUUAAGAAAAAUAUUUUUGUGUUGUACCAAAUGCGUGUUUUUGAUUGUAAUUUUGGUUUUGUUGUAUCUAUUAAUUCGGUUGGUGAAUGGUGGUGGUUGGUGUUAAAGGAAAAAUCAAGAUAAAAAUUUCACCUUUUUCUAAAUUGGGAAAUGGUGUCCUCUUCUGCUUUAUGUGUUGCUUUAUUUGUUACUUGACAGCUAUCUUGUAUUAUUCGCCGCAUCGUUGAUUUCUAGGAAUUCCCUGGUAUAAAGGAUUUCGUUUUGCUGUCCUUACAUUUAUUCAUGUUCGAAUGAAAAUGAAAUCGAUAAGUUUUUGAUUGUCGUAGAUUUGGAUAGGUGGAUUUUUUUCUUCUACUAUGUUUGCUUCAACCUUCAAAUAUCUCUUCAAUGAUACUCUCUUUUACCAACUGUGGUUGAGAAUUAGGUCUUGCCGUGGUGCUUUGUGUUGAAUUGUCAAGUUUUUGUUUAUAGUCAAUGUUUCCAAUUAUAAUCAUGUGCACAAUUCUUUGGUUUCUUGUUUGCAAGUAGGUAGUUUCUUAUAAAUAGCUGUUUGGUACAGCUCAGCUUCUUUAAUUUUUAUGGAAUUGGUUGGCAGUUAUAUCUUCUUUAGUUUCUACAUACUUGUGUAAACUAAUAGUACAGUUUAAGGUGGUUGUGCUUAGUCUUAUUGUUUGAGUGAUGAUUAAUCUUUUAGCGAUCUUUAUCUUUCUUUCUACACGUAUGUGUUUGGAGAGCAAUAAAGGUUUUAGGAAAAUACUAAGUAAAACGAACCAUAUGUGCGACAAGUUUAGCCUCCUGAAAGAUAAAUUGUAUGUAGCUGGGAUUAAACUAAAUUGUAGUGCCUGCUCGGUGAUAAUUCAGAUAUCUAGGCUCAGGCUUCCAGUGUUAGGAUGAACUAAAUAUAAUCUUCCCAUUCAUAAUUGCAGGGAAGUUGGAAAUGCGAAGAAACCAUUCACUCCUCCACGAGAGGUGCAUGUUCAAGUGACUCAUUCCAUGCCACCAGAAAAGAUUGAAAUUUUCGAUUCUCUGCGUGAUUGGGCUACACAGAAUCUCUUGGUGAACUUAAAGCCUGUCGAGAAAUGUUGGCAGGCUUCUGACUUUCUUCCUGAUCCUGCUUCCGAGGGAUUUGAUGAGCAGGUCAAGGAACUAAGGGAUAGGUGUAAGGAAAUUCCUGAUGACUACUUUGUCGUAUUAAUUGGAGAUAUGAUCACGGAGGAGGCCCUUCCAACUUAUCAAACCAUGAUAAACACUCUUGACGGUGUUCGUGAUGAAACUGGUGCCAGCCUCACUCCCUGGGCUAUAUGGACUCGAGCAUGGACAGCUGAGGAAAAUAGGCAUGGUGAUCUUCUCAACAAAUAUCUUUAUCUUUCUGGAAGAGUUGAUAUGAAGCAAAUCGAAAAGACAAUCCAGUACCUAAUUGGUUCUGGGAUGGUAAGAUUUUUUGCCGGACUUUAUGUUUAUCAAAUAAACCGAUAUUGUAUCAGUUUACAGGAUUAAAUCCCAAUGCAUUCAUGUUGAGUUUAAUCAUAUUUGUGCUAGUUUCAUAUCCCAUGCUGUCGUAAGCUUUCUGAUAUUUCUCCAAAGUUGGUUUGACUUUUACUUUUACGUGGUUAGUGCAGAUGUCCAAUUACGAAAACUUUCUAAUCAUAUAAUUGGCAUGCACACCUUCCAAUCCUCUUUCUUUUUCAUGGGAGAGGGAAAAACAUCAAAGAAUUCGUAAACCAAAGCUUUUGAGUUUCAUAUACUGCUAGAUUGAGUUAUGCAUUUCUUAUUUAACUCUUUCUGUAUUUCAGUGUAUGUUAGUUCUUCAUUUUCUUGUUUAUGAUACAUACUUAGCCUUUUUACCUCUUCUAUUCCUCUCCCCUCCCCGAACUUCAUUGCCUAAACUGCACUGUUUGUUGACUUACUACUUGUUAGCGAGCUAAAUACGAUGGCACUUUUGAUAUUUGAGGUCUGCUAGGUUGUAGUUUUCCCGACUUAGUUAGCCCAUUGUAUCCGUUGUCUACUCUAUAUAGAGUAGAAAUGCAACUACAUCAUACUAUCGCCGUGUUAGCAUGGAAUGCCACAUAUUGUGGGUACAUUAGCUACAAGUUUAUAACUAUUCAUAGUAUGUAAAUAGAAAAUGUUGAGAUUGAACAUAUACAAUCAUCUAUGCUCAAUUUGGUUUUAUACUUCAUGCACUUUACAUCACUCUUAUAUUUCCAGGAUCCUCGCACGGAAAACAACCCCUAUCUAGGUUUCAUCUACACUUCUUUUCAAGAAAGGGCUACCUUCAUUUCACAUGGAAACACAGCUAGGCUCGCCAAGGAGCAUGGGGAUAUGAAACUAGCACAAAUAUGUGGUUCAAUUGCUGCAGACGAGAAGCGCCAUGAAACUGCGUAUACCAAGAUCGUUGAGAAGCUACUCGAGGUAGACCCUGAUGGUGCCAUAUUGGCUAUUGGUGACAUGAUGAGGAAAAAAAUCUCAAUGCCUGCUCAUCUGAUGUAUGACGGCAGGGAUGACAACCUCUUCGAACACUUCUCUGCAGUAGCUCAACGUCUUGGCGUAUACACAGCCAAGGACUAUGCAGAUAUUCUCGAAUUCUUGGUGGGGAGAUGGGAAGUGGAAAAAUUGACCGGUCUUUCCAGUGAAGGACGCAGAGCACAAGAUUAUGUAUGUGGACUGGCUCCACGGAUUAGGAAAUUGGAGGAGAGAGCACAGGCAAGGGCCAAGGAGCGAAGUCCCGUUCCUUUCAGCUGGAUUUUUGGUAAAGAGAUUAAGAUAUGAAUGCACUUGUGUUGGAUGGCAAUGUCAUGUUAGUUUUCUGAUCACCAAAUUUGCCUGUUUUAUGUUAAGAAACUUUGGGGGUAAAGUAUGAAGUCUGUGCAGGGAGUUAAAGCGUCUUGGUUUUUCUUUUUGCUAUUGUGUUUAGGCCAUAGGGAAAAACAUAGUUAUUAGCAAUAAAGAUGAACCUUUUAGUACUCUUUUUUUUAAUCUCUCCCUCUCAAGUCAAGCUGGUAAAGGUUCUGUCAUGUGGCCCCGGAGUCACGGGUUCAAGCCGUGGCAACAAACUCUUUGCAGGGUAAGGUAGUAUACUAUGGACUCGUGGUCUGGUCUUUCUUUGUACCUCGCACAUAAAGGGAGCUACAGUGCAUGGGACUGUCCUAAAAUAUUAUGCAUUUUGUGUAUGACUUUUUAGAUAAAUGAAUCUAGGAUAUAAACUCUUUAUCCUACUAUUUCUGUACUAGGUAUGGGCUAUUUGAAACUAGGAGGUGGUCACAUUGUCAUUUACAAUUUGAAUAAAAAGGAAUAAAGAUUAAGAUUUCCUUGACUCCAGGUAAACAAAAUUCAAGGCGUAAGUACACAACAAAAAAAGUUCAGUAAUGCAAGCACAAUGAUUUAUUUAAUAUGAGAGCAGAGUGAAAGUGGGGCAUGAUGCACAUGUCAUCCAAAAAAGAAAGGGAGUUUCAAAUAGCUUUGGUCUAUUAUGAAAUGAUGUCACUCAUCGUAUUGGUUCAGCGUGAAUGAAAAAGAGGCGAACAUCUGGAGCAUUUUAUGAUAAAGAAGGUGUCACCGAAAUUCAAAGAGGCGAAUAUUUGGAGCAUUUUAUGAUAAAGAAGGUGUCACCGAAAUUCAAAGGCAAGUUUUACGUAGUGAUAGUUAGACCAUUUAUGUUGUAUGGGACUGAGUGUUUGCUAGUCAAAAUUCUCUCGUUGAUCUGAGUUGUGACAAUGAGAAUAUUUUGAUGGAUGUCUCGACAUACUAUAAGAGAUUAUAUUAGGAAUGAACAUAUCCAAAAUAAGGUAGGCGUGGCCUCAAUGAAAGCAAGAUCCGGGAAGCAAUAUUGUGAUGGUUUGGACAUGCGAAGAGAAGAUGCACGAAUGCCCCAGUGCAAAGGUGUGAGAAAUUGGUUAUGCGUGGUUCACGAGAGGUAGAGGUAGCUAGGUCGAAGAAGUGUCGAGGAGAGGUGAUUAGACAAGACAUGAUACGGUUGCAAUUUAUCGAGAAUAUGGCAUUAGAUAUGAGAUUGUGGAGGAAACAUAUCAAGGUAAAAGGUUAAUAGGUAGGAGAACAUUGUCUUGCAUAUCCUUCCAUAGUGAUAGUCAUUGUAAAUCUCUUUUAGUUUCCCGUCCUUCAAUUUAUCUUAUUAUCUAUUGUCUCCUGUACUUUGAUUACCGCACUAUGUAUUGUAUUUACUAUUUUUUUUCGAAAAUAUUUUGUCAUGCUUUCAUAGUGUUUUGACCAUUAUUUCUUCGCUUUCAAUUUUUUUCUUUAUAUAUCAUAUGAAUGCAAAUCAAUAGUUUCUUAUAAUAUGACGUAUGACUUCCCAUCUUGAGAAUUUAAUAGUACAAUGAAUUUUUUUUAACUCUUGAUAUUAUGUCGAAAAAUUAAAAAUUGAUCAAACAUCUUCUAAACUCCUAAAUCUUUAUGAAUUUUUGGUGUAUGUAUUAAUUUUAUAUGAUUUUUAUAAUUUAUUAGUAUUUGACUGGAGAUAUUAAAUUUAACUAUGUAUUAGGUAAUUUUUGUCCAAAAUGAAUUUCCACUAUUUUUUAAUACGUAUAAAAGCAAAUGUCUUACUACCAUCGACGACAACAGAGAGGUAAGUUAAGGUCAUUCUUUCUUCUCAACAUAAUUCCAAAGAGCCUAGGAAAGAUGUGGUUAGUAAAUUAUUAUCGAGCUAUUCGUAGCCGUAAUUGUUGUGUAGGAUGCUUGAGUAGGCAUAUCUAUCGUAAUUGUUGUAUAGGAUGCUUGAGUAGGCAUAUCUAUCCCUCGAUAGGCUCUUAUUAUCUAGAUAACGACGUCGCAUUAGAUACAACUUAGAAUUAUUUGAAUAGGUCGCUCAUAGCUUGUCCGCUUACUUUCAGACUAUAUAGAUAUACAGUUGCCUUCGAGGAUAUACAAAUAUAUAGAUGCCUUCAGGGCUAUACAGAUAUGCAGUCCGCUUACUUUCAGACUAUAUAGAUAUACAGUUGCCUUCGAGGAUAUACAAAUAUAUAGAUGCCUUCAGGGCUAUACAAAUAUACAGUUGCCUCAGGGCUAUACAUAUAUACAGUUUCCUUCGAGCUACACAUAUAUACAAUUGCAUUCAGGCUAAACAUAUAUACAAUUGCCUUUGGGCUACACAGAUAUACAGUUGCCUUCAGGGCUAUAUAGACAUACAUUUGCCUCGAGGCCUGCACAUAUAUACAGUUGCAUUCAGGCUAUACAGAUACCCAACUAUCUUCGGGGCUAUACAAAUAUACAAGUGCUUUCUGGACUUUACAUAUAUACAGUUUUCUUCGGUCUAUAUAGAUAUACAAUCGUCUUCAAGCCAUAUAAAUAUACAGUUGCCUUCGGGGCUAUACAAUAAAUCGCUGCCUUCAGAGCUAUACAGAUAUAUAGUUUCCUUCGGACUAUAUAACUAUACAGUUGCCUUCGGGCUAUGCAAAUAUAUUGUUACUUUCUAGGCUAAAAAGAUAUAGAGAGCCUAUGGGGUAGCCGAUUACAUUGGUCCUACUAGCCAAGUAGUUAUAUAGAUGGUCACAGGGCUAGUGUAAUACCCUGUAUUCCCUAGCUUAAUUUAACUCUCAGUACAUGAGUAUUCCUAUAUAAAUUUUUUUUAAAUACUCAAAAAUUUUUCAGUUUAGAGCCUGCGAUUGCAUAGGAAAUUCAGUCAGCUUUCCAACGAUAUAAAAUUCGCCCAAAUCCGAUAUCCGGGUGAAGAGUUAUAGCCAUUUUUGUAAAACAGUGUGUCAAAAUGACAAGCACCACAUCGCAGAGUCAUUCCAAAUGACAAUUGUCAAUUUUCAGUGUUCCAUCGCGAUAAUGGCGCGUCGCGUCAAGGCCCAUUUUCAUAAUUAUCCUUUUUUCAGUGAAGCUCCGCGAUUUCAUCGAGUCGCGCUAAGGGCCAAAUUCUCAUUCAGUGGGGUACCGCAAUUGUACCGCGUCACGCCAGGAGUCUAGUUCCCAGUUGUCCAAUUUUCAGUGAGCCGACGCGAUUGUACCGCAUCGCGUCGGGAUGAAAAUUGAGAUUUUCAGUUUCUGUUAUUUAAUUUUAGGGACUAUUUGGUAAUUUCCCAAAGCCCCUAAUUAGUCUUAAACACGCGAAUUAAUCCCUAAAAAGCUGAUUAAAUCAUUAUUAUUCAAUUUUUUUGCCAAAUAUCAAGAGCACUCUCUCCCUAAUAGCAAACCCUAGCUUCAAGAAAUCAAGAACAAUCCUCAAGAACUUCAUCAAGAAUCUUCAAGAAUUAAUCUUCUCAGGUAUGUUAGGUGUUCAUUCAUGAGUUCCUUUCAUCCAUGGAGUUCAAGAACCUCUUUUCAAAUUACAAGUUAUAGAGUCAUGAUUUCAAAUUCUUGGAAUUGAAUGUAUUCAUGUUCAUGAUGUUAUAUGGGUUUUCCUCCAUGAAUUAAUUAUAAGUUCCAUGAAAUUGAAAUAACAUGUAUAUUGAAUUGUGUGAUUCCCAUGUCAUAACCCUUGAAUUAGCAAGUUUGGGUGUUGCAGUUACAAUGUUUAUAUGUUGUCCAUGAUUAUAUGCAUUAAGUUGUGCUCCCCAAGUGUUUGAUAGAAUGUCCAUGUGAGUUAAACGGUGAAAUCAUGACAUGCUAACAUAUGUACAAGCUUAUGCCCUACAAAUGUUUGAUAAAAUGUCUCUAUGAAUGAAUUAUGAACAAAUGGACAUUGUGAUACGUUUAUAGUCAUGCUGUGCUUUACUUUCCAUGCUAUCGAGUCCUGGAGGUCUUCAAUACCCGAAAAUCUAGUUGUUUACCUAGAGCUACAGUUGUUACAAAAUAGUCUCAGUAAUGUCACGAUUAGUAGUACUCAGUUAUAGAACUCAGUAAAACUCAGUGUCAUUCCAGUUCAGCUUAGUAUAAUAAUCAAUGUCUUCAGUUAGGAGUAGGAUUUAGCACCGAGUGAACCCAAGGAUGGGGACUCACCUGCCAGUAGAGGGUGUGAUCCUUAAAAGCAGUCUUUGCAUUCCAGAACUACGUAGCCAGCGUAGGUUGAGACAUUAACUUGCCAGUUGAGGGUUGAUGAGGUAUUUUAACCCGCCAGUUGAAGGUACCACCGUUUUCAUUAGAGUACCUGCCAGAUGAGGGUGAAUCUUCAGCUUGUCUUUACUCGUGGUACAGUACUGACACCCUUUCAAUUGGGGUUACAAGUUGGACCCCAAUCCAUUUGAGAGUGACAUAUCGGUUAGAUGAUUACCUCCCACAGUUUCAAUUUCAGUCUCAGUAUAGAGCUCAGUUCAACUCUACAGAAUCAGGGCUGUCAGAAACAGUCAUUUAGUAUCAGUAAUACAGUUAUCAGUAAUUUUAGAUAUCAGUUAAUCAGUAUCAGCAAUCAGUACUCAGCUUCAGUAAAAGCUCAAAUAUAGUAAACACGUAUAUUCGCAGUAUUGCAUACUCAGUAUUUAUAAUAUUUCACUUAUCCAUGUACUCUCAUAUUCAGUUACUCUAUAUCAUUCAGUCAGUUAUUGUUCAUGUAUAUGAACCCUUGCAUUCAACUUUACCUCAUCUAGCAUACCAGUACAUUCCACGUACUGACGCAUACUUUCUCUUUGCACAAUCAUGUCUCAUAUCAUAGGUGUGAAUGCUCAGGUUUUGCCGUGUCUAGACAGAUUCAGUCAGCAGUAACAGAUUUAGUAGUGAGUCCUCAUCUAUCGAGGAUAUGUUUUAUUUCAGUAGCUUCAGUAUUUCAAUAGUUGGAGUUAGUUGGGGGCUUGUCCUAUCAAAUCCACAUUUAGACAUUUCAGUUAGAGGCUUUUUAACUAGACUAGUUCAAACAGUAUUUAAGUUUUUAGAUGAUAUUACAGUUGUUAUUUUUUAUUAGUAUUCAGAUUAUGAACCUUAUGGCAUUUCAGCCUAUUUUUUGCAUUAUUUUAGUGUUUAUUAUUCAGUGCUCACAGCAGGUACGAAACAUGGGUUACCUUGUGGUCCUUCGGGGUCAUAAGCAUUGUGCGGCGUCCAAGAUGCAGACACGGGGUGUUACAGCUAGGUGGGUGCUAAUAGGGGUAUGUAGAUUGAUUUUACACCGGAUAGGCUUGGGGGAGAGGGGGGCGAGUAAGUGUUAUUUAUUAUUUUUUGUACUUGCUGAGUUUAUAGGGGCUCAAUCAAGUUAUUGUUUGAUUAUUGAUGUAUCAUUUGUGCGUAUCAUUACAUUGUAUUAUGAUUAUUCUAGAUUCUUCUUCUCGAGUACUUUCGGUAAUUGAUGAUAUCACAUUAGCUCUGUUCACUUAAGUUGAUUGUUGAUUUAGUUACAGUUUUAAGGGUGAAGUCAUGAACAGGUAAGUAAGUUCAAGCUAACCGUGGACUCUCCAACCAAGUAUUUUUAUAGUAUUAUAUAAUAUUUGUUUAGCUACUUAUAGACUCACGAGUUGGUACGCUUACUUAGAUUAUAUUUUGACCCCUGAUAUAUAUUUAUAUUCAGUACUUUAUGAUUCCUGCCCAGUUACUAUUCAUCUUGCAUACUCGAUAUAAUAUUUUGUACUGAAGCUCCAAGUCUGGGAGUACUUUAUUCAUGCUUGUAAGUCCAAAUAGAUCGAUAGAUACACUUUCUUUGUAUUAGAGCGGAGUCCUAGCAAAUUGAUCAGUUCCAAUUCUUGAUUGGUCGACUUCUCUAUCGUCGGAGUUGCUAAAUUUUAUGAGGUUUAUUAACUAUUGUUGUAGAUAGUUUUUAGGUAAGUCGGGGCUCUAGCUCUACCAAGUUUUAUUAAUCUUAAAGGCUUCCAGACUUUAGAUUUGUAUAAAUGUGCAUUUUGAGCUGUGUUAUGGCUUUAUUAUCGUUGUUGAUAGUUCCACAACCCGUUGGCUUAGAUUAUAUUAUAUAUGCCUACAAAAACAACAACAUACCCGGUGUAUUUCUAUCAAGUGGGGUCUGGAGAGGGUAAAGUGUACACAGUCCAUACCACUACCUCAGAGAAGUAGAGAGACUAAUUUCGAUAGCGCCCCGUUUCAGGAUAGAUAACAAUAUAACAAACAAAAUACGUCAAAGCAUGCAACAACAAAGGAUAUCAGGACGCUACAUAGUAAAAUAUAAUAACAUAAAUAAGACAUGCACAAGGUAAUACUAUAAAAUAUCUAUUCAAAAAAAUAGGUAUCACCAAAACACCGCAGACGUACUCCUACACACUAACCCUCUACCCUAAUUCGCGUCCUUUACGCCUUCCUAUCAAGGGUCAUGUACUUCGUAAGCUGUAACUACUCCAUGUCAUGUCUAAUCAUCUUCCUCCAAUACUUCUUAGUCCUACCCCUACCCACCUAAAUCCAUCCAUAGCCAACCUCUCAUACCCCCGUAUGGAGCAUCCGUGCCCCUCAUCAUCACAUGUUCGAACCCUUGCAGCCUCACUUUUCGUAUCUUGUCCUCUACCAAAGCCACUGUUAUCUUCUCCUAGAUAAUAUCAUUUCUAAACCUAUCCCUCCUAGUAAGUCCACAAAUCCAUCGCAACAUCCACAUCUUCGCCACCUUCAAUUUUUAGAUGUGGUUGAUUAAGACAAAACGAUUCCCUCAAUAUAGCUUAACCCUAUCAAUGUAGGUUAGUUAGUUGUUGACCAAUGGAGGUUUGGUAAUAUCUAAAAUGAAUGAUAAGAGAUCGGGGUCGAUUAGUGUUAGUUGGAAAGGAACUUGAUCCCUCCCCUCCUAAAAAAAGGACGAAGCCGCAGUUAGCCCUACUUUACAGAAUCAACCAGUCUUUCCAUUCCUCCUGUGACCCCUUUGGAAUUCUAGUUUUUCUGGAAGUGGUAUAUGCUUAAGCCAUUUGAUAAGAAGUUUUGAUUUUUCUUAACUGGCCAACACUCCGCUCCAUACAACAUAGCCAGUCGGACUACCACUUCAUAGAAAGUAUCUUUGAGCGUAAGAUGCACCUUCUUAUCACACAAGACUCCCGAUGUGAUACUCUAUUUUAACGAUCCUGCACUAAUAAGGUGCGUGAAAUCCUCAUCAAUCUACUAAUUCCUUUGAAUUAUAAACCCAUGGUACUUGAAAUACUCCCUCUUCUGGAAGAACUGGGAAUACAGCUUCACUACCAGGUUCACCUCAUGCGACAAAUCACUAAACUUACAUUCCAAGUACUCCAUCUUAGUCCUGCUCAACCUAAAUCCUUUAGACUCACAGGUCUUGUCUCCAAAGCUCCAACUUAUUAUUAACUCCUACUCGAGUUUCAUCAAUCAGUACAAAAUCAUCAUUAAAUAACAUACAAUAAACACCUCCCCUUAGAUAAGCUGCAUCAAAACAUCCAUCACCAAGGCAAAUAAAAAUGGGCUAAGAGUCGAUCCCUGGUGCAACCUUAUCAAAAUUGGAAAGUGCUUUAAAUCACCUCCCAUCAUCCUUAAAUGAGUCUUUGCAUCAUCAUACAUGUACUGAAUUGACCUAGUUAGUAUACGGGCACCCCUCUAGCCUUCAAGCACCUUCACAGAAUCUCCCUGAGAACUUUGUCAUACACAUUCUUAAGAUCGAUAAACCCCAUAUGCAAAUCCUUUAUUCUCUCCCUAAACUUCUUUACUAAUUUCCUCACGAGGUAAAUGGCAUCAGUUGUCGAGUGACCUAGCAUGGAAUAGAAAUGAUUCUCAGAAAUUAUCACGAUCCUCCUCAGUCUCAACUUUACUAUCCUUUCCCAAACCUUCAUAGUAUGACUUAAUAACAUAAUACCCCUAUAGUUGUUGCAACUUUGAAUGUCCCCCUUGUUCUUAUAUAAAGGAACCAACAUACUUCAUUCUACACUUCGGGCAUCUUUGCCGCUCUAAAAUAGUAUUAAACAAUCUCCCUAGCUACUCCAAACCUGCCCCGUCAGUGCUCUUUAAAAAAAGAAUCUCGUCUGGCCUAGCCACCCUACCACUACGCAUCCUAUGAAUAUCCCUAUUGGCCUCCUCCACCUUGAUACAUCUACAAUAACCAUAAUCAUGACAUUUUUUUUAGUUUACCAAGUCCCCAGCAUGAAACCUUUAUCCCCUUCGUCAUUCAAAAGUCUAUGGAAAUAAGAUUGUCAUCUCUUCCUAAUGAGAGCAUCCUCUACCAAUAUUUUGCCAUCCUCCCCCUUGAUGCACUUCACUUGUUCAAGGUCACAAUCCUUCCACUCCCUAGCCUUGGAAAGCCUAUGCAACUUCCUAUCCCCACCUUUCUCCUCUAAAGUUGCAUACAAACUCUCGAAAGCCACUAUCUUCACCGUUGUAAUCGACACCUUAGCCUUUUUCCUAGAUAACUUAUAUCCCUCCUUAUUCGUCCGCUUCUUCUCGUCAUCCUUGUUCUCCACCAACUUAGCAUACACCACCUUCUUAGUAUCUAUCUUUCUUUUGACAUCUUCAUUCCACCACAGUCCCCUCGGUGCUUGCUCGAUCGACCUCUUAAAACACCCAAUACCUCUACAAUAGUCUCCCCAAUGUAACUGAUAGUCGUUUACUUUAUAUUAUUCAUAUCAUCUCUACUCUCCCAAUACCCCUAAGUCAUCAACUUCUCCUCUAUCUCUAAUGCACUGGACAAAUUUAAUCUACCCCACUUAAUCCUAGGUCGAUCCUCUAGUCCCCUCUUCUUUCUUUCGUUUUUGAUUACCAAGUCCAUCACCAGAAGCUUAUGUUGGACCAAAUGAAUCUCGCCAGGUAUGAAUUUACCGUCUUUACAUAACACUCUAUCAAUCUUCCUAAGGAGUAAAAAGUCUAUCUGGGUAUUGGCCACCAAACUACGAAAGGCACUAAGGUGCCCUCCUUUUUCAAAAAGCCCGAAUUCUCUACCCACAACCCAAAAGUCUUAGUAAAUCCAAAAAAGAAGCCCCUCAUUCAUUCCUUUCCCUGAGGUCAAAACCGCUAUGCAUAUCACUAUAACCUCCCCGAUAAAGACCCUAUAUGCCUAUUGAAAUCUCUUCCAACUAAAAGCUUCUCAGAGCUCGGGACGUCUCUCACCAUCUUAUCCAACAAAUCCUAAAAGACCUUAUUCUCCUCCUCGGCCAAGCCUAUUUGCGAUGCGUAGGCACUGAUAAAAUUCACCGUAGAUCCUCCAAUGACCAACUUAAUCGACAUCAAUCGAUCGUUGACCCUCCUAACCUCCACCACCUGCCCCUUAAGUUCUUCAUCUACUAAGAUACUUUCCCUAUUCCUACAUCUCAUGCUAUCCGAGUACCAUAAUUAUACCCAUCCACAUACCUCGUCUUAGAGCCUAUCAAUUUGGUAACUUAUACCUACCCCAUUCUUUUUAUUAUAUAUACCUAUCUUUAAUUUUUGUAUAGAGAACGUGGUGGCCUCAACGGUCAUAACAGGACUUGUGUUCUACCUAUUUAUUACUUUAUAUGAACUGUUGGAAGUAGCUAUUUUCUUUGUAGAGCUGUUGAAAAGGGCCUCGCCGGUCGAGGAGUUAUUUGUAAGGUGAGAUAUACUUGUUUAUUUUCUUGGUUAUGUAUGGCCGCUAUGCACCAUUAGCAAAUGGUUUAACAGGGAAAAAUUGGGCCUCAGUUUUGACAUUAGGUGCAGUUGUGACCCUCGAGUUAGGGGCGUGAUAAGAUGAUAUUAUUCUUAUUAUUAAUGUUUAUAGUUAAAGGUCAUUUACUAAGGAAAAUAGACAUAUUCGAACAAGGGCAAAUUUAUAAAAUAAAUAAAUAAAUGCAAUAAAAAAUUAUUUUUACCUCAUAACUUACCAUAAUUUAACACAUAAACUUACUAAAGAUAAUUCAUAAAAGAAAGACAAUUUUUUUUUAAAUCUAAUAACAUGAUUCUAUCUAGGAAAAAUAUUUAAUGAGUAAUUAUGGUCUUUACAUAUUGGAAAUUAUGCAAAGAAAUAAAUAAAGGAACUAAAUUAAGGAAAUAACCUAAAAUAUGUUGGUUUUAUCACUAUAAAUACAACCUUAAUGUUGAGAUCCGUCAUCACAUUUUUUUAUUUUCGUAAUUUAAAGAUUUAGCUAUGGCUGAAGUACCUCCAUCCAAUGCUAAAGUUUCUGCACCUGAGAAAAAGUUUAACCAGUGGCGUUGGAUGGUAAAAUUGAAGAAUUCACACUUUCUCAACUUGAAGAGCUGAAAAAGACCUUGGAGGUCAAGCGGGAGGAAGUUAAUAGGAUGACGCUCAAUAUGCAAGAGCAUGGUGUCGUAUUCCCUUUUGACACCUUUGGAAUGUAUCCUACUUGGGACCCACGAUUUCAUGUUUGGCCAUCUGGAUCUAGUUAAAUUUGUAGUAUUCAUGAUUUUUAAUAUUAUAUUUUAAUAUUUUUGUCAUGAAAUAAAUAAAAUCUAUGUCUUUUAUUUGAGAGCAAUUUUCACAAAUAGCUAUUGUUUGGUGCCAUAACUAUACACAAUGUUCCUUUUCAUAUUUAUCAAAUGAUACUUUCCUAUAUAUAUAUAUAUCGUUUGAUUAUUUAAAAUUAAAUGAUCUUCUUUAUUGCGGAGAUUUUUACUAAAGUGUAAAAAUUCAAAUCACUUUUCAAAAAUCUUUCACACUUUAAUAUAAUAAUGUAAACAUAAACAUAUACACAUAUAUGUUUUACCUAUUCCAAGUGGUUGAAGGGAUCAUCACUUUUGCAUUUGCGUGCCUCUUUUCCUUGUUGCCACAAGCUAAGAGACAUGCAUCAAUUUGAACCAUAUUUGUGUUACGAUUUUUUUUAUAUUUAUAUAUAUAAAAUUUUCUUUAUUUUUAAAGUCAAUCUUUACAAAUUUAUUGAUUACGUUCUAUUACGUACUUAAAACAUUUUAAAAUCUGGAAUUUCUUAAUUUUUUUCUUAUUUUAAUAGUUUUAUAUUUAUUUUUAGAUUUUUCAAAUCUUCUUAAAAUCAAAUUUAGUUGAUUUAGGAUUCUUAAACUAAUAGAAAAAGUAUCAGUUGUCAGGGAAGGUUUUACCAUAAACAUAUGUAAUUAAUUUUCAACUCUUAAAUUAGAAAAAGAUAUAAAAAUUCUGAUGUCUUCUAAUAAGGAAACGUUUUUACCAUAAAUAUAUUUAAUUAAUUUUCAACUCUUGAAUAUUAGAAAGAAAUAGUGAAAAAGACGAUUUUGUCCAAAGCAAGGACUUUUAAUGAAGGGCAAAAAGUUCAAUUCACUUUUCUAAGGGUCUGCACACUUUUAAUGUAUUAUUAUAGAUUAUAGAUUAUAGAUAUAUAUUAUAGAUUGUUGACAUAGAUAUUAAUUAUAGAUNNNNNNNNNNNNNNNNNNNNNNNNNNNNAUACCUGUAAUAUUCAUAUAUUCAUAGAAGACAAAAAUAUGAAAAUCAAAAUUGCAUUGUUUACGUGAAGAAACCAGAUUGAGACAAAGCUAUGGCAAAGUUGGUGAAGAAGAGCAUGGAAUUGCUACAAAAGUACAUAAAACCAGGGUUUUAUAAAUCAAGAAGGAACAAAAUUUGGACUUUUAUUUAGUUUGCAUUAGGACUCUUCUAUUAUAACCAAAAGAGGAAUGAAACGAACCGAUUUUUUUAUUUUAUUUUGACUUUAAAAAUAAGAAAAGAUUUUAAAUAUAUAUAUAUAUAUAUAUAUAUAUAUAUAUAUAAUAUAAUAUAAUCGUAACACAAAUAUGGUUCAAAUUGAUGCGUCUCUCUUAGUUUGUGACAACAAAAAAAUUGGAACAAUAUGACAAACACAAAAGUGAUGAUCCAUCAACCAUUUGAAACUCUUGGUGGUGUAGACACCUAAUUUUGUCCCUCCUCGAUAUCAUUUUUACUUAUUUUUACCUUAUCCUACCGUGUACCUUCAACCAUAUAAUUAUACCUCAUGAAAAGACAAAAAAUAACAAAAUUAAAACUACCUACCCAAUCAAGAAUAGCCAUUUUUCACAUUAUUCUAACCAACUAGACACUCACCUCUCUUAACGAUUUUCCAUGGACAAAAAUUCAUAGACAAUACACCACUCACACCUUACAAUACACGAUCUGGGAACCUCACAAUAUAUACACAGAGUUCAUCUUCCAUUAACGGACAACAUCCCACUCACAAAAGCCACUAUACGCACCUCACUGAUAUUUAGGAAAACUGGGAUAGAAGAGAGAGUGGAAGGGAGAAGUCGAGAGAAUCGGGGGAGAGGGAACCAAGAGAGAAAAUUGGCAGACGAAUUUGAGGAAGAAAGGUCAGUUCUGCAUUCGAUUUACUGUUCCGACGACGGUUUCGACGGAAACAUAUCAAAAAAUCACCAAAUCUGAUUGAAAUUACCAGAAAAAGGGCUACAGGCUGACGUCUGAACUUCAAAUCCAUUAAUACCCCAAGAUCGGCGUCAAAUCAGUUCGUUAAUCAGCCUUUUCUGACGAAUCUGGAUGGAAAAAAUGUUUUCUCAGUUUUCGCGGGGACUAUCUUGGGUUGUUCCGGCUUCUUUUCGGGUUUUGAUCGAGUUGGAUUUGGUUCAAAUUGAGUUUUCAAAUCAAAGUUAUUAGGCGCAGAUUAUGUUCAUUCAUUGAAGUAUUAUUGAAUUUCAAAAUCUUCAAAUUGAGGUCCAAUCCUAUCCCUUCUUUUAUUUCAUUAUUUAUUAUAUUCGGAUACAUCCAAUGGCACGUUAUUUGUUGCUUGAUCUGUGUUGGUAUUGAAUAUUUGAUUUUUUUGAAUCGUGGUCGGUUCCCUUGAGUAUGGAUCAUAUCGUGAAAUGAUGUCUCGUUUGAGAAUUAAAAUUGAUUGUUUUGGGGGCGAAAAUUGAAAAUCAAUAAGAGUGAAUAUUAUAGUAUUUUGAUUCAUUGUUUAUGUUGAGCAUUGAUAGUAUCAUGUUUAGGUCGAAACUAGUAGGCAAAUUCUAGGCUUUGGGGUGGGCAACCCGUAGGAUUUUAAUCAUCAAACGUUCAAAUAUUUAUGUUUGAGUGAUUUUCUUCAUUUUUAUCGUUUUCUUAUUAAAUAUAUUCAUUUAGUCGGGAAUGCCCCGAGGCUUAUUGUAUUUAUUCACCGGGGAAUGCCCCGACGUAUCAUGUUGGCGGCAGAUGAUCGUGAUGAAGGCCCGAGGCUUCGGGUAGAGCGUAGUUAGGAUUAGCCUAGAAUAGAGUAGGUUUAUAUUUUCGUAUUUUUUUUAUUUCGGGACUGUAUAAUUGGACUGAAUACUAAAUUUUGAAUUGUUUUAUUUUGUUUUGCUUGAUUGAUUGUUUUGCAUGCUUUGUGUGGUUUAUACAUUCAUAGUAUUUAAAUUAGCCGGUAUGCUCCACCAAGCGACCGUGAUCGAACCACGGGAUCGAGGGGUGCCUAACACCUUCCCCUCGAUCAACAGAAUUCCUUAAUCGAAAUCUCUGUUUGCAAACCAGUUUUAAAGAGUCAAAUCAUUUUGAAAAGGAUUUUCUAGAGGUGACUUGACACAUCUGAUUAUGCCAAGUGGCGACUCUGAGUUUUGAUUGUUAAAAGUCCUUUUCGAAACAAAUCUUCAUCUUUGUCACUUUAAUAAUAAAAAUCCUUUCGAAACUUAAAAUGAAUCUUUUUGGUUAAAAAAGGGGUGUUACAGCUCUGGCGACUCUGCUGGGGACUUUUCAGAAUUCGAGCUCAUUUUGGAGUUGUAUCGGCUUAGUUUGGCACUAUAGGUGUAUAGAUAUUUUGUUUGUGUUGUUUUAUGUUAUUGUAUUAUCCCUGUUGAGUGUCUACAUGCUCUUUGUUUACAGUUUUUAUCUUAUGUGUUACCGCUUUAUAUCUGACAUCAUGUGCAUAACCUGAGUCAUUCUUCUGCAACAAGUCCGUAGUACACGUGUUGUACACGAUCUUUAAUUGAGUCACCCUUAUUUUAGGGGGGAAGCCGUCGGUAUUAUUGAGUAGGUGGAAAGGAAAGCCGCCACUAUCGACCAUACGCUCCCCCGAAUAGCCUUGUUAGUGAACCCCAACGUAGGUCAGCCUUUAAGUCAUGCUUAUGUGCAUCAUAUUGAAGACCUAGCAGGGCCCACUUGGUCCUUUUUAGGAAACUCACCUCUAAAGCAUUCCUACAUGCUAAAUGUUGCAUCUUUGAGGGUAACGAGGUCAUUUGACAGAUUAAUUUGGGCAAAAGCAUGAGUUAGAAGCAAAGUGUGUAGGAAGGAAAUUGUUGAAAAAGGGAAGAAAAAAAGAGUGAAAAAAAAGAGAUUUGGUAGUUUUUAGGGUUCUUUAUGGCUUUUGUUUUUCACAAUUCAAGGAUUAAAAAAAAGUUUUUUUUUUUUUACUUUUGGCACUCAUUUCCCAAAAAAUCAAAAACGUUAAAAAAAUUUCCUUUUAUUUCUUUAGAAAGCAUUCACAAUUCGAAAACUCCAAAAUAAUUUUUUCCUUUCAAUAGGAGCUUUGUACAUUUUUAUAUAACGAAAAUAUCAAAAAGAUUUUUUCUUUCAUAGUUGUUGGUGUUAGUUUCUAAUUAAAAACUCAAAAAAAUAUUUUAUUUUCAUCGUCUGUCUUUAGUUGUGUCUCUCAAUUCAAGGUUUAGUUUGUCAUUUAAUCCUUAAUUGUCCAAUCUGGACGAACUACGCACCCCUGAUUCUCCUCUUUGGGAGUGAGAUAUAUAGGAAGCCAUUGUUGAUUCAGGGAUCUUAUUUGAAAAAUUCAAAAAAAAAAAAGAAGAUUUUCUUCACUCUUUAUUAGAGUAGGUGUUUAAUAUACAUCUUUAAAAGAAAACUACAAAAAAGAUUUUUCUUUUAAUAGGUUCAAGUUUCAUUUUCAUAUGAAAUUCAAAAUCGAAAAUCCAAAAUGAUUUUUCUGUUUCAUUUUGUAUAGGAAGUUUAAACUUGAAAAAUGCAAAAAAAAAUUCGUCAAUUCUUUUGACAAUUUGUUAUUUCCUUUUCUUUUUAAAGUUUCAAGAAAAAGAAAGAAGAAAGGAAAAAAAUUAAUAGGCCAUUUUGGCAAUACUUCACGAACUACGCACACCGAAUUCUCCUCUCUCGGGAGUGAGAUACGUAGGCACCCCGCUUGGGGUCGGUGAACUUUCAAAAAAAGAAAAAAAAGUUUUGAAAAAAAAGUGUUGAAUUCUAACGCAUUUGCUAUCUCUUGUUCAGUUAGUUUAAGGUGGUUGGUUUGUGGCAUUUUGGCUAGUCCUCCAUAUUGCAUCAAGUUACAGAGAAAGUUAUGGCCAACAAGGAUAUCGAGUUUGUUGUCACUGAUCAGAUAGGGAUUUCGAGCAAUGAGAAUUUAGGAGCUAAUGAAGAGAUUCAAAAAUUAAGGCAACAAAUGAUAGAAAUGCAGCGAGCUUGAGCUAAUGGGUUGCCACCUCCUCCAUUUCCCGCUGAUAAUCUGGAAUAUCUUUCUAGCUUGCCUCUAAUGUCACAUACAUAAUUUCCUAUUUUUGUUGACACACCAUAACAUGCAUUAGAACCUGCUCCGGGGCAACACUAUCCAAACACUUCCAAUAUUCAUUUCCUCAUCCUCAACACAAAGCUACCACAUGCUCGGCUCUACCCACUGUUCGUGUUUUUGCAGCACCACCCUCACCCGAAGCUCCUACUUUUGAGGUUUCUCCAUAAGUUGUACCUCCCCACUCUGCUAGAGAGCCUGUAUUAAAUAUUUUUGCUGAUCAACAUCAUGCUAUUGAGCCCACAUUUAAGUCGAUUAAUCCUUAUGGUUAUACUCACCCUCCUGAAUUUCCUCUUAACACUGAGAAGCCUGUUAUAGCAGAAGAACAAGAGAAAAUGACCAGAAAAUUAACAAGUUUAGAACUGUCUAUGAAAGACCUCCAGGGACUUGGAGGGUACAAAAGUGUCUCAUAUAAAGAUUUGUGCAUGUUUCCAGGGGUUCAUCUUCCUUUUGGUUUUAAAAUGCAGAAGUUUGAGAGGUAUGAUGGACAUGGCGAUCCUAUAGCACAUUUGAGAUGUUAUUGAAACCAACUAAGGGGUGCUGGUGGGAAGGAAGAAUUACUCAUGGCAUAUUUCGGUGAGAGUCUUUCAGGCCUAGCUUCGAAAUGGUUUGUUGAUCAAGACAUCGAUAAGUGGAUUAGUUGGGAUGACCUAGCUAAUGAAUUUGUGCAACAAUUCUAAUAUAAUGUGGAGUUGAUUCCUGAUGAGAAAUCCCUAACUAACAUGAAGAAAAAGAGUACUGAGACUUUCAGAGAGUAUGCGAUUAGAUGGCGUGAACAAGCUGCUAGGGUGAAACCGUCAAUAAAAAAAGUAAGAUAGUGGAGGUAUUUAUUCAAGUGCAGAAUGAAACAUAUUAUCAACACUUGUUACCUGCAUUAGGCAAGCCAUUUAUUGAGGUCCUCAAAAUGGGGGAGAUGAUAGAUGAUGGAAUUAAGAUCGGUUGAAUUAUGAGUUUUGCAACAUUGAAAGUGACUACUCAAGCAAUUCAAAAAGGUUUGAGAAGUGUCGGAGGGAAGAAGUAUGAGGAAGAUGCAUCUGCCAUUAUAGUUGGACGACAGGCACGGGCAAGAGAAUCACACCAUCGUUACCCACAGGCUCAAACCCAAGCUUAUGCCCAAGCUCCACAAAAUCUUUCCCAAAAUCCAUUAUACUGUAUUCCCCCACCUACAUAUCUAAUAUACAAUGCACAACCACAUGGUCAAUUCCCUUCUUACCCACAAUGGCUUGCACCAUCUCUUCAGAGUCAUCCUCAAACUCCAUAAAUAUACCAAAGCCCUUGUAGGUCCGAUUUUUGAUCCAAGCCAAAUAAUGAAAUGAGGCAGAAGUCAAGAGAUAGCUUCACACCAAUUGGAGAGUCAUACGUCAGUUUAUUCCAGAGAUUGGUACAACGGGGAAUGAUCACUCUUCUCCUUGGGUAUACUUCUGACCCACAUUUAAGAAGUUUUGAUGCUAAUGUACAAUGUGCAUAUCAUUCUGAUGUUCAGGGUCACAGUAUUGAAGAUUGUUGUUCUUUGAAAAGAGAAAUAGAAAAGAUGACUCAAGAUAAAUCAAUUAUGGUGCAGACCAUUGACAGUGAGGAAAGCUCUAGUCAUGCUGAUAUGCAAACCAGUGGCUAAGAUAUCAGGCUGGGCAAUUGAGAAAUCACCCCCCCCCUUAGAAAGAGGUCUGGUAGUUUGUUUUGUUUUAUUUCUUGUUAUUCGAAUUAUUUCAGGGUUGUAGUUUGGGAUCUAUCUUGUUGUGUCCAUUUGUCGUUAUGUUCAAACCCUUCUAUCUUUCAUUUUAUUUAAAUAGAGUGUCCCUUUUUUCUUUGUGUUUUAAAUAUGUUUCUUUUGUUUUCUUUCCACAGUAUAUUUUAUGUUGAAUCUAGUGAUAUGACAUGCUAAUGGAAUUUUCAUCCAAAUCUUAAAAUCCAGUUUAAGCAUAAACAUUGAAUCAGAGGUUUAAAGUUAGAAAAAGAGAGCAUCUGAGAAAAUAGGUAGAGUGAUGAGACAUUUAGUGACAAGUUCAAGCAUUCUUUGAAAAUUAAGGCCAUUUAUUUUGAGAAUCAUAAGAAUAACUUGGUCAUCAAUUGUAAGACGUGCCUCAAUUAAGUCAAACAGUGGAUGCGUGAUCCUAUAUCAAGAGAGACAGAAAGAAAAUCAGCUCCAUAAAAUCAUAAGUCAUUCAACAUAAGGAAUGUACAACAAAUGUGGAGUUGUAUGCUAGAAAAGCGCAGAAGAAGCAGUGACACACAGACUCAGUCAAAGUUAAUGUUGUAAAAGAUGUCGGACAUGAUCUUGAUCUCCAACUUUCAAAUUGCAUGUUAUGUGCUUGUAUUUUCAAAGAUUGAUAUGACGAAGGCAUUUCAUUCUGCUAUCCAAACAUUGUGUCAUCCUUUGUUUACCCCAUUUGAGCGUUAGUUUUAUUUUCUUUCAUACACCUCUUUUGGAAUCAAGAUAGAGUCAGUAAAACUCAAAAGAAAAGUGUCGAGAAAAAAAAUAUGUCCAAAAGGGAAGAAAAGAGUGUCAGGAAAUUAGAGUCAGGAAAAUCACAAAGAAAAAAAAGUCAAAAGAAAAAAUGAAAUCAGAAUCAAGCAAAACAAGCCGCCAGAACUACACAUGACCUGAUUCUCCUCUUUCUGGGGGUGAGAUACGUAGGCUUCCCUACUAAGGGAUCGGUCCAACCAAAUAAAUAAUUUAGAGUCACCCAGUCAAUAGAAAUUGGGGCAUGAGUUAAUCUUCAUUAUUUGAGUCGAUUCUAAAAUUUAUAAGUCCCACCCCACUUCAAGUAUCGUUCGGGCCUCAUGUCAUCUCUUCUUUCUAACAUUGUCCAAAAACCAAGUUACAACCAAAGAAAGACCUUCAGAUCAAUCUCUGAGAAAUUUAAGGCUUAAGCAUGCAAUGGAUAUGAUGAUGCAUUUUGGGUACUACCUGUCUUCCACGGCAUAAAAAAAAUAUGAGAGAAAUAAAAAUAAGAGUCUUAUUGGUGAAAACUCUUUCAGGCACUGUAAGAUGAUAGUAAGUUAAGAGAAAUAAAAAUGAAAGAGCCUUAUUGGUGAAAACACUCACGGGCACCAUUAGGAGAUGUUGAGCAGAGAGAAAGAGAAUGAGAGAGGCUUGUUGGCGAAAAUCCUCCAGGGCGCCACUAGCCGAAUAAGGUCUCCGAAUGCAAUUGGCCCAAGGAAGCAACUCUAGUUUACGGUCAUUUACUCAAUAACAAUUUGUGAGAGUUUUGGAUGGGAAAAUCAGGCAGUUUAAUCCGAUAUAGAUGUCAUAAUCAUUAGAUUUGACUGUCAUUUCCAGAUAAAAUUUUAUUCAUCUUUUUCAAUGGGGACAUUCAUUGUCGUUUGUUUCUUCUCUAUAGUUAUAUUUUUAUCUUCUUGAGCCAGUUAUCCAAAUAAAAUAAAAAUUGUUGUCAUUUUUCUCUUGUCUUUUAGUCGAAAGUCCAUGUCAAAACAAAUGAGAAAAAAUUUCAAAACUAGCUACCAGCUUCUUCAAUUGCACUAAGCAAGACAAAAGGCCAGUACAUGAAAGAGACAUGAUUGUAAGCCGAAAAAGGGCAUGCAUAAAGCUUUGUCAACAGGCAAAUCUGGAAACUUAUGAAAAUACCAAGGUUUAAUAGGUUUAUCUGAGAAGCACAGAAAAGCAGAGAUACUGUGUUUAUUUCAGAGUCACUCUUAAUAAUCUGAGUUUGGGUCAAUGACGCGACAAAGCAUGGGCAAGUGCCAGCAAUCGAAAACAAAAUGAAGGAAAUGAACAUUGGAGCAGGUGUCGGGAUAGACAAGUGCUGCAAACCACCACUAAGUUUUUAUUGACAAAUUUUCUUUGUUGAAACAGGGGCAAAUUCGUUUCACUUAAUUCAGCUACCCUUGGAAAAGCACAUCCGUGAGAAUUUACUUUCUGUUCAGGACCCUCUUGAAAAAUGAGAAUUUACUUUCUGUUCAGGACCCUCCUGGAAAAUGGAAAUUUAUUUUAUGUUCAGGACCCUCCUGGAAAAUGGGAAUUUAUUUUAUGUUCAGGACCCUUCUGAAAAUGGAAAUUUACUUUAUGUUCAGGACCCUCCCGAAAAAUGGGAAUUUACUUUAUGUUCAGGACCCUCCUAAAAAAUGAGACAUUAUUUUCAGAAAAAUGAAGUCUUUCUUUAUUAUAGUCCUUAUUUGGAUAAUUCAAGCAACAUUGGUAAGGAGACACACUUCCUUGGUUUGGUAAUUCAGGCGACAUGGGUAAGGAGACGCACUUUCUUUUUUGGGUAAUUCAAGCAACAUUUGUAAAGAAACGCACUUCCUUGUUUGGGUAAUUCAAGCAACAUUUGUAAAGAAACGCACUUCCUUGUUUGGGUAAUUCAAGCAACAUUUGUAAAGAGACGCGCUUUCUUAUUUUGGUAAACCAAGCAACAUUUGUGAGGAGAUGCAUUUCCUUAUUUGGAUAAUUCAAGCAACAUUUGUGAGGAGACGCACUUCCUUGUUUAGGUAAUUCAAGCGACAUUGGAAAGGAGACACACCUUCUUGUUUGGGUAAUUCAAUCAACAUUUGUAAGGAGACACACUUCCUUGUUUGGUUAAUUCAUGAGGCAUUGGUAAUUCAAACAACAUUUAUAAGGAGACGCACUUCCUUGUUCGAGUAAUUCAAACAACAUUUGUGAGGAGACGCACUUCCUUAUUUGGGUAAUUCAAGCGGCAUUGGUAAGGAGACGCACUUCCUUGUUAGGGUAAUUCAAGCAAUAUUUGUGAGGAUACACACUUCCUUAUUAAUGUAAUUGAAGUGACAUUUGCAAGGAGACGCACUUCCUUAUUUGGGUAAUUCAAGCGGCAUUGGUAAGGAGACACACUUCCGUGUUUGGGUAAUUCAAGCAACAUUUGUGAGGAGACACACUCCUUGUUAAUAUAAUUGAAGCGACAUUUGUGAGGAGAUGCACUUUCUUGUUUGGGUAAUUUAAGUGGCAUUGGUAAGAAAACACACUUCUUUGUUUGGGUAAUUCAAGCGACAUCAGUAAGGAGACACACUUCCUUAUUUGGGUAAUUCAAGAGGCAUUGGUAAGGAGAUACACUUCCUUAUUUUGGUAAUUCAAGCAACAUUGGUAAGGAGACACACUUUUUUAUUUUGUUAAUUCAAGUGGCAUUGGUAAGGAGACACACUUCCUUAUUUUGGUAAUUCAAGCAGCAUUAGUAAGGAGAUGCACUUCCUUAUUUGGUAAUUCAAUAAGCAUUGGUAAAGAGACGCACUUACUUGUUUGGUAAUUAAGGCGGCAUUGGUAAGGAGACGCACUUCCUUAUUUUGGUAAUUCAAGCGGUAUUGGUAAGGAGAUGCACUUCCUUAUUUUGUGAUUCAAGCAGCGUUGGUAAAGAGACGUACUUUCUCGUUUGGUAAUUCAAGCGAUAUUGGUAAGGAGACACACUUCCUUGUUUGGUAAUUCUGGCGACAUUUGUAAGGAGACACACUUACUUGUUUAGGUAAUUCAAGCAGCGUUGGUAAGGAGACGCACUUUCUUGUUUCGGUAAUUCAAGCGGCAUUGGUAAGGAGACGCGCUUCCUUGUUUGGUAAUUCAAGCAGCAUUUAUAAGAGACGCAUUUUCUAGUCGGAAUCCCUUGCUUUAAUUCUUAGGAGAUGUAAUUCCUAGUCUUGGUCAUUCAAUUUUACUCUUAAGAGAUGCAUUUCUUGGUCAGAGUCUUAAUUCAUCAUUACAACAUGCAAGUAGGAGUCCGCCUGAAGAACAAGGCAAAUAAAUGAAAAAUCAAGCAACAAAGUUAAGAAGCUGAAAGUCAAGCAACAAAGUGAAGAAGUUGAAAGUCAAGCAACAAGGUGAAGAAAAUGAAAGUCAACAGAUUGAAAAAUAGCAAGUUAGGAGCCUGCCUGGAGAACAGGGUUAUGAAAUUGAAAAUCAAGCAACAAGUUGAAGAAAUUGCAAGUCAGGAACCCGCCUGAAAAAUAGGGUGGUGGAACUCAAGUCCAAAAGCAGCUGCAUAGAUAGGAUUUUUGUAAUUUUAUUUAUGUUUUAACUUGUAAUUUUCAUUUUUGAUGUAAUGACAGAUCCGCAGACCGGAACCUCGGCGGGCCUCACUCGACUCUCCAACUCGGUAUAGUCCCUCUUCUUCUAACCCUUUGAGAUACCUGUGACGUGAUUCCCUCAUAACUUCAGUAGGUGGGAUGUCCUAAAUCAAGACUUGGUCUCCCUCCUUCCUUCUGUUUCAUUCUUUUUGAAUAAUGGUCGGGACAAAAUUCUGUCUCGUUGUCUACUUCUUUGUCUGAAAAUACUUCGUGUUUACAUUCAAAGGGGGCAUGAUGUAGACACCUAAUUUUUUCCGUCUCCGAUAUCAUUUUUACUUAUUUUUACCUUAUCCUACCGUGUACCUUCAACCAUAUAAUUAUACCCCACAAAAAGACAAAAAAUAACCAAAUUAUAACAACCUACCCAAUUAAGAAUAACCAUUUUUCACAAUAUUCUAACCAACUAGACGCUCACCUCUCUUAACGAUUUUCCAUGGACAAAAAUUCAUAGACAAUACACCACUCACACCUCACAAUACACGAUCUGGGAACCUCACCAUAUAUACACAGAGUUCAUCUUCCAUUAACUGACACCAUCCCAUUCACGAAAGCCACCAUACGCACCUCACUGAUAUUUAGGAAAACUGGGAUAGAAGAGAGAGUGGAAGGGAGAAGUCGAGAGAAUCGGGGAGAGAGGGAACCAAGAGAGAAAAUGGGCAGACGGAGUUGAGGGAGAAAGGUCAGUUCUGUAUUCGGUUUACUGUUCCAGCGACGGUUUCGCUGGAAACACAUCGAAACAUCACCAAAUCUGAUUGAAAUUACCAGAAAAAGGGCUACAGGCUGACGUCUGAACUUAGAAUCCAUUAAUACCCCAAUAUCGAUGUCAAAUCAGUCCGUUAAUCAGCCUUUUUUGACGAAUCUGGCCGGAAAGAACAUUUUCUCGAUUUUCGCGGGGACUAUCUCGGGUUGUUCGGUCUUCUUUUUGGGUUUUGAUCAAGUUGGAGUUGGUUCAAAUUGAGGUUCCGAAUUGAAGUUCUUAGUCGCGGAUUAUGUCCUUUCAUUGAAGUAUUAUUGAAUUUCGAAAUCUUCGAAUUGAGGUCCAAUCCUAUCCUUUCUUUAUUUCAUUAUUUAUUAUAUUCGGAUGCAUCCAAUGGUGCGUUAUUUGUUGAUUGAUCUAUGUUAGUAUUGAAUAUUUGCUUGUUUUGAAUCGUGGUUGGUUCCCUUGAGUAUGGAUCAUAUCGUGAAAUGAUGUCUCGUUUGAGAAUUAAAAUUGGUUGUUUUGGGGGCGGAAAUUGAAAAUCAAUAAGAGUGAAUAUUGUAGUAUUUUGAUUCAUUGUUUAUGUUGAGCGUUGAUAGUAUCAUGUUUAGGCCGAAACUAGUAGGCAAAUUCUAGGCUUUGGGGUAGGCAACCCGUAGGAUUUUAAUCAAAAAUCAUCAAACGUUCAAAUAUUUAUGUUUGAGUGAUUUUCUUAAUUUUUAUCAUUUUUUAUUAAAUGUAUUCAUUUAGUCGGGGAAUGCCCCGAGGCUCAUUGUAUUUAUUCACCAGGGAAUGCCCCGACGUAUCAUGUUGGCGGCAGAUGAUCGUGAUGAAGGUCCGAGGCGUCGGGUAGAGCGUAGUUAGGAUUAGCCUAGAAUAGAGUAGGUUUAUAUUUUCGUAUUUUUUUUAUUUCGGGACUGUAUAAUUGAACUGAACACUAAAUUUUGAAUUGUUUUAUUUUGUUUUGCUUGAUUGAUUGUUUUGCAUGCUUUGUGUGGUUUAUAUAUUCGUAGUGUUUAAAUUAGCCGGUAUGCUCCACCAAGCGACCGUGGUCGAACCACGGGAUCGAGGGGUGCCUAACACCUUCCCCUCGAUCAACAGAAUUCCUUAACCAGAAUCUUUGUUCGCAAACCAGUUUUAAAGAGUCAAAUCGUUUUGAAAAGGAUUUUCUAAAGGUGACUUGGUACAUCUGAUUAUGCCAAGUGGCGACUCUGAGUUUUGAUUGUUAAAAUUCCUUUUCGGAAUAAAUCUUCAUCUUUGUCACUUUAAUAAUAAAAACCCUUUCAAAACUUAAAAUGAAUCUUUUUGGUUAAAAAAGGUGUGUGACAAGUGGUAAAAUAUAUAUGUACAUAUGUUUAUAUUUACAUUAUUAUAUUAAAGUGUGAAAAAUUUUUGAAAACUGAUUUGAACUUUUAUAUUUUAUUAAAAACCUCCGCAAUAGAUAAAAUUAUUUAAUUUUAAAUAAUCAAACGUUACACGUGCGAGGCACGUGCGGGUUAAACUAGUAGCUAGUCUUAAAUACAUCACGCGAAAAGUUGAAAUUAUAGAGUUGCAAAAAUAAAUAGACAGUCUAUUUAGACAUAUUAAAAAGAGAAGUAAGAUAAACAAAUAGAAAUGGAGUACUAGUAGUUCGCACCUCAUAUAACAAUCAAAUUCCUGAGCAGUGCAAUGGCAUAAAACUCGCGCGUACUAACCUAAGUAAGAAAAUUUGUGAAACGUUUCACUUACAAAUGACUGAUAAUUUGUAACACAGAGGUGUAAGUACCUAUAACCAUAAUGGUUAUGCCUAGUAUCACAAUCCCCACUAUAACAACAUGCUCAAAUCCUACUCUUCGAUAAAUCCCAGAAAUCUUCAAGAAGCACAAGCACGGGAGUACUAGGGAAGCUGUAACACUCAAAAAUGCUCCAACAAGUGACAUGAGAUAUCCAAAUAAGGGGAUAGCUAAUGCUACAAUGACAGUGCUAAUUACUAAAGUUGUUCUGAUAAGUAGGCUGCAGGUCCUUGUGUUGUAUUGGAUUGGAAAUGCAUUUUCAAUACUAUUUUCUAGUGGUUUUAUCAUCAACCCAUACUUCGCAAUUGGGUUGACUAGUGUGGUGUAAAUUGCCACUUUUGAGCUGAUUUUAUUGGUGGGGAGAUUUAAGGUUAUUUGGGAAAGUACACCUGGACCAAACAUGAGAUAUCCCACAAUAGCCAUUGAUGCAUAGCAGAUGGUGCAAAGCAGAAAACAAACAAACAUGACCUGCAAGCAAUAAUUUUUUAGAAAUAAAAUUAAAUAGUUAGUUACCACUCAGUCUAAAACAGAAAAGUGAGAGUUUAAUUCGAUACUCCAUGAUCUAAUUCGGUAAAUGUACUUACUUACAUCAACCAGCGCAUAAACAUAAGCUCUUGACAUAAUAAGUGGAAUUAGUUAUCAGAAGUAGAACUUAAUUUCUAUAUAAUUCUUUUAGACUAUCAAGUCAUCUAAAAGAUAAUAACGCUUAAAAUAACAAAACCUAAAAGAUAAUUAUAUUAUAAAUUAAUCUAUCUAUCUCAAAUUAUGUCACACACUUUCCUUUUUAGUCUGUUCCAAAAAGAAUAUCACUUCAAUUGAAAAUGAUUCUAACUUUAAAAUCUUCUCAUUAACCUUAACAGAAUGAAUAUAGUCAUAAUUAGAACACAAAAUACGAAAGUAUUGCCAAUUUAUAUAUAAGCUAAAUCAGAAGUAAUAAGAUAUGCAAAACUAAUAAGGUCGUUAAUAUUCGAACCUUAGAGAACUUUUUUGGAUUUAUCAUGGAAGUAUAUAAGGUUGGGAAAACUGGAUGAGCACAGUAACAGAAGGCAUAGAGGCUAAUAGCAGUUGGCAUUCCUUUCCAACUUAUAAAUUGAGUGUCAUCAUUUGCUUGAAAUCCAAUUCCAUCAAAUACAGCAGCCCACAAGAUUGAUCCAAGUAAUACAAUAGAUGCCACCACUCCACUGGCAGAUAUAUAAGAAAGGAUGAUCAUAUUGUUCAGCCAAACAGUGGGCAGAAUAACAAAGCUUAUAAUAAUCACAAAACAUUGUUUUCCACCAAUUAUAAGUCCAAAUAUUUGAACUAAUUGUAUGUCUCCGAAUAAGUUUUGCAAGUUAUCGCCCUCUAAAAUCAAGAAACCUGUUACGACCAUGUAAAGUUCAACGUUCAUCGUCGUGGAGACAAGCAUUCUUCCAGUAAUUCCAAAUGCACGUUCCCCAAUGUCAGGGUAACUUGUUAUGGUUUGAUCAAUAUCCAUGCAUCUUUGAAUUAAUAAUCCAGUGUAAUAGGUUGAGAUGGCGAUUAUGAAGAGAAAUAUUAAGCUUAACCAUCCUCCUGAUGCUAAUGCAUAGGGUACUGAAAGUAUGCCAACACCUGAGCAAACAAGUAACCCACAGUUACGAAUUAUUAGUCCAAAAUAUAUUUGUUAAUUAGUUUAGAAAAUUAGAAUUGCUACUCCAGAAAGGUAUAUAUAUAUAGCCAUUUACAGGGCAGAGCCAGGUAUGGCCGAGGCAGGGCAACCAAUCCCUUCUAUGGAAAAUCAUUAUGCUUAUACAUAGUUAAAAUUAUUUUAUAUUGUAAAUUUUAACCAACUGUCACUGCAAAGCUUAGUUAAUCAAGCUGUAUUGAGCAGAGGAGAAAGGACGAAAUUAGGAAAUUUUAUUAACUGUCAUUCAAUUUACAUUGUUACAACUUGCAUCUAUAUAGAUGUAUGUAUAUUUUAUAGAACCUUCUCACCUUAACUACACUACACAUUCAGCUACCAACUCAUCACAUAUCUUAUCAGCUAGCUAACAAACUUAACAAACUUACGUGCACUAGCAACUAACUCAAGAACGCAGUAUACCAAUGUAACAAUGCACAGAGAAUGAUCACAUUUGUUGUGUGAACUAAAACUUUCAAGUACAUAUAUACAGAGAGAGAAAGGGGGUGGGGUGGGGUGGGGGGAGUAGAUGUUGACCCGUUCGACUUCUUCGUUGAUUACUUCAUUAUAUUUGAACCUUUUAAAGAAAAUCCUACCUCCAUCACUAGCCAUUGAUCCUAAUUCGUUUAAGGAAGGAAUCAGGAAUCCUUUGACUCAAAUACCCCAUAUAAUUAAGCAAGGAAUCAGCCAAAAGUAUGCCUCACAAUAGGAAUUCAUACUAAGAUCGAAAUAAUCAGGUGACAUACAAAAGUUAGCAAAACAACCCCGAAAGACGUUAAAUAAGAAGACAAGCGAUAAAUAUAACAAAAGAGACACGAUUAAUUAGCAUUGUUCGAUCCGAUUGACCUACAUUUACAAAAGGAGAUGAGUAAUCCAUUAUAUUAAAAAAAGUAAAAAUGUCGAGAGACAACCUCCCGUAACACUUGUGUCUCACAAAUUCCCCCAAAAAAUACUCUCAAACCCCUAAAACUACAUUAUGAAUGCUAUAAAACUAAAAAAAAAAAGCCUCUAUUACAGAGUCUAUAACCUUUUUUCUUACCAGAACAAAGAUUAAUCAAAUAUAGAGAAUUUAUGCUUUUCUUUUUCUAAAAAGGAUCCCAAUUAUAAUUUUUUUUAAAAAUCAGGACAAAUACCAAUACUUCGUUUGAUCAUAAGAAAUUUUCACUUUUUCGUCAACAAAAUUAUUUCACGUUAUUAAUAAAUUAUUUUUUGACCAUAAAAUUUCAAAUACACUUUAAAUAUAUUUGAAAAAGUGAAAACAAAUUAAUAAUACUUGUUUUCGCUUUUCUUUUUUUCACGUAUUCACCUAUUUAAUUAUGUCUAAAUACGUUAAAUUAUAAAAAAUCUUUUCAAAAAAAUACAACCAAACACAACUUCAACUCUAAUUACAACUCCAAAAAAUCAAAAUCAAUUGAUAUUUUUUUUUUAUUUUCCUGCGAAACGGCUCCUAGGACUUAUGACAAUUCCGGCCAAAAAAGAAAAAAGAAACAAUAAUAAUAUUAUUAAGACACGUCUCAAUCAGCCAAUAGUUGUUACCUUGAAACACUAAAUUUACCUUUUGUACAAUUGUCCAAGUAGGUAGAGCCGUCAUACUCAAACCAAACAACAAACAACAAACAACCAAAAAAGGCACAGAGCGUCUAAUAAUUAAUGUACAGAUAGUAGUAUUUUAAUAAAUAAAAUUCACUUUUUGUAGGAAAAAUACAUACUUUGUUCAAUUUAUCUCUUAAAUUGGCACCAAAUUUAAAAAAAAAUAUCAAAGUAGAUAUUUAAAUUUAUGAUUUUAAAUCAAAUAUAAUAUAAUGUAUCACAUAAUCUUUAGUCUUGUUGCCAUAAGUGAUGUUGGAACUGAACAGAGUUACCCAAUAAAAAAAUCGACAUAUUUCAAAAAAAAAAAAAAAUUAAAAUAAAAGAUAUUACUUAAAUUGAAAUAGAGAAAAUAUCAUUUAAAUAGUAACUUAUUAUUUAUGAGAACUUUCUUUUCAACUGCCUAUGUUUGCUUAUUUUAAAUAAUUUUAACAAUUGUCUCAACUAAGAAAGCUUUUAAAAAAUAAUACUUGUAAAAAUUCAUAUAAGAUCAAUAAUAUCUUAGGAAUGAUUAUAAAUAUUUGACAUUUCGUUAAUGGAAAAUAAGUAUUUGAAGAUCUUUAGUCUUGUUGCCAUAAGUGAUGUUGGAACUGAACAGAGUUACCCAAAAAAAAAACCGACAUUUUUCAAAAAAAAAAAAAAUUAAAAUAAAAGAUAUUACUUAAAUUGAAAUAGAGAAAAUAUCAUUUAAAUAGUAACUUAUUAUUUAUGAGAACUUUCUUUUCAACUGCCUAUGUUUGCUUAUUUUAAAUAAUUUUAACAAUUGUCUCAACUAAGAAAGCUUUUAAAAAAUAAUACUUGUAAAAAUUCAUAUAAGAUCAAUAAUAUCUUAGGAAUGAUUAUAAAUAUUUGACAUUUCGUUAAUGGAAAAUAAGUAUUUGAAGAAACUGUCACUAAAAUAAUAAUUUUCAAACUUGAAUUUCAAAAAUAAGAAGAAUAAACGUGAAGGACAGCCAUAGUGUAUUAAAGCCAGUGGCGGAGCCACAGCCGACGAAGGGUGGUCAGAUGAACAUCUUUCGUUCGAAAAUUUUUUUGAGUAUAUAGGUUAAAUAUAGAUAUUUAUGGUUGUAUACAUGUUGUUGCACACUCUUGAUAAGCUAGAGAAACAUAGUUCAGUGGUCAAGAGUGUGCAUUUCUGCAUCAACAACUUGGGUUCGAACCUUGACAUGUGCAACAGUGCUUUAUUUAUUUAUUUAUUUUUUAAACAGUUCUUUGCCCAAAGGAAGGGACAAUAUAAACACCCUUCACCAAAAGUCUGAUUUCGCCAUUGAUUAAAGCUUCGAUGGUGCUCGAAAUUUAGAGGACAGAAACACAAGCUUUAGUAUUAUAUUACAGCCUUACGUAAAAUAAAAAUAUUUAUUUGUAUUAAAUAAGUUAAAACUCUCUUGUCAAAAGUCGACUUUUGGCUACCAAGUAGGGGACUACGUAUAUGCUUUGUGUAAGUUUUUUGUUAAUAAGUAGAGUAACCUAUGUAUAUGAUACCAAGUAUAUCUAUUGUGUUCUUAAAAGGGAGUGAGCCGUUUUGGUUGAAAAGAAAUACCAGAAUUGACUUAAUGAAAACAAAAAUUAUUCUUCUAAACUCAUGUCUGUUUUGUGCUGUUUUUCGUGAUUAAAAAAAUAUAAAAAAAUUGAAACCCAUUUGUUUAAAAGUAAACACAAAGCAAAAGAUAAAAGGCACAAAGUAACUAUUAGAAAUUAAAGAAGAUGAGAACCUGACAAAGCAUUGAGUCCAUUGAAACAAGUUCUUGAAAAAGAGGUUGGUCCUGAAAUGGAGUGUUGAAUACCAUUCUCCUCCACUCCAAGAAUAGGAGUACUAUUAUUAUCUUCAAUUCUGUCAUCAUUUUGUAAUUUGUGAUAGCAAUUUUCAUUGAGAACUAGUAGCCCCACUCUUAUACUUGACGAGUCAUUGUUAAAUUUAGGCUCCAUGAUUAGAAUUCUUCUUCUUAAGUCUUCCUCUUCUUCCUAUAUUUGUAUGUAAUAAUCAUAUAGAAGAAGAGAAAGAGAGGUAGAAAACUUCUUGUGGGUGAAAAGCUACAGGAAUUGACUCUUGUGAUAAGAUAGGAUGUUGUUGUGUCUAAGGUUACGUGUACCUGAACUGUCACCGUGAAAAACAAAAAGGUAAACAACAUAAAUAUAACACUUUGCUAUCUUAUUACUUUCUCUCAAUUUUUAUAUUAAUUACUUAAUAUCUCGGAUAUGAUUCAUAAGUUUGGUCCUAAUACAUAACCAACAGGUACAUAAUUACUAAACUAAUUGACUAUAAAAAUAGAAAAAAAUGAUAUGAAAUUAAAUGAUAGAGCAAUUAAUGAGAUUUUAAUUGAGAUAUGUCUCUUGAAUCCCUAAAAAUUAGUAACAACUUCAUAAUUAAAAUUUUAAUCACCAUAAUUAACAUUCUCAAAUCAUAAUUCUCCCAAAUGCUCUAAAAUCAAAAUGUGCACAAAAUACAAAACUAAAUCAACAAAAAAUGUCAGAAAAAUUUAUACGUACCUAAUCCAAAAUAUAUAAUUGAUGAUGAUACAUAAGAUACGACAUAUAGUUUUAGAUGAACUAUAAAUACAAUACAUAUGUAUCAGCUGUAUCCAAUAUUUUGAAUAUAUCAGUUGCAAAAUAAUUCAUAACAAUUUCAAAAUUUAGUAUGUAUCAGAUAUAAUGAUAUAUCUCUUAAAAAUUGAUUUACGCAUCAUAAUAAAUGUAUCAAGUGUAAACUAACCCAAAUUACAUGCAAUUUCUUAUAAUGUAUCAUAAAAUAAUGCAAUGUGUCGUUAAAAUCAGAUAUAUGUAUUCGGCAUAUUAAUGUAUCAGGUUUACAAGAACCAAAACACAUAUAAAUAUUAGUAUGUAUCAGAAAGCCUGCAAUGUCUCUUAUGUAUCAAAAACCUUAGAACUAUGUAUCAAACUCAGUAAAGUGAAUGUAUCAAAUAUUAAAAAAGAAUCUAAAUCACAUAUAAAUUUCAAUAUGCAUUGGAAAGCAUGCAAUGUCUCGGUGUAUUAAACUUAUGUGUCGGAUUCACUUCAAAAUAUGUAAUUCAUACCUUUGAUAAAUAGUUUCUUUUUGUAACUUGCUUUCUUUUCUACUUUGUAGAUACAACAAUAGUCUUUAUGACUACUACCAGUAGCCUCCCGUAAUUUCUUCUUCAUAUUCGGAUAAAUUUGAAGAAAAAAGUUAAUGAAGAUUGUAAAUUUGAAAACAAAUUAACACAAUUGUUAAUGGAGAAUUUGAAAAUUUUAAAAAAGUUAAUUACGAUGGUAAAUUUGAAAACAAAUUUAUAAAAAAAGUUAUGAAAACAAAUUAACCUCCAAAUAAAUUUGAGGAAAAAAGUUACUGGAGGUUGUAAUUGGAAGUUGAAGUUUGAAUAUGUUGAAGUAGUGGAUGAUAAGAUGAUAAUAGAUUGUAAUUGUUGAAUUGAUAAAUUUGUCAGAUAUUUUACCUUGAUUUUGGGCGAGUUUUAAGGAGCAUGAGGUACAAAAAUAGGGUGAGUUGUAAUAUAUUAGCAAAUAUUAGGGUUUUAUGAAUUAGAAGGGAUUUUUUAAAUAUAUUUAGUAAGAUGGUAUUUAAAGUAUUAUAAAAAAGUUAAGGUGUUGACUUAUGUAAUUUUUUCUAAAAAAUAAAUAAAUAAGAAUUGUCAUUGCUAAGUCAAUUAUAUGAAGCUACAGAUUUUGUCAAUACAUAUAAUCUCAUCUCAAACCAUAUUCUACACAAAAUAAACAUGUUUAAAAUUUUUAUGUGUAUUACUAAUUAUAAAAUAAAAUGUCUCUAAAAAUAUAAGAGCUAAGAUAACACAUAAUUGUGUUGAUAUGACUAGGGAUAUAUUCCAUUCAUUGAUAUCAUAUUAUGUAGAUUUUCUUCAAUUAGAAAGAAGCAAGCAAGCAAGAAAAGACUAGUAAUUCGUCUGUCUCCUUGUUUAUUUUGCUUGUACUUUUGCAUGAUGUUGCAGAAUAUAGUAGCGUACAAAAAAGGAGCAGGCUGACAUGAUAGACCACGUGGAUAAAUUUUCAGAGGGUCCCCACACACUUAGGGAUGCGUUUGGUACGCUCUAUAGGAUAAGUAAAAAUAUCUUAUGAUGUGGGAUAUGUUGUGAGAUUAUUUUGUUCCUACUCAUUGAGUUGUAAUUCCAUCAUUUUAGUGUAAAUAAUGAGAUAAAAUAGUUCCGAAAUUAAGUCAUACCUUAUACCAAACAUGAAUAAGGUUAAUCCCAAACCUUAUUCCGGAAUUAUUCUUCUUAUCCAUUCUAACCAACGAUCCUUUAGUGUAUCUUAGAUUUCUGUACUAAAUUCGUGAUUUUAUCAAAGACGCAAUUGGACUAUUAUCAUUAGAGUGGCAGCAUCAAAUUUGAAUUCAAUUUGCUUCACUUCUUAAUCAGUACGCCAGAACGAGUCCAGGAAAAUGGUGUUGAAACAAUACAAAAUCGAAAGGAUAGAGAAUAGGGGUUUAAAGUAAAUAGAAUCCAACUAUGAAUUGGCUAAAACUUCUUCAUAUUCCUAUUAUUAACAUUAACUAGAAUAUUAUACGUGUGUUGCACGUGUGUUUUACGUAAUUAUACACAAGAACGAAGAAUAGUACAACAAAAUAGUAAUUGAAGAUAAAAAAGAGGAAAAAAUUAAGUUGCAUAGAAAACAUGAGGCCUUAAUUAUAAGACAUAGCUAUAGUUUUAAAAUUUACCUAACACAACUAUAUGUAGGGUUUGUAGCAUCUCUCUCUCCGUAUCUCUCCUUCUCUCGCUCACGCUCUCCUCCCUCCUCUCCCUCCUGUCCCUCUCCCCUCCCCUCUCUCUCUCUCUCUCUCUCUCUCUCUCUCUCUCUCUCCUCAUUUUCUUGCCGCGGUGAUGGAAGAGUUGUAUAUGUAUUUAUUGUAUGUCUUAGGUAUAAGUAUUUUGAUUUAGAUAUAUGUACCGACUGUAUAUGUAUCAGUUUAAUAUGUUUUAGCUAUAGGUAUAAUGCAAGAGUUGUAUAUGGAUCAAUAUGUAUUGGUCUUAUAUAUUUUGAUCUCUGUUGUAAUAUACAUACAAAUACAAUUGAACUGUGUCAUUAUACGAAUCAAUAUGUCAUAUGUUAAUCAGGUUGAUCUCCUCUCUCCUAAUCUUGCUCGCCUCUCUUAUCUCUCUUUCAGUCUCGUUCACCACUCUCAACAUUUUAACGCUCACAUCUCUUCUUUCUCUUCCAGACUCGUUCUCCACUCUAAUCCUUUUAACGCUCACCUCUCUCUCCUUGUCUCGUUCACCACUCUCCUCCCUUCACAUGUAUAUAUGAAUUGUAAUUAAUAAACUAUAGUUAUGAUCUCCCCAACUAAGUUUAAUCCUUAGCUAUUUUAGAAACUUAGCCUAAAAUAAAUGUUAUAGCUAUGUAAAUGAUAAAAAUUAAAAUUGUAACUCAAAUAUAUUGUUGGAUGUUGUGUCUAAGGGAUCGCCCAAGGGCUUUAAGGACCCGGGUCCCGGUCCGAUUGGGUUUUGAAUUUGGGCCCGGUUAAUCCGAACUGGACUCAAUCCGAUUAGGGCCCGUUGGUUAACCGGCCCGGCCUAGCCCGAAUAAGCCCAUUUAAUUUUUUUUUUUUUUUUAAGAUUUUGGAAAAUUGGGCCAAACUAGCCGUUGGCCCAACGACUAUAACGGCUAGUUUGGGCCCAAAUAUAAAAAAAAAAGUCUUUUUUUUUAAUUUAAAAUCAUUUUUUAAUCGCAAAAAAAAUUCUAUAAAUACCCUACACUUUCAAAUCAUUUUCCACACAAUUUUUCAUCCUCUCAAGUCUCAAAUCUCAUUCUCUCUCAAAUCUCAUUUCUCAAUUCUCAAACAUUCUAUAUAUUUAAUUUCUAAAGUGCUCACUUUAAUUUUUUAAUUUUGCCGAUUACUAAGUACGAGUGGAAGUUUCUUGUCACGCCCCAAAAUCCCAUCGGGCCGGACGGGCACCCGAAGCCGAGAAGGCCCGGAAGAACCCGUUCAGAUACCUGUACUUUCACUUACAUGUCACCAAAAAUUUGGACAACACUUCGUUGCAUAUAGAAGGGUCUAAUUACCUNNNNNNNNNNNNNNNNNNNNNNNNNNNNNNNNNNNNNNNNNNNNNNNNNNNNNNNNNNNNNNNNNNNNNNNNNNNNNNNNNNNNNNNNNNNNNNNNNNNNNNNNNNNNNNNNNNNNNNNNNNNNNNNNNNNNNNNNNNNNNNNNNNNNNNNNNNNNNNNNNNNNNNNNNNNNNNNNNNNNNNACCCGAAGUAGGAAAUGCUAACGUUAGAUCCGAAUUGGUUAAUCUCCCUCCCCGUCCUCCCCGUGCCCCAAGAGCUAAUAAACAAACUAGUGUUGCAUGAAAAUUUUUUGAAUAUAUAUCAGAUACUGAGGUGCAAUGCAAUACUUGUCAAAAAAUAUAUAAGAAUAAAAGAGGAGGCAAGCAAGGGGGUACGGGUACGUUAAUGAGACAUUUAGCUGAAGACCACGAAAGAGAGUUAAAAAUUGCACAAGGUGGUGAGGCUUUUGGUGGGCCCACACAAACUAGAAUGGACCCAACAACCGGUCACGUAACGAAGAAGUAUAAUAAAUUGAGGGACCGGGAAGAAAUAGCAAAAAUGGUAGUUGUAAGUUGUUUGCCUUUUAGUUUUCCUUCUUCUGAUGCUUUUAUUCAUUAUAUUCAGGCAAUUUAUAAUCCUAUGUUUAAUGGUAUUCCUAGAAGUACUUGUCGGNNNNNNNNNNNNNNNNNNNNNNNNNNNNNNNNNNNNNNNNNNNNNNNNNNNNNNNNNNNNNNNNNNNNNNNNNNNNNNNNNNNNNNNNNNNNNNNNNNNNNNNNNNNNNNNNNNNNNNNNNNNNNNNNNNNNNNNNNNNNNNNNNNNNNNNNNNNNNNNNNNNNNNNNNNNNNNNNNNNNNNNNNNNNNNNNNNNNNNNNNNNNNNNNNNNNNNNNNNNNNNNNNNNNNNNNNNNNNNNNNNNNNNNNNNNNNNNNNNNNNNNNNNNNNNNNNNNNNNNNNNNNNNNNNNNNNNNNNNNNNNNNNNNNNNNNNNNNNNNNNNNNNNNNNNNNNNNNNNNNNNNNNNNNNNNNNNNNNNNNNNNNNNNNNNNNNNNNNNNNNNNNNNNNNNNNNNNNNNNNNNNNNNNNNNNNNNNNNNNNNNNNNNNNNNNNNNNNNNNNNNNNNNNNNNNNNNNNNNNNNNNNNNNNNNNNNNNNNNNNNNNNNNNNNNNNNNNNNNNNNNNNNNNNNNNNNNNNNNNNNNNNNNNNNNNNNNNNNNNNNNNNNNNNNNNNNNNNNNNNNNNNNNNNNNNNNNNNNNNNNNNNNNNNNNNNNNNNNNNNNNNNNNNNNNNNNNNNNNNNNNNNNNNNNNNNUGCUUAUUAUCCUACUGUUUGUAAUAUUUUGGGAUAUAUAACCGAUAUUUCUGGUUUGCUCAAAGAAUAUAAAAAUAAAGAAGGUUAUGAAAAUGUUGUUGGUGCCAUGUUUACUAAAUUUUAAAAAUAUUUUUUCCCGAUUCCCCCUAUUUUCUUGAUUGGUGCUAUGCUAAAUCCGUGUAUUAAAUACCAUACUAUGAGCCACUUUAGUACUCUUAUUUAUCGUAACUUAGAAAUAAAUACUAACAAUGAUUCUGAACAAGUACAACCUGAUUUGUGGACGGCUACGUCUGAUGCGAAUGCUUACACAGAUAAAUUAUAUAACCACUAUGCUGAUUUAGUUGAUUUAGCUGUACCGACACAUAUCAAUCCAACUGUCGCUCCUCAUCCUCUUUAGGUGCCAUCAUUUUCUAAAAGGCCGGCACAUUGUGGUUUUCCUGAUUCCUUUUAUGAUUUAUCCUAUUGGAACAGUGUUGACGAGGGAGCUUACACAUCAAAUUAUCGGGAAGAGCUUAAGUAUUAUCUUUGGUCUCCACCAGAUGAUCACAGACGACGGAUCAACACGUUGGAUUGGUGGAGGAAUAAUGAAUCACAAUAUCCUGUGCUUUCAAGAUUAGCUAGAGAUAUCUUGAACGUUCCAAUGUCAACCGCUGCAUCAGAGAGCGCCUUUAGUCAGGAACGACAGCAACUUGGAGACAACCGACACUCAUUGGGAAGCAAUGCAAUGAAUGUUCUAGUUUGCCUCAGAGAUUGGAUUAGAGCAGAAAGAAGAAAUCAAGGAAUGGAACCGGAGUCGAAUGACGAGCAGAAACUUGAAGAAAUUAUGACUUCGCGGGAGAACUCAGUAGAAUCAGGUCCAAUGCAUGAGUUUGCCUGCAAGUUCCCGUUAAUAUAAACAUGGAUGAGUUGGAAAAAAUGAUGCAUAGUUUGUAGAUUUUUUAUUCAUGUAAAUUAUAAAUUUUGGAUCAUUUUGCAAUCAAUAAAAUUCAAUAUUCAUUAAUUAACUAUCAAGUAUUAUUAAUUUAUUAUAUUAAGUAGUAUAUGUUUUGUAUAUNNNNNNNNNNNNNNNNNNNNNNNNNNNNNNNNNNNNNNNNNNNNNNNNNNNNNNNNNNNNNNNNNNNNNNNNNNNNNNNNNNNNNNNNNNNNNNNNNNNNNNNNNNNNNNNNNNNNNNNNNNNNNNNNNNNNNNNNNNNNNNNNNNNNNNNNNNNNNNNNNNNNNNNNNNNNNNNNNNNNNNNNNNNNNNNNNNNNNNNNNNNNNNNNNNNNNNNNNNNNNNNNNNNNNNNNNNNNNNNNNNNNNNNNNNNNNNNNNNNNNNNNNNNNNNNNNNNNNNNNNNNNNNNNNNNNNNNNNNNNNNNNNNNNNNNNNNNNNNNNNNNNNNNNNNNNNNNNNNNNNNNNNNNNNNNNNNNNNNNNNNNNNNNNNNNNNNNNNNNNNNNNNNNNNNNNNNNNNNNNNNNNNNNNNNNNNNNNNNNNNNNNNNNNNNNNNNNNNNNNNNNNACAUAGAAUAGAGUGUAUAUAUGUGAAUAGAUCUUCUAUAGACAUGUAUAUUUAACGUAUACAUUACUUUAUGUUUUAUAAAUUAGUAUAUAUAUUGUAGUAUAUACUUUAUUUAAAGCAGUACAUAUAUAUUGAAUGAGGCGUAUAUAUGUGUAUAUAUCUUCUAUAAGCGUAUAUAUUUAACGUAUAAAUGUGUUUAUGUUUUAUAAAUUAGUAUAUAACUAUAUAUAUAUUGUAGUGUGUAUAUAUAUAUUGUACUAUUGUAGAUUUGUAGUUUAUAUUUUAUUUAAAGUAGUACGUAUAGUCAUAUAUAAUUAUAUAUUGAAUGAUACGUAUAUAUGUGUAAUUGUUUAUAUAUAUUUUAAAAAUAUAUAUUGUAUAAUUGUAGUGUAUAUAGUAUAUAUAAUUGUAGUGUAUGUAGUGUAUAUUGGAUUUUUCAUUUUUUAAAAACGGGUUUGACCGGUUUUUAACCGGGUUUGAGCGGGUUUAGGUGGGUUUAACCGGAUUGAGUUAAGUGGGCCGCUUCAACUCAAGACAACGGCUCAAGACAAAAAUAGUCUAAAAAAGAUAUAAUGAAAGUACAAGAGACAUAUGAUAGAAUUUACCAUUGAUAAGAAUGUCCGGAGUGCAUGGUAUUCAGGAGCGUCCCAUUUGUAUUCACUACACAACAAUAAUCAGCAAAACUAGAGUUAAAACACGAAUGAAAGAAUCGAUGGACGUCUACCUUACUAGUCUCGACGAAGGCACAAUCACAAGCUGGCGUCCUAGUGAAGCCUUAGUUGCCACUGUAGCAGAUUUCCUAUGAGGAAUCUAAUAUUAGUAGCAACAGCAACAUACAUGUAUGCAGAUCUUAUUCUUGCUUUAACCAAAAAAAAAAAAAAUCUUAUUAUAUUCUUGCCUUUAUACAUAAAUCUAAUGUCAGCAAAUAAUAAUCAAAUCACCGAAAAGAUGUAGCUGUGGAAGUUGAUUCUGCAAAACAAAAUAAAAUAAAUAAUUAAAUCAAUAUAUUUUAAGCUUGUGUACUUCAAAUUCCAAAUUAUCAAUUCCUGUAAAUACGGAUCCUAUUUACCUUGGAGGAAAAAAGAAACAACACUUGCAAUUCCUAUAAACAUGGAUCCAAUUUACCUUGGAGAAUAAAAGCAACAACGCUCUUGCAAUUUGGUUUAAAUAAGAAAAAUUUCAAUGCUUUUUAUAAAAAUAGAGGAAUUAUAAAUAAAAAAGAAUACUAACUUAAAUUUUAAAGAUAUUGUAUUAUAGGUUUAAAAGGACACUGAUUAAUAUUUCUAACAGGAUUUACAUAGCAUUGGGAGGAAAAACACGUAACUCAACUAAACCUACUUUGUUAAAGUGACCUAUCCAAUUCAAAACCAAAAAUAACACGACUUUGUUGGUUGGAACUUGGAAUAGGACUUUGUUGAUUUGUUUAUUUUUUUUUAGUUUACUUGAUUGUCUUUAAAUAAAAUAGGACUAAAUUUUGUAAUUUAAAAAGUGAAAAGACAAUUUUGUCUAAAGGGGACACUUUUAAUGAUAUAAAUUUUGAUCAUCAGUACUAAUAUACAAUCAAUUUUCUAUUCUAACUAAAUUUGAACAAAGAAAAACAAAAAUUCUAUGCAAAGAGAAAUAAAAAAAAUAAAAUAUAUACGUGUAUGAGCAUUAGACACAAUCCUUUGAAGAGUAAUUUAUGUGGAGGUAUCUUAUUCUAACUAAAUUAGGAAAAAUAAAAUCAAAAUCUUAUUCUAACUAAGUUGUAACAUCAUAUUCAGCCCAACAAAAAAAUCUACUUCUAUAAAUACCAAUCUAUUUUAAUAUUGUCUUCAUAACAUUCAAUAUAUCUCGCUGCCGUGUUUUCUGCACUGCAUCGCCAACAAACAUCGCCAACAAACAGUUUUUCCAGUUUGUCUACAAUCUCUCUCAGCAAUUCGUCGAUAUUAUUUUACUGAACUUAAUUACCAAAUCAGCAAUGGACUCAAUCACCAAAUCACUGGUAGCAAUUAUCGAUAUCGACUUAACAGACUCAAUUAUUGAAGCUAUGCCUCUUAGUACAGUGAACUCCACGAUCAUACUUCGAUAAUAAAAACCUUGGUCAUAGGGUAUUAAUCAACAAAAGAAUUUACGCGAACAACAAGUGGUACUCGAAAAAUUUUCACAUUCGUCGAUGAAGAGAUACUUAGUUCAUCAACAUUUUCUAUGUAUUAGAUGUUGAAUCCCUUGAUUAGUUUUUAUAUUCAUUUAUGAACCCCUUAACGAAAAUCCUGGCUCCGCCACUGUUAUAUAACAUUGGGAAGAAAAACACGUAACUCAACCAAACCUACUUCUUUGUUAAAGUGACCUAUCCAAUUCGAAACCAAAAAUAACACGGACUUUUCUAGCCAAAAAUAAUAUUUCUACCGCAAAGACUUUUAAGAGGGCAAAAAGUUUUGAUUGAUUCUAUUUUAGUCAGGAAAGGUUUUUGUUAAAACAGUAUAUUAUUUUUGUUUGGAAAGGUUUUUAAUUGUUACUAUAGUCAAUCUUUAAUAUCAUUAAAAUAAUAAAAAAAUCGCGAAAAGACGAUUUUAUCUUUAGCGAUGACUUUUAAUGAAGGGCAAGAUGUUCAAUUCACUUUUUCUAAUGGUCUUCACACUUUUAAUAUGCAAUUUCUAUAAGCACGGAUCUAAUUUACCUUGGAGAAUAAAAGAAACAACACUCUUGCAAUUUGGUUUAAAUAAGAAAAAUUUCAAUGCUUUUUAUAAAAAUAGAGGAAUUAUAAAUAAAAAAGAAUACUAACUUAAAUUUUAAAGAGAUUGUAUUAUAGGUUAAAAAGGGCACUGGUUAAUAUUUCUAACAGGAUUUAUAUAGCAAUGGUGGAUCUACACUAUAGUCAGGGGGUUGGCUAGGACUUGUGUUAUUUUUGGCUUUCUUAUGCUUCCUGCUAUUUUUGGCAAAGUAAAAGAAUCAUAAUCGUAGUAUAUAUAUAUAUACUACAAUAUGUAUAUAUAUAUAUAUAUAGUUAUAUACUAAUUUGUAAAACAUAUACACUUGGAUACAUUAAAUAUAUACAUCUGUAGAAGAUAUAUACACAUAUAUACACACCAUUCAAAANNNNNNNNNNNNNNNNNNNNNNNNNNNNNNNNNNNNNNNNNNNNNNNNNNNNNNNNNNNNNNNNNNNNNNNNNNNNNNNNNNNNNNNNNNNNNNNNNNNNNNNNNNNNNNNNNNNNNNNNNNNNNNNNNNNNNNNNNNNNNNNNNNNNNNNNNNNNNNNNNNNNNNNNNNNNNNNNNNNNNNNNNNNNNNNNNNNNNNNNNNNNNNNNNNNNNNNNNNNNNNNNNNNNNNNNNNNNNNNNNNNNNNNNNNNNNNNNNNNNNNNNNNNNNNNNNNNNNNNNNNNNNNNNNNNNNNNNNNNNNNNNNNNNNNNNNNNNNNNNNNNNNNNNNNNNNNNNNNNNNNNNNNNNNNNNNNNNNNNNNNNNNNNNNNNNNNNNNNNNNNNNNNNNNNNNNNNNNNNNNNNNNNNNNNNNNNNNNNNNNNNNNNNNNNNNNNNNNNNNNNNNNNNNNNNNNNNNNNNNNNNNNNNNNNNNNNNNNNNNNNNNNNNNNNNNNNNNNNNNNNNNNNNNNNNNNNNNNNNNNNNNNNNNNNNNNNNNNNNNNNNNNNNNNNNNNNNNNNNNNNNNNNNNNNNNNNNNNNNNNNNNNNNNNNNNNNNNNNNNNNNNNNNNNNNNNNNNNNNNNNNNNNNNNNNNNNNNNNNNNNNNNNNNNNNNNNNNNNNNNNNNNNNNNNNNNNNNNNNNNNNNNNNNNNNNNNNNNNNNNNNNNNNNNNNNNNNNNNNNNNNNNNNNNNNNNNNNNNNNNNNNNNNNNNNNNNNNNNNNNNNUAUAUAUAGAUAGAUAAAUAUAUAGUUAUAUACUAAUUUAUAAAACAUAUACACAUCUAUAUGUUAAAUAUACACUACUUUAGUAGAUAUAUGCGCGCACACACACACACAUAUAUAUAUAUAUGUAGUUAUAUAGUUAUAUGCUAAUAUAUAAAACAUAUACACAUGUAUACGUUAAAUAUAUACUACUUUAGAUUUAGAAGAUAUACACACACACAUACAUAUAUAUACCAUUCAAUAUAUACACUACUUUAAAUAAAAGUGUAAAGCAUAUGCUACUUAAUAUAAUAAAUUAAUAAUACUUGAUAGUAAAUUAAUAAUGUAUUAAAACUAAGUGUGAAAUUCUGAAUUUUCAAAAAAAAAAAAAAAACCUUAACCAAGACGGGUCGGGCCGAUUAACUGGCGGCCCAAAUCGAGUUGGGUCCGGGCUGGAUUAACCGGUCUCAAAUAAAAAAUCCAACCGGACCGGGACUCGGACCACUAAAGCCCUUGGACUUAUCGGGUCGGGUCAAAUUAGAUCGAUUUAAUUAUGUGGGAUGGUUCGGACCGGUUUUAAUCGGCCCAUUUGACACCCUUACUUCGUGGAGGUGACUUAAUUAUUGGGAAAUGUAAUUUAUCCAAGUCUUUUUUUUUUUUUUUAAAAACAAGAAAUCAUUUAACUUUGCCAAUAUCAUAUCAAAAGUCAUUCUAUUUAAAUUUGGUCAAUAAAAUAUGAUGUGUCACUUUAUUUAGUCUACAUGAUUUUUUUUUUUCGAUUCGCAUGACGUGAAAAUUUAAAAUUUAACAUAAACUACAGACUCAUCCGACCCUAACUCAUAACUUGAAUAAACCUUAUUUUCAAUUAAAACACAGUUUCAUGUGAAAUCUGAUUAUUAAUGUGCGUGUGUCUCUCUCUCUAUAUUAUUGUGUGUAUCUAUCUAUCUACCUACCUAUAAUAUAUAUAAUCUAUAUUUAUAAUAUAUUAAAAGUGUGAACACUCUUAAAAAAAUGAUUUGAAUUUUUUGUCUUUUAUUAAAAUACUCUGAUCUAAAUUAAAUGUCUUUUUACUUUUUUUUUUUGGCAAAUAAAAUCUCAAAAAUAAAUUAUUUCAGCUUGACUUUUUUCUAACUUUGUCUCCUAUUUAAUUUGUGAGACAAAUUUUCAUUGCUCAUCACUACUGAUGUAGCAAAACCGACACGUCUUGAAUGACCCAUAAUAACUAAUUAGAAGUGAUAUAGAAAAAUUGACAUAAAACAUAUUUGUGAAUUUUUUUUAAGUGAACCUCAUAUAAGAUGUCAAUUUAAUUAAAAACAUCAAGAGUUAAUUUAUUAUUUUAUAUUUAUUUAACCUUUUUUAAUUUAAUAUUAUUAAUUUUUUAAUAUUUAAAUGACUUAUAAUAAUUAAUUAGGGGUGAUACAGUAAAAUUACAAAUGAAGCAGCUGAAACAGAUGUCAUAAAUAUCUGUUUUACUUUUUUUUUAAAUUAAUUUUUUUUAAUACGUAAAUGCCAUAUAAUAAUUAAUUUGGGGUGAUAUUUUAAGUGGGCCUCAUAUAAGAUGUCAAAUUAAUUUAAAAUAUCAAGAGUUAAUUUAUCAUUUUAUAUUAUUUUACCUUUUUAUUAAAUAUUAUUAAUUUUUUAAUACUUAGAUGACUUAUAAUAAUUACUUAGUGAUGAUAUAGUAAAAUUACAGUUGAAACAGCUGAAGCAGAUAUGUCAUAAAUAUCCGUUUUACUUUUUUCAAAAUUAAAUUUUAUUAAUCUUUUAAUAUGUAAUGUCAUAUAAUAAUUAAAUAGGGGUGAUAUAGUAAAAUCACGGAACACGCAGACAGCUGGAAGCAGACAUGUUGACCGCCAGUUACCCGCUUUUAGCCACCCACCCACCCACACUUAUAUAUAGUAGUAAUAUAAUUUAUAUAUUUAUAUAAUAUAUUAAAAGUGUGAAGACUUUUAGAAAAAUGAUUUGAAAAUUUUGUCAUUUAUUAAAAAUCUCUGUAAUAAAUAUAUGGGUAGAGGUUUAUUUAAAGUCUUUAUUUAUGGAAGGUAAAAUUUGAAUAGGAAUCAUACUCCUUUUUUCUAAAAAUAAAAUUUCAAGUAAGGACAAUUUUAAAAGAUUGUAAUUUUUGGUUUUAAAAAAGUUAUUUAUAUAACAGAAAGACAAAUAGAGAUCGUACCCUUUUUUCUCAAAAGCAGAGUCAUCAUACUCUUUUUUUGUGUGUGUCUAAUAGUAUGAUUUUUUUUUUGGGAGAAGGAAUAUAAAAAGAGUUCCAAUUAAAUCCAAACUGUGAAUUUUUGGUGCAUAAAUACGAUUAAUUGCUAAAUUUUUUUAUCAAAAUUGUUGAUCAAUGUUACUUUUUUUUUUUUUUUUAAAAGUUAAUAUUAUUUUCUAUAUGAUUGUGGUGGCUUGGAGUAGAUAUGUAUUGCAUUGUUUCAUAUUGUAUAGUGUAUUUGUAUUUAUGAUUAAAAUACAAUAUUUGUUUUAAUUGUUUCUUAAAAUUUAUUAUAUUAUAUCAUUAAAUUCAUUAAUAUGUAACGACAUCAUUAAUCCCUCGUUAAAAUAGAUAUUCUGAAGGACCAGCAGGUGCUUAUAUUUAUGCACAUAUUUUGGCGCGGGGACAUUAAUUUGUGAUCAAAAUUAUUGAUCGCUGUUACUUUAUUUUAUUUUUAAUUUUAUAUUAUUUUUCAUGUGAUUGUGAUGGCUUGGGAGUAAUUAUGCACUAUAUUGUUUUAUAGUAUUGUAUUACGUAUUUGUGUUUAUGAUUAGACUAUAUUAUUUAUUUUUAUUGUUACUUAAUUUUGUUGUAUUGUAUCGUAAACAUCAUUAAAAUAGAUAUUCAUCAGGGGUGCUUAUAUUCCUGCACAUAUUUUUGAAAGGGGACAUUAAAAAAGAUUGUUGCAUAUAUUUAAAUUUACCAAAUAGAAGUACAUAUGAAUCCUCGAUAGACUAUGCGUGUGAAUUUAAAUCUUUGUCAAAAUUUGAUAAGUUAAAAUAUGAUUUAGUUAUUUUACAUACCCUCGAUUCUGAAUAUCUAUUCAAAGAUGAUAUAUCUAUUUUAUAUUAUUUUCUUAUUGCUUUUGUGGUGAUGUAUAAUAUUCUCUAAUAGGUUUAUCGGUGUAUGUUCUAUCGGGAUUACUCUUAUAUAAUUUGUAGGAUUCUUAUUUUAUAAUGGAUUUACUCUUAUAUAAUUUUUAAGACUUUUUUCUGAGCAAAUCACAUACAUAUAUGAUUUAAGAGUUUGUAUUACAAAACAUAAAUAUAUUAUUUUUUAUUUACAAAAUCUAACUCUUAAAUAGUAUAUGUAUGUGACUUUUACCUUCUUUUAUAUUAUAACCAAAAAGGAAAAAGUUUUUAAAGGUCUUCAAGUUGAAAAUUUUUCCAAACAGAUGGCAGGACAUAUCUUUUCUAACAUGACCCUUUGUUACUUGCUUUAGAUAGUCUUCAUACCUUAAGGAUCGGUAAUAGAGAAAUCCGAAGUAUCAAGACAUAUAAAUUUAUAGGAAGGUAAUGCUAUAUUAAUUUAUCGUGCGUAUGAUUUUCUCUUUAACUUAAUGUAAGUUUUCGUGCGUUCAGAAUAAUCGACCUAAGAGUUGGUUUAAAUUCAAGCUAACCACUAUGCAAUAAGAUUUUCUUUCAAGGUACUGAUAUCAACUUGAAAAAAUUAUAUGUUGUUUCAAUUUAUUUUUGGCCUUUACAAUUUGUUGUUAUUGAUGUUCUUACAACUAUACAUCUACAUAUAGUGAAUCAUUGCUUGACGUUAUAUUAACAGAUACAACCACAACCUAGGCAAUAAGUAUUUUAAGCAUUUAUUUUAUUUUAAAAAAUUGAUCAAACACUGCACUCCUCAAAAUGUCUGAGUUUACGGCUAACAUAAAUAAAUUUGACUCUCAAAAUUCAAACGGUACAUACAAAUUGAUGGACGAAGCAAGUAUUAUAUUACUAGAGGAGUACUAAUGAUCAUAUGUUUUUUUUUUAUCUUAUAGGUAAUUUGAGAAAUUUUUUAUUAUGAUCUAUAAGCUAAGAUAGUUAUGAUCCUAAGUAAGAAGUAUAAUCUAUUAAUGAGGUUGGCUUAAUUGAAUACAAAAGUUGACCAAGUGCAUUUGUUAUAUGCAAAAUCUAAAGCUUGUAAAAGAAAGCAAUAUGAGUCAUUUUUUAUGGUGAUGCUAAGAGACAAGUAGGAAGUAAUGUUGCUUAUAUUACAACAUUUACUUGCUCGUGAAAAAAGAAAGUUAAAAGUUAUUAAUAUAAUAUUGCAAUGUAUUGUAGGUUGAUUUAUUUCUUUGGAUAGCUUUGUUUAAACUUUGUCAUGAAUGUAUUUUUUUUUUUGUCUAUAUCUGGGAUCAUUUGGGUCUAUGGACUGCUUGUAGAACAUAACUUAAAUGAACUUCAUACAAUUAAGGUAAUAUAUAUGUCAGGAGGAAAUAAAAAUAUAUACGCAUGGGGUCAGUAAGUGUUUUCGACUCAAUAAAAACAUAUGAAAUUAAUAUAUGACUUAAAGAAUCAUUCCUUUGAUUAUCUCCAUCAUAAGGGAAAUAAAGUUUGGUUAUAUAUAUAUAUACUGGAUUGUAGUCUUGUAUUUGAAUAUAGACUUAGCACUGUGAAUGUUGGAAAAAGAAUGAAGCCACUUAAUUUGAGUCAAGGUUCGAAAACGACCUCUUUAUAUUUGAGGUAAUGAUAAGGUCUAUCAUUUUCAAACACUACUUUAUGCGAUUACAUUGAAUAUGUUGUUAUUAGUGUUUAGAAUAUCGAUCUUGAACUCAAAAACCUAUAUCAAUAAUAUUAUUUUCUACAUUUUUAAUACUAAUGAUAAGUAUUUAGGAUCGAAGAAAUUAUUAAAUAGCAUAAAGGUCGUUAAAAAAAUAAAGGUACUCAAAAAAUUGUUAUAUUAGUUAGCAAAGAGGUAGUAUUUUUUUAUCAUAUUAUAUUUUGUGUUAUAUUCUAAAAAUUUUAUACUUAAUAAUAUAAUAUGCACACAACAAUUUAUUUUUUUAUACAUUUAUUAUUAUUUACGUUAUAUACACGUGCAAAGCAUGUAUACUGAACUAGUAUAUUAAAAGUGUGAAGGCCUUAAAAAUAUUAUUUGAAAUUUUUGUCCUUCGUUAAAAGUUUUUUCUUUAGACAAAAUCGUCUUUUCACUAUUUUAUCCUAAUAAGUAAGAGUUAAAAAUUAAUUAAAUAUAUUUAUGGUAAAACCUUCCUUGCUAGAAGUCGUCUGAAUUUCACUAUUUUUUCUUCAUUUAAGAGUUGAAAAUUAAUUAAAUAUAUUUAUGGUAAAACUUUUUCUUAUUAGAAGUGAUCAAAAUUAAUGACAACUAAUACUUUCUCCAUUGAUUUAAGAAUUCUAAAUCAACUAAUUUGAUUUCAAGAAGAUUUGAAAAAUCUAGAAUAAAUAUAAAACGAUUAGAAUAAUAAAAAAUUAAAAAGUACCUGAUUUUUUAAAAUUUUACGUACGUAAUAUGAAUAUAAUCAAUGAUUUUGUAAAGAUUUGACUUUAAAAAUAAGGAAAGAUUUUAAAUAUAAAAGAAAAAUAAUCGUAAUACAAAUAUGAUUCAAAUUUGUGUGUCUCUCUUAGCCUAUGGUAAUAAGGAAAAGAGGUACUACAUAGCAAACACAAAAGUGAUGAUCCAUCAACCACUUAAAACUUCGUGUGGUAAUAUCCAUAUAUAUAUUUAUAUAUAUAUAUAAUAAAAAAAUUAAUAAUUAAUAAAUAAUAUAUUGUCUUUAUUGUUUAUUUUAAUUUUCAAAUAUCCAAUUUAAACUUCUCAUUUUUUUUCCUAAAUAAAAUGCUGUGAGAAGAGAAACUAGAAGUAGAAAUUAGAAAUUAAAUUAAUGAUUAAGGACUAAGAAGUAUUAAUGACGUUUAGAAGAAGAAGAAGAAUAAGAAGAAGAAAGGAACGGUGGUGGUUUGAAGAUUAAAAAGAGGUGGAUCUUUUGAAGAAGAAAGACGGGGAAGAGGGUAUAUAUUUUUGUAAUUAUAUAAAAUAUAUAUUAGUGAAAUUAAUUUUUUAUGUGUCUCUUAUGUGGCAACGACGUGGCUCAAGUGUAAUACACUCUCCAUUGUGAGAGUGGUGUUACAUUCUGAGGGUGGUGUUUAAUAUACACGAAAGUAGUUUAAGGAGGUAAAUAAUUGCCUAUAAAAUUUAAGUGCUGAAGUAAGAUGUGGCGACAAGUUUAGGAGGGUUUUAAUGUCUUUUUCAUAUAUAUAUAUUUCUAUAUAUUAGAAUCAACACUUCAAUAUGUGUGCUUCUUGGAAUUUAAUGAAAAGUUGAGGGCAUUUUAGUCUUUUUACAAGAAAAAUUUGCUUAAAGAAUUUGUCCUUUCUGCUAUAUUAGUUGUAUCUUAUUAAUUACUUUAAAAAAUGCCCACAAACUUUCAUUUAAUUACAGACCGUGCCUUUAAAAAGGUCCACAUUAUUCUAUUUAUUUACAAGAUUGCCCUCCAAGCUACAUUUAAAUAUGCUUAUAUAUAAUGAUGGGUGGGUCCUACAAUACUUUCCAACUUUGCAUAGAUUUCAUUUAAAUUAUUUAAAUUUAAGUAAUUUAAUAAUAUAAUAAUUUAUCCUAAUUAAUUGCAACUAAAUAUUUAAAUUAAAUCAAUUUUAUUAUUUUAAUUGACUUUUACAUUCAGAAUUAUUUUUUUAACUUAUUUAUUUUAGUAAAUUUAAAUUUUAAAAUUAUUUUUUCUUAUAUGGAAAUACUAAUAUUUAAACUUAACUUUAAAUUUUUAAAGUAAAAAAUUNNNNNNNNNNNNNNNNNNNNNNNNNNNNNNNNNNNNNNNNNNNNNNNNNNNNNNNNNNNNNNNNNNNNNNNNNNNNNNNNNNNNNNNNNNNNNNNNNNNNNNNNNNNNNNNNNNNNNNNNNNNNNNNNNNNNNNNNNNNNNNNNNNNNNNNNNNNNNNNNNNNNNNNNNNNNNNNNNNNNNNNNNNNNNNNNNNNNNNNNNNNNNNNNNNNNNNNNNNNNNNNNNNNNNNNNNNNNNNNNNNNNNNNNNNNNNNNNNNNNNNNNNNNNNNNNNNNNNNNNNNNNNNNNNNNNNNNNNNNNNNNNNNNNNNNNNNNNNNNNNNNNNNNNNNNNNNNNNNNNNNNNNNNNNNNNNNNNNNNNNNNNNNNNNNNNNNNNNNNNNNNNNNNNNNNNNNNNNNNNNNNNNNNNNNNNNNNNNNNNNNNNNNNNNNNNNNNNNNNNNNNNNNNNNNNNNNNNNNNNNNNNNNNNNNNNNNNNNNNNNNNNNNNNNNNNNNNNNNNNNNNNNNNNNNNNNNNNNNNNNNNNNNNNNNNNNNNNCUUUAAAUUUUUAAAGUACAAAAUUAAUAAAUUUAAUUUAAUAAAAAAAUUUUCCAAUGAAUAUUUUCUUAAGAUUUGUGUUGGGUCAAUAUGUAUCAAGUAAAAAAGAAAUAGAAAAAAAUAUAUAAUAAAAUUUUAUUAUUGUGAGAGAUAAACAUAAUGCACUAUCCAAUAAUGUUUAAUAAUAUCAUAUUUUGUUCAUGCAAAAUAUAGUUUUAGCUGGGAUGUCAACUACCAUUCCUAGUUAAAUAUUGUUUCGCGUGAUAGGCAAAUUGAGCUCAUCUUCCGAUUGCCUUAAUUCGUGGGAUUCAUUGGGAUUCUCGAAGUGAAUAGGGAUUUCUGAACUAAUUAAUUUGUCUCUUACAAUCUCGCUAUAAUAUAUGUUAGCUGGGACGUCAACUACCAUUUCACAGGUUUGCUCAUCGAAAAAAAAAGGGUCUAGUGGUUUUGGGGUGAUAUUAGUUGUGGGGAGGUGAUAGCCGAUCAAGGCACCAACACAUUAUGCUUUUAGAAAAGGGAAAUGUAGAGAGUAGCGGAUCUUUUUGUAACGACCCAUUUCGUCGUUACUAAAGUAUAUAUAAUAAAUUCAUGAAAAUUCUUAAUUUUGAUUCCUCAAUAUUAAUUUGGGUCCAAAUUAGCCAAUAUUUUAUUUAUUAUGUCACCUUAAACUUUUCGACGAAGAUUUUAGCCUUCGGAUGUGUCUAGAUAGACUCAAGCCCGAUGAAUUUAAUUAUUCAUGAGUUCUAAUAUCAAUAACUUAGUUUGAAAUUUCUUUAUCUAUUAAUUAAGGUCAUACAAUAUCCCUAACACAAGGUUAAGUUUAAAACUUUGUUUUCGAUAGAGUUUCGAUAUGGAUAGAUGACUUGAAUUAGUGUUUUGAUUGUAUUAUGUGGAAAGAGGUAGAGGAUAAUGAUAUGCUUGAAUGUGCUAGUUAUAGGUGGUGAUGUUAGAGCCCAAGUUGCGGUAUUUAAAAAGAUAAUGAUAUUUUCAAUAAUUAAUGUGUAAUUAAGGCUCCAAUAGUGACUUGUAUGCCUAAGAAUUAAAUUGUGAUUUAUUUUAUGAUAUUCUUGUGUUGAUAUUGAUAAAAAUACUAUAUCUAUUGGAUGUCCAUGAGAGGCUAAAUUGGUGAUAAUGAUGGUUUAUUGAAUUGUGCCUAUGAGUGGCUUGUUUGAUAAUGAUAACUGCUCAAAGUAUUGCUAUGAAUACUUGUUUAUUGGUAUUCGGACAUGCUUGAAAUUGUUGAUGCGUGUAUAAAUGAUUAUUGAAAAUUUACUUGAUGAAAUUGUCUUAUGACUUUAAGUGUACUUGUAAACUUGGUACAUUGUGUUGUAUGCUGUGAGGUUGUGUAAAUUUGAUAUUGAUAAUUCUUGUUUAUGUUGGAUCGGGUACCACGCUGGUACGGAUAUGUAUAUGUUGGAUCGGGUACCAUGCCGGUACGAAUAUGUAUAUGUUGGAUCGAGUACUACGCCGCUACGGAUAUGUAUAUGUUGGAUAGGGUACCACUCCAAUACAGAUAUGUAUAUAUUGGAUCGGGUACCACGCCGGUACAGAUAUAUAGUUGUUAGAUCGGGUACACACCGGUACGGAUAUGUAUAUAUUGAAUCGGGUACCUCACCGGUAAGGAUAUGUAUAUAUUGGAUCGGGUACCAUACCGGUACGGAUAUGUAUAUGUUGGAUCGGGUAACACGCCAUUAUGGAUGUAUAUGUUGGAUCGGGUACCACGCGCGGUACAGAUAUGUAUAUGUUGGAUCGGGUACCACGCCGGUACAGUACAUGAACAUAGCUUGUUCCCUGCAAGUCAUGACUAUUUGGGCAAAAAUAAGUCCCAUAGCAUGUGUGUACAUAUUUGUGUUGAGUUUGUGGAUGUUUACAAUAUGGUUGAUACUCUUGAUGGUUAUGUGGCUUGUUUGUGAGCACUCUUUGAUCUGUUAUUGUUAUAGUGUUGAUUCAUUGGGUAUUUGAUUGUGUGAUAUGUAUUUGAAAAAUUUAAUCUUUGUACCUAUUUAUAUAUUGGUUGAAGGGGAGCCUUGGAGUAACUGGUAAAGUUGCUGCCAUGUGACCAGUAGGUCACGGGUUCAAAUCUUGAAAACAGUCUCUGGCAGAAAUGUAAGGUAAAACUGUGUAUGAUACACCUUUAUGGUGGGUCCCUUCCUCGGACACCGCGCAUAGCUGUAGCUUUAGUACACUGGACUGCCCUUUUUUUUUUAACUUGCUUCAUUUAUACGUGUUUUAAUUGUAGUUUACCAAAAUGGCUAGUUAUCAUUCUUUAAUAUUCUAAAAUACCAUUUGGUUAUUAUCCCGAGAGUUUAGUUUGGGUUAUUUACGAGUACGAGUUCGUUUCUGUGAAUAUGAGUAAUGAAAAAGAUAAGGUGAAUAAAGAGGAAUAGUGAUGUAUUAGCAUUGGAUUUUGAUUGAUUGUGUGAAUCAAUGAGGCUAGAGUAUGUUGGCAGUGAAUAUAAUAUGGAUGGAGUUGGAAGAGUAGUUGGAUGGUGUAUGUUAUAUAGCUAAAGUAAUAAUAUUAUUACAACCUUAGUUGAAUUAUAUUCCAUUCAAGAUGUCAUGAUUUAUUUGUGUUAAUUCUAUUUUAUGAUUAUAUGAACUAACACGGUCGACCAAUGAUGACUACCAGUACGUGUGGUUGUACUGAUCUUACUCUUCUACAUUCCUUCUUGGAGUGUAGACUGGAUGCAGGUUAGUUGUAGUUACUAGAUGGAUGACAAUAUGCAACACUAAUUUCUGCACUUUCUUCCAAACAGAUGUUAGAAUCUUUGUAUUAUUUAUUUUCUAUGUUGUAGUAGAUAUAUCUUGUACAUGUUAGACGAAGUCUUGGGAUAGUGAAGGACACUUGUAAGAAGUUUUUGAAAAAAUUUAUUUAUUAAUAUUUAAUUUAUCUUAUUUUAUUUAAUCCAGCAUUUCCUCAAAAACAAAAGUUUUCCGCAUAUUUUUAGUUGAGUAAUAAGGGUUCUCCUAGCUGCUUAGAAUAGCAUAGGUUCCCGCAUGAUCCAGUAGUUUGGGUCAUGACAGUUGGUAUCAGAGCGUUAGGUUCACCGGUCCCACAAGUACAAGAGCAAUGUCAAGUAGAGUUCCGUAGAUUAGUGUACAGGGCCCUACACCCAAUCUUCAGAAGGCUAUGAGGCAUGUAGAAAUUGUUUUCCUUUCGUUCUCUCCAUCGUGCCAUUCUAAUCUUGGACUAUUAGAUUGAAUCCAAUUGGCAUCUAGACAAUUCUAAUUGGUAUCUUAACAGAGAGCUCAAUUGAAAUGUAGUUAAUUAUUGGUAUCUUAGUAAUUUUGAAUAAAAAUCUAGGAGAUUUCAAUUGGUAUCUGUUAAUAAGGUCUAAAAGUUAUUGUUAAUAGGUAAAGAUUUGUGAAAGUUGUGAACUUAUUGAUUGCUUGUGUUUAAUAUUUGGCUAAACUUGUGUUGCUAGAUUUUUGUCAUUGUUGUGAAUUGUUUUUGUUUGAAUUUAAGUGAUGAAAAUUGACUAAGUUGUUUUUGUUGAUAAUUAUGAUAAAAUUACUUGAUUUCUUGUUAUUGUGAAACUAGCAAUUCUAUGGUGCUUACUUAUUUUUUUUGUUCUAUUAUACUGAUGAAAUUGAUGGUAUGAAAAUUGAGAGGAUCAUAUGAGAACAUGAUGUCAAGAAAAGAUGGUGAAAAAGUGACAUGAAUAAAAGGCUAAGGUGAUAUGUGUUUUCUGUAAUGAGAGGUUCUUGUUAAUGAUGUCGUGGAUGGAUCCUUGUGUAGUUCGAUUAUUUUAUAGUAUGUGGAGAUUCUUGUGUGGUCCGUCCAUUGAAACUGUAUUUAAAUUAUUUGUGCAGUUCUAUUAUUGAAAUUAUAAUGGGGUUCCUUGUGAGGACUAGCUAAGUGACAUUAUCUUUGAGUUCCUUAUGUGAAUGAAUUCUUAAUGCUUGACAAAAUAAUGAGUUAUAAAUUAAAGUGACCGAAAUUAAUAGAGGUUGUUGAUACCUACAGAAUUUGAUCGAUUCGAUAACUUGUCUGGAAUGUGAUAUUGGUGAUGAGACUGUUAAUGACCUAUAAUCGAUUUAUUUUGUUUGGCCUUGCUUAUGUGCUAGUGGUGUGGGGACCACUCUUGAGGUGAUUAAGAAUUAAGUAAAGCUCGUAAUAAAUAUAUUAUUAGAUAAAAAUAAGAAUGACUCUGUAUAUCUUAAAUUGGGACAAGUGAUAUUGGGGUGUUUUGUCUUGGAAAUGAAGUGUUUAACGUGUGAAAAAUGUUGAUUUAGUGAUUACUUUGGCAUAAGUUUUAGCUGUGGAUUUGUGCAUUAGGAAAAAACUUGAGAAGAUAAUUAUUAUUGACUUGACCUUGUGGAUGAAUUAUGCAUUUACAGGUCCUGUAGAGUUAACUGAUGUAUGACUCUUUUAGAGGAUAAUAAUUUUCAUAAUAAUGACAAUGCAAAAUCAAAUGGUUUACUGCAUUCAUAAAAUAAUUAAGAACAGUCCUGAAUGUGGGAAUAAUUGCAUUGCUAAAUGGCAUGAUUGAUCUUUUUUUGGGUGAUUCUUUAUGAAUAUGCUUGUUGAGUUAUUAAGAUAUGAUGAUUAGAUGGAUAUUAACAAUAUUGUGGAGGAGAAUGGGUUGUAAGCUCUAAUUCUAUGGAAUCUCUAUCACUAAUAGUUGUAAGUCCGUGUAAUGAAUGAGAAGUUAUGUUGUCAUGUAUGUACAGUAGUAAACACUAAGCUUGGAACGGUGAGUGAUCUUGAGGUAAUAAGGGAUAGUGGUUGUGAGAUGUUGAAGCUAGCUUUAUAAAAUACAUUUAGUAGUCUUGAUUGAGGCAUGCGAGUAUCUAAGUUAUGUGACUUGUAAAUGGUGUGGUGACUUGCAUAUGAUCAAGAUGUAGAUUCUCCAUCGGAUAGUCUUGGCUAGAAACUGAGCCAAGUGUCCCAGAGAGAUCUUGUUUGUUGGGUGGAUUAGGUGUGACUUGUUUAGUGUUGAAAUUAGAAUAGUAGAUUUAUGUAGCAUCUUGUAGCACUUUUCAGAAUUGAAUUUGGGGCUCUUGAGCUUCGGUUAAAAAAAAAAAAAGAAGAAGGUAUUUUUGAAUAUUUAUCUUCUUCAAGGUGAAUUUUUUUUAACUAUCUUUAUCUUGCUUUCUUCAAACUCAAGUUUCAGACUUAGGCUGUUGAAAGGAGAAUAAGUGAUUCGUGUGUAAAUAUUUAGCUUCGCAUCUUCGUAUUUCAAAAAACUUUGAUAGAAUGAUUGAGUAUAGAAUGUAGGUUGGUCGAUAAGGAUGUCGAGUGAGUGAAUAGGGUGCAGUAUAAGCAACUCUAUCAGUAAUGUCUCUUUAAUUCCAACCUCGUGCUUUUCUCCACUGAAUUUCCGUUCGGGGACGAACGGAUGGUAAAUUGGUAUCUGAUUGUAACGACCCAUUUCGUCAUUACUAAAUUAUUUAUAAUAAAUUUAUGAAAAUUCUUAAUUUUCAUUCCUCAAUAUUAAUUUGGGUCCAAAUAAGCCAAUAUUUUAUUUAUUAUAUCACCUUAAACUUUUUGGUGAAGUUUUUAGCCUUUGGAUGUGUGUAGAUAGACUCAAGCCUAAUGAAUUUUAUUAUUUAUGAGUUUUAAUAUCAAUAACUUAGUUUGAAAUUUCUUUAUCUAUGAAUUAAGGUCAUACAAUAUCCCUAACACAAAGUUAAGUUUAAAACUUUGUUUUCGAUAGAGUUUCGAUAUGGAGUUUUAUUAGGUUAAACUUCAAACGAUCAUAUCUCUUAGAAUAUAAGGAGUAACGAUUAUUUGAUGGACGCAGAUCACAAGAUUAUUUAUGUGGACUGGCUCCACGGAUUAGGAAAUUGGAGGAGAGAGCACAGGCAAGGGCCAAGGAGUGAAGUCCCGUUCCUUUCAGCUGGAUUUUUGGUAAAGAGAUUAAGAUAUGACUGCACUUGUGUUGGAGUGCGAUGUCAUGUUACUUUCUCAUCACCAAAUUUGCCAUAGAUUUAUGUUAAGAAACUUUGUGGGUAAGGUAUGAAGUUUGUGCAGGGAGUUAAAGCUAGUCUUAGUUUUUCUUUUAGCUAUUGUGUUUAGGCCGUAGGGAAAAACAUAGUUAUUAGCAAUAAAGAUGAACCUUUUAGUACUCCUUUUUUUUAAUCUCUUCCUCUCAAGUCAAGCUGGUAAAGGUUCUGUCAUAUGGCCCUGGAGUCACGGAUUCAAGCCGUGACAAAAGACUUUUUGCAGGGUAAGUUUGUAUACUAUAGACUUGCGGUCUGGUCUUUCUUUGUACCUCGCACAUAAAGGGAACUACAGUGCAUGGAACUAUCCUAAAAUAUUAUGCAUUUUAUGUAUGAAUUUUAAGAUAAAUGAAUCUAGGAUAUAAACUCUUUAUCCUACUGUUUCUGUACUAGGUAUGGGCUAUUUAAUUUGAAACUAGGAAGUGGUCACAUUGUCAUUUACAAUUUGAAUAAAAAGGAAUAAAGAUUAAGAUUUCUUUUGACUCCAAGUAAACAAAAUUCAAGGUGUACGUACAAUGAUUUAUUUAAUAUGAGAGUGGAGCGAAAGUGAAGCUUGAUGCACAUGUCAUCCAAAAAGAAGGAAGUUUCAAAUAGCUUUGGUCUAUUAUCGAAUGAACGGGGAGAUUAACAAUGGUGUCAAUCAUCAUAUUGGUUUAGAGCGGAUGAAAUAGACGCGAACAUCUGGAGCAUUUUAUGAUAAGAAGGUGUCAUCGAAACUCAAAGGCAAGUUCUACGUAGUGAUGAUUAGACAAUAUAUGGUAUUUCGUUUCGGGGAUGUUAAAAUGACUCCUUCCAUUAAAGAGGUAUUAAUUUGUUACGAGAGUACGGAAAUGUGUUUUAAGAGAAGGGAGACACCUGAUAAGCACAUUUUAGUCCAAGUUGUGUUGGAUCGUCAAAAGAUCAAGGAGGUAUUUUUAACUGACGACGACACCUGGCUAGGAGAACGUGAUGGAGAAAAUAUCACUUUUCGUGAGUUGUAUCGUCGGUUCGGAAGAUUCAAUGCUUUUCACAAAUUUGGGCAUAAAUUUGAGUCAGAAGAAAAAUGGAAGGAGACGAGAGCCUUUGCGUUCGUGGUAGGCCUACUUGGAACCAUGGUGUUCCCACAGGGGGGAAAUGGCACAAUUCAUCCGAGGGUUGUCUCAGUUACCCAUGCACUCUUCUUUGGAAUGGAGUACAAUUCUGAAAAGGUAUUCCACAACUUAUCUCCCAUGAUUGUCGCGACAUAUAUCGAGCUUUGGGAGGAUGUCAAGUCGAGAAUUAUUUUUUUCAAGGCUGCAACCUUAUAUUACAAUGGUGUAUGAUGAUGCAUUUGGUGAAAAAUCCUAGAACGGCACAACCUGACCACAAAACAAGGAGAAAUCUACUAGAAUCGCACGAGAUGUGGUUGUUUUUACACAAGUUCAAAAGGGAAGCAUCUCAUGAAUUUUGGUUCAAGACUCUUGGAGAAUUAAGAGAUGACGAUGUCCAAUGAUCCCUUAACUAUCUUCGUUCAGGGAAAUACAUUAUUCGAGGGGGCGAGUGGCCUUUUCUAGUGCUUCCGGGUCUCAGGGGAACCUGUCCCUACAAUCCUAGCAGAGUUCUUAGGCAAUUUGAGAUCAAGAAGGAGACGCCUCAAAUCGAUUCUAUGCUCAGAUUCUUUAACGAAUAUGAUAAAAGCGAGCCCCUGCUCAGAGACUACAUGAUAGACUGGAUGCAGGUUAGUUGCAGUUACUAGAUGGAUGACAAUAUUCAGCACUAACUUCUGCACUUUCUUCCUAGCAGAUGUUAGAAUCUUUGUAUUAUUUAUUUUCUAUGUUGUAGUAGAUAUUUCCUGUACAUGUCAGACCAAAUCUUGGGAUAAUGAAGGACACUUGUAAGAAGUUUUUUUAAAAAACUAUUUAUUAAUAUUUAAUUUAUCUUAUUUUAUUUAAUCCAACAUUUCCUCAAAAAGCAGAAGUUUUUCGCAUAUUUUUAGUUGGGGUAAUAAGGGUUCUCCUAGAUGCUUAGAAUAGCAUAGGUAACCGAACUAUCCAGUAGUUUGGGUCGUGAUAGUUGGUAUCAGAGCUUUAGGUUCACCAGUCCCACAAGUACUAGAGCAAUGUCAAGUAGAGUUCCGUAGAUUAGUGUACAAGGCCCCACACCCAAUCUUUGGAAGGCUAUGAGGCAUGCAGAAAGUAUUUUUAUUUCUUUCUCUCCAUCGUGCCAUCCUAAUCUUGGACUAUUAGAUUGAAUCCAAUUGGCAUAUAGACAAUUCUAAUUGGUAUCUUAACAGAGAGCUCAAUUGAAAUGUAGUUAAUUAUUGGUAUCUUAGUAAUUUUGAAUAAAAAUCUAGGAGAUUUCAAUUGGUAUCUGUUAAUAAGGUCUAAAAGUUAUUGUUAAUAGGUAAAGAUUUGUGAAAGUUGUGAGCUUAUUAAUUGCUUGUGUUUAAUAUUUGGCUAAACUUGUGUUGCUAGAUUUUUGUCACUGUUGUGAAUUAUUUUUGUUUGAAUUUAAGUGAUGAAAUUGACUAAAUUAUUUUUGUUGAUAAUUAUGAUGAAAUUAUUUAAUUUCUAGUUAUUGUGAAGCUAGCAAUUCUAUGGUGCUUACUUAUUUUUUUUAUACUAUUAUACUGAUAAAAUUGAUGGUAUGAGAAUUGAGAGGAUCAUAUGAGAACAUGAUGUCAAGAAAAGAUGGUGAAAAAGUGACAUGAAUAAAGGCUAAGGUGAUAUGUGUUUUCUGUAAUGAGAGGUUCUUGUUAAUGAAGUCGUGGAUGGAUCCUUGUGUAGUUCGAUUAUUUUAUACUAUGUGCGGAUCCUUGUGUGGUCCGACCAUUGAGACUAUAUUUAAAUUUUUUUGUGCAGUUCUAUUAUUGAAAUUAUAAUGGGUUCCUUGUGAGGACUAGCUAAGUGACAUUAUCUUUGAGUUCCUUAUGUGAAUGAAUUCUUAAUGGUUGACUAAAUAAUGAGUUUUAAAUAAAAGUGACAGAAAUUAGUAGAGGUUGUUGAUACCUACAGAAUUUGAUCGAUUCGAUAACUUGUCUGGAAUGUGAUAUUGGUGAUGAGACUGUUAAUGACCUACAAUCGAUUUAUUUUGUUUGGCCUUGCUUAUGUGCUAGUGGUGUGGGGACCACUCUUGAGGUGAUUAAGAAUUAAGUGAAGUCCGUAAUAAAAAUAUUGUUAGAUAAAAAUAAGAAUGACUCUGUAUAUCUUAAAUUGGUACUAGUGAUAUUGGGGUGUUUUGGCUUGGCAAUGAAGUGUUUAACGUGUGAAAAAUGUUGAGUUAGUGAUUACUUUGGCAUAUGUUUUAGGUGUGGAUUUGUGCAUUCGAAAAAAACAUGAGAAGAUAAUUAUUAUUGACUUGACCUUAUGGCUGAAUUAUGCAUUUACAUGUUCUAUAGAGUUAGCUGAUGUUUGACUCUUUUAGAGGAUAAUAAUUUUCAUAAUAGUGACAAUGCAAAAUCAAAUGGUUUACUGCAUUCAUAAAAUAAUUAAGAACGAUCCUGAAUGGGGGAAUAAUUGCAUUGCUAAAUGGCAUGAUUGAUCUUUUUUUGGGUGAUUCUUAAUGGAUAUGCUAGUUGAAUUAUUAAGAUAUGAUGAUUAGAUGGAAAUUAACAAUAUUGUGAAGGAGAAUGUGUUGUAGGCUCUAAUUCAGUGGAAUCUCUAUCACUAAUAAUUGUAAGUCCGUGUAAUGAGUGAGAAGUUAUGUUGUCAUCUAUAUAUGUACAGUAGUAAACACUAAGCUUGGAACAGUGAGUGAUCUUGAGGUAAAAAGGGAUAGUGGUUGUGAGAUGUUGAAGCUAGCUUUAUAAAAUAAAUUUAGUAAUCUUGAUUGAGGCAUGCGAGUAUCUAAGUUAUGUGACUUGUAAAUUUUGAAUAUUUAUCUUCUUCAAGGUGAAUUUUUUUUAACCAUCUUUAUCUUGCUUUCUUAAAACUCAAGUUUCAGACUUAGGCUGUUAAAAAGGAGAAUAAGUGAUUCGUGUGUAAAUAUUUAACUUCGCAUCUUUGUAUUUCGAAAAGCUUUGAUAAAAUAAUUGAGUAUAGAAUGUGGGUUGGUCGAUAAAGAUAUCGAGUGAGUGAAUAGGGUGCAGUAUAAGCAAAUCUAUUAGUAAUGUCUCUCUAAUUCCAACCUCGUGCUUUUCUCCACUGAAUUUCUGUUUGGGGAUGAAUGGAUGGUAAAUUGGUAUCUGAUUGUAGCGACCCAUUUCUUCAUUACUAAAUUAUUUAUAAUAAAUUCAUGAAAAUUCUUAAUUUUCAUUCCUCAAUAUUAAUUUUGGUUCAAAUUAGCCAAUAUUUUAUUUAUUAUGUCACCUUAAACUUUUCGGCGAAGAUUUUAGCCUUCGGAUGUGUCUAGAUAGACUCAAGUCUGAUGAAUUUAAUUAUUCAUGAGUUCUAAUAUCAAUAACUUAGUUUGAAAUUUCUUUAUCUAUUAUUUAAGGUCAUACAGUAUCCCUAACACAAAGUUAAAUUUAAAACUUUGUUUUCGAUAGAGUUUCGAUAUGGGGUUUUAUUAGGUUAAACUUCAAACGAUCAUAUCUCUUAGAAUAUAACGAGUAACGAUUAUUUGAAGGAUACAGAGCACAAGAUUAUUUAUGUUGACUGGCUCCGCGGAUUAGGAAAUUGGAGGAGAGAGCACAGGCAAGGGCCAAGGAGCGAAGUCCCGUUCCUUUCAGCUGAAUUUUUCGUUAAGAGAUUAAGAUAUGACUGUACUUGUGUUGGAGUGCGAUGUCAUGUUACUUUCUCAUCACCAAAUUUUCCAUAGAUUUAUGUUAAGAAACUUUGUGGGUAAGGUAUGAAGUCUGUGCAGGGAGUUAAAGCGUCUUGGUUUUUCUUUUUGCUAUUGUGUUUAGGCCGUAGGAAAAAACAUAGUUAUUAGCAAUAAAGAUGUACCUUUUAGUACUCUUUUUCUUUAAUCUCUUCCUCUCAAGUCAAUCUGGUAAAGGUUCUGUCAUACGGCCCGGAGUCGCGGGUUCAAGUAGUGGCAAAAGACUCUCUGCAGGGUAAGGUAGUAUACUAUAGACUCGUGGUCCGGUCUUUCUUUGUACCUCACAAAUAAAGGGAGCUACAGUGCAUGGGACUAUCCUAAAAUAUUAUGCAUUUUAUGUAUGACUUUUAAGAUAAAUGAAUCUAGGAUAUAACCUCUUUAUCCUACUAUUUCUGUACUAGGUAUGGGCUAUUUAAUUUGAAACUAGGAAGUGGUCACAUUGUCAUUUACAAUUUGAAUAAAAAGGAAUAAAGAUUAAAAUUUCUUUGACUCCAAGUAUACAAAAUUCAAGGUGUACAAUGAUUUAUUUAAUAUGAGAGUGGAGUGAAGGUGAAGAUUGAUGCACAUGUCAUCCAAAAAGAAAGGUUCAAAUAGCUUUGAUCUAUUAGCGAAUGAAUGGGGAGAUUAACGAUGAUGUCAAUCAUCAUAUUGUUUCAGAGCGGGUAAAAUAGAGGCAAACAUCUGGAGCAUUUUAUGACAAGAAGGUGUCAUCGAAACUCAAAGGCAAGUUCUACGUAGUGAUGAUUAGACAAUAUAUAUUGUAUGGGACCGAUUGUUAGCUAGUCAAAAUUUCUCUCGUUGAUCUAAGUUGUGAAAAUGAGAAUUUUUCGAUGAAUGUUUCGGCAUACUAUUACAAAUUAUUUAGGAAUGAGCAUAUCCAAAAUAAGGUAGGUGUGACCUCAAUGAAAGCAAGAUGGGAGAAGCAAUACUGUGAUGGCUUGGACAAACAAAAAGGAAAUGCACGAAUGCCCCAGUACAAAGGUGUGAGAAAUUGGUUAUGGGUGGUUCAGGAGAGGUAGAGGUAGCUAGGUCAAAGAAGUGUCGAGCAGAGGCGAUUAGUCAGGACAUGAUGCGGUUCCAAUUUAUCGAGAAUAUGGUCUUAGAGAUGAGAUAUUGUGGAGGAAACAUAUUAAGUUAAAAGGUUAAUAGGUAGGAGAACAUUGUCUUGCAUAUCCUUCCAUAGUGGUAGUCAUAAUAGAUCUCUUUUAGUUUUUUGUCCUUCAAUUUAUCUUUUUAUCUACUGUUCCUGUACUUCCAUUAACGUACUCUUUAUUGUAUUUACUAUUUUUUCCAGAAUAUUUUGUCAUGCUUUCAUAGUAUUUUGACCAUGAUUUCUUUCUUCACUGUCAAUUUUUCCAAAAUAUUUUGUCAUGUGUUUUCAACAACAUCCAAAACUAGGCAGAUGCUACUUUGGAACCUUCAAAAUCAUUAAACGUAUUGGUGAGGUUUCCUACAAGCUAGAGUUACCUGACGAAGCUCGCAUACAUCCAGUAUUCCAUGUUUCUUUGCUCAAGCGAUGUACGGGUGAACCAGAUCAACAAAAUGCACCACUUCAGCUCACUGGUUUGGCUGAUCCUGUUCUGGUGGACUCAUCUCUGAACCUUGAGGACAAAGUUCUUUCACAGGAUGGGGGUAUUGUUGUGACCCAUGAGGAUGACGUGGAGGAAACCUCACCUGCUGACGUGGACACACAUAAUCAGCAACAGGUUAAAUUUAAGUGAAGAAGUGAGCGCAUGAGGAUUCCAUCCAAAAAACUUGCUGACUUCAUAGUGGGAUCGGGGGAAAAAACGUAAAAGAGAGGCAUAGGGUUUGCAGCAUAAGGAAAAUAAAUAGUUAUCAGUAAUUUUAUUAGGGUAGGGAAUUGCUAAGCUCGUGCCUACUUCUCAUCUCUCUCAGUAUCUCUAUUCCCAUCUCCCUAUUUCUUCUAUCUUCUAUAAUUUUCCUUAUUGUUCCAUUACAAAUCUCCAUCUUGUGAUUUCUUGAUUGAGUUAAAUACAAUCAGUUGACUCCUAAUUGCGGUUGAAAAUUCUAGUUUGUUCCAAUGAGCCUAGUUGAGUUGUAAUGGUAUUAGGUUGUAUGUGUUGUGCAAUAAUAUGACGAGGAGAAUUAUGCUAAGAUUGAAUAUUGCUGAGCAUAGUAAUAUUUAAGGGAUAGAUGACUUGAUUAGUGUGAUGAUUGUAUUAUGUGGAAAAAGGUAGAAGAUAAUGAUAUGCGUGAAUGUGCUAGUUAUAGGUGGUGAUGUUAGAACCCAAGUUGCGAUAUUUAAGAAGAUAAUGAUAUUUUUAAUAAUUAAUAAGUAAUUAAGGCUCCAAUAGUGACUUGUAUGCGUAAGAAUUAAAUUAUGAUUUAUUUUAUGAUAUUCUUGUGUUGAUAUUGAUAAAAAUACUAUAUCUAUUGGAUGCCCAUGAGAGGCUAAAUUGGUGAUAAUGAUGGUUUAUUGAAUUGUGCCUAUGCGUGGCUUGUUUGAUAAUGAUAACUCCUUAAAGUAUUGCUAUGAAUACUUGCUGAUUGGUAUUCAGACAUGCUUGAAAUUGUUUAUGUUUGGAUGUUGAUGUGUGUAUAAAUGAUUAUUGAAAAUUUACUUGAUGGAAUUGUCUUAUGACUUUAAGUGUACUUGUAAACUUGGUACAUUGUGUUGUAUGUUGUGUGGUUGUGUAAAUUUGAUAUUGAUAAUACUUGUUUAUAUUGGAUCGGGUACCACGCCGGUACGGAUAUGUAUGUGUUGGAUUGGGUACCACGCCGGUACGGAUAUGUAUAUGUUGGAUCGGGUAUUACGCCGCUACGGAUAUAUAUAUGUUGGAUAGGUACCACGCCAGUACGAAUAUGUAUAUAUUGGAUCGGGUACCACGCCGGUACGGAUAUAUAUAUGUUAGAUCGGGUACCAUGCCGGUAUGAAUAUGUAUAUAUUGGAUCGAGUACCACGCCGGUACGGAUAUGAAUAUAUUAGAUUGGGUACCAUACCAGUACGGAUAUGUAUAUGUUGGAUCGGGUACCACGCCGUUACAAAUGUAUAUGUUGGAUCUGGUACCACGCCGGUACCGAUAUUUAUUUGUUGGAUCGGUUACCACGCCAGUACAAUACAUGAACAUAGAUUGUUCCUUGCAGGUCAUGACUAUUUGGGCAAAAAUAAGUCCCAUAGCAUGUGUGUACAUAUUUGUGUUGAGUCUGUGGAUGUUUACAAUAUGGUUGAUACUCUUGAUGGUUAUGUGGCUUGUUUGUGAGCACUCUUUGAUCUGUUAUUGUUAUAUUGUUGAUUCAUUGGGUAUUUGAUUGUGUGAUAUGUAUUUGAAAAAGUGAAACUUUGUACCUAUUUAUAUGUUGGUUGAAGGGGAGCCUUGGAGUAACUGGUAAAGUUCCUGCCAUGUGACCAGGAGGUCACGGGUUCAAACCUUGGAAACAGCCUCUGGCAGAAAUGCAAGGUAAGACUGCGUACGACACACCUUUAUGGUGGGGCCCUUCCCCGGACACUGCACAUAGUGGUAGCUUUAGUGCACUAGGCUGCCCUUUUUUUUGACUUUCUUCAUUUAUACGUGUUUUAAUCGUAGUUUACCAAAAUGGCUAGUUAUCAUUCUUUAAUAUUAUAAAAUACCAUUUGGUUAUUAUCCCGAGGGUUUAGCGUGGAUUAUUUACGAUUACGAGUUCGUUCCUGUGAAUAUGAGUAAUGAAAAAAAUAAGGUGAAUAAAGAGGAAUAGUGAUGUUUUAGCGUUGGAUUUUGAUUGAUUGUGUGAAUUAAUGAGGCUAGAGUACGUUGGUAGUGAAUAUAAUAUGGAUGGAGUUAGAAGAGCAGUUGGAUGAUGUAUGUUAUAUAGAUAAAGUAAUAAUAUUAUUACAACCUUAGUUGAAUUAUAUUCCAUUCAAGAUGUCAUGAUUUAUUUUUGUUAAUUCUAUUUUAUGAUUAUAUGAAAUAACACGGUCGGCCAAUGAUGCCUACCAGUACAUGUGAUUGUACUGAUCCUACUCUUCUACAUUUCUUCUUGGAGUGUAGACUAGAUGCAGGUUAGUUGCAGUUACUAGAUGGAUGACAAUAUUCAACACUAACUUCGGCACUUUCUUCCUAGCAGAUGCUAGAAUCUUUGUAUUAUUUAUUUUCUAUGUUGUAAUAGAUAUCUCUUGUACAUGUCAAACCAAGUCUUGGAAUAGUGAAGGACACUUGUAAGAAGUUUUUGAAAAAAUUUAUUUAUUAAUAUUUAAUUUAUCUUAUUUUAUUUAAUCCAGCAUUUCCUUAAAAACAGAAGUUUUUCGCAUAUUUUUAGUUGAGCAAUAAGGGUUAUCCUAGCUGCUUAGAAUACCAUAGGUGCCCGCACGAUCCAGUAGUAUGGGUCGUGACAGUUGGCAUCAAACGUUAGGUUCACCGGUCCUACAAGUACUAGAGCAAUGUCAAGUAGAGUUCCGUAGAUUAGUGUACAGGGCCCUACACCCAAUCUUCAGAAGGCUAUGAGGCAUGUAGAAAUCAUUUUCCUUUCUUUCUCUCCAUCGUGCCAUCCUAAUCUUGGACUAUUAGAUUGAAUCCAAUUGGCAUCUAGACAAUUCUAAUUGGUAUCUUAACAGAGAGCUGAAUUGAAAUGUAGUUAAUUAUUGGUAUCUUAGUAAUUUUGAAUAAAAAUAUAGGAGAUUUCAAUUGGUAUCUGUUAAUAAGGUCUAAAAGUUAUUGUUAAUAGGUAAAGAUUUGUGAAAGUUGUGAACUUAUUGAUUGCUUGUGUUUAAUAUUUGGCUAAACUUGUGUUGCUAGAUUUUUGUCAUUGUUGUGAAUUGUUUUUGUUUGAAUUUAAGUGAUGAAAAUUGACUAAGUUGUUUUUGUUGAUAAUUAUGAUAAAAUUACUUGAUUUCUUGUUAUUGUGAAACUAUCAAUUCUAUGGUGCUUACUUUUUUUUUUUGUACUAUUAUACUGAUGAAAUUGAUGGUAUGAGAACUGAGAGGAUCAUAUGAGAACAUGAUGUCAAGAAAAGAUGGUGAAAAAGUGACAUAAAUAAAAGGCUAAGGUGAUAUGUAUUUUCUAUAAUGAGAGGUUCUUGUUAAUGAUAUCGUGGAUGGAUCCUUGUGUAGUUCGAUUAUUUUAUAGUAUGUGGAGAUUCUUGUGUUGUCCGUCCAUUGAGACUGUAUUUAAAUUAUUUCUGCAGUUCUAUUAUUGAAAUUAUAAUGGGUUCCUUGUGAGGACUAGUUAAGUGACAUUAUCUUUGAGUUCCUUAUGUGAAUGAAUUCUUAAUGCUUGACAAAAUAAUGAGUUAUAAAUUAAAGUGACCGAAAUUAGUAGAGGUUGUUGAUACCUACAGAAUUUGAUCGAUUCGAUAACUUGUCUGGAAUGUGAUAUUGGUGAUGAGACUGUUAAUGACCUAUAAUCGAUUUAUUUUGUUUGGCCUUGCUUAUGUGCUAGUGGUGUGGGGACCACUCUUGAGGUGAUUAUGAAUUAAGUGAAGCCCGUAAUAAAAAUAUUGUUAGAUAAAAAUAAGAAUGACUCUGUAUAUCUUAAAUUGGUACUAGUGAUAUUGGGGUGUUUUGGCUUGGCUAUGAAGUGUUUAACGUGUGAAAAAUGUUGAUUUAGUGAUUACUUUGGCAUAUGUUUUAGGUGUGGAUUUGUGCAUUCGAAAAAAACUUGAGAAGAUAAUUAUUAUUGACUUGACCUUAUGGCUGAAUUAUACAUUUACAUGUCCUGUAGAGUUAACUGAUGUAUGACUCUUUUAGAGGAUAAUAAUUUUCAUAAUAGUGACAAUGCAAAAUCAAAUGGUUUACUGCAUUCAUAAAAUAAUUAAGAACGAUACUGAAUGGGGGAAUAAUUGCAUUUCUAAGUGGCAUGAUUGAUCUUUUUUUGGGUGAUUCUUAAUGGAUAUGCUAGUUGAGUUAUUAAGAUAUGACGAUCAGAUGGAAAUUAACAAUAUUGUGGAGGAGAAUGUGUUGUAGGCUCUAAUUCUGUGAAAUCUCUAUCACUAAUAGUUGUAAGUCCGUGUAAUGAGUGAGAAGUUAUGUUGUCAUCUAUAUAUGUACAGUAGUAAACACUAAGCUUGGAACGGUGAGCGAUCUUAAGGUAAAACGGGAUAGUCGUUGUGAGAUGUUGAAGCUAGCUUUAUAAAAUAAAUUUAGUAGUCUUGAUUGAGGCAUGCGAGUAUCUAAGUUAUGUGACUUUCAUAUGAUCAAGAUGUAGAUUCUCCAUCGGAUAGUCUUGGCUAGAAACUGAGCCAGGUGUCCCAGAGAGAGCUUGUUUGUUGGGUGGAUUAGGUGUGACUUGUUUAGAGUUGAAAUUACAAUAGUAGAUUCAUGUAGCAUCUUGUAGCACUUUUCAGAAUUGAAUUUGGGGCUCUUGAGCUUCGGUUAAAAAAGAAAAGAAGAAGGUAUUUUUGAAUAUUUAUCUUCUUCAAGGUGAAUUUUUUUUAACCAUCUUUAUCUUGCUUUCUUAAAACUCAAGUUUCAGACUUAGGCUGUUAAAAGGAGAAUAAGUGAUUCAUGUGUAAAUAUUUAACCUCGCAUCUUCGUAUUUCGAAAAGCUUUGAUAGAAUGAUUGAGUAUAGAAUGUGGGUUGGUUGAUAAGGAUAUCGAGUGAGUGAAUAGGGUGCAGUAUAAGCAACUCUAUUAGUAAUGUAUCUCUAAUUCCAACCUCGUGACGAACGGAUGGUAAAUUGGUAUCUGAUUGUAACGACCCAUUUCUUCAUUACUAAAUUAUUUAUAAUAAAUUCACGAAAAUUCUUAAUUUUCAUUCCUCAAUAUUAAUUUGGGUCCAAAUAAGCCAAUAUUUUAUUUAUUAUGUCACCUUAAACUUUUCGGCGAAGAUUUUAGCAUUCGGAUGUGUCUAGAUAAACUCAAGCCUGAUGAAUUUAAUUAUUCAUGAGUUCUAAUAUCAAUAACUUAGUUUGAAAUUUCUUUAUCUAUUCAUUAAGGUCAUACAAUAUCCCUAACACAAAGUUAAGUUUAAAACUUUGUUUUCGAUAGAGUUUCGAUAUGGGAUUUUAUGAGGUUAAACUUCAAACGAUCAUAUCUCUUAGAAUAUAACAAGUAACGAUUAUUUGAAGGAUGCAGAGCACAAGAUUAUUUAUGUGGACUGGCUCCGCGGAUUAGGAAAUUGGAGGAGAGAGCACAGGCAAGGGCCAAGGAGCGAAGUCCCGUUCCUUUCAGCUGGAUUUUUGGUAAAGAGAUUAAGAUAUGAAUGCACUUGUGUUGGAUGGCAAUGUCAUGUUAGUUUUCUGAUCACCAAAUUUGCCUGUUUUAUGUUAAGAAACUUUGUGGGUAAGGUAUGAAGUCUGUGCAGGGAGUUAAAGCGUCUUGGUUUUUCUUUUUGCUAUUGUGUUUAGGCCG
rnacentral:lncRNA from 1 species